CUGGGGAUGCUUGUAUUUAGGCAAAGUUCUUGUAGGGAAAUGUUAGUUCCGUGUCAUUAAUUCGAGUGGUGCUAGGGGUGAUUAUUUUAUAAUAAAUUUAUGUACCUUCAUUUCGUCUUGCAUCCUUCAUGUUUUGGCGUGUUUCAGUAUUUAUGCCAAAUUUUGGUAUCUUUAAUUGGCUUUCUAUACCUUAUAUUUUGGUGCAUCUUGCAUUGUGCAGUAGGUUAGUUUUCGAGUUAUGCACAGUUAUAAGUCCCCUUGUGUUUUGAAUGGUCAUUUAAGUUUUUGUAACUGCAGUUGAUCUUGUAUCCUUCAUAGUUGGCGCACUGCGCAUUGAAUGUUAGGGCAGUGUUUAAGUUUUGUGUAAUUAUUUAGAUAUUAUGGGAGGGUUCUAUAUGCAAAAGAAGUUUUUGUAUCUGCAUUUGGUCAUUAUUGUAACUAACAUUUGUUUCCUUUUGGGUAUGACUUGGAAGGUUGUUUUAUGGUCACGUGCUUAGCUCUGAUAUUGGAGGACUCUGAAGUGACAUAUUUUUGUGAAUCCGUCUUGUCGUUGUGGCAUUUCUACUUUUCUGAGGUGUGACGAAAUGGAAUGCAACAAGGCUGCGGCACUUAGGUUGAGGGAGCUUGCAGAGAGGAAGUUUGAAAGCAUGGACCUGAAGGGUGCCAAGAAGUGGGCCCUCAAGGCACAGGCUCUCUUUCCAGGGAUUGAAGGCAUUGAUCAAAUGAUUACCACCUUUGAUAUUUACCUUGCUUCAGAGGUAAAGAUUGCCGGGGAGAAGGACUGGUACUCUGUCCUUUCUGUGGACACAUCGGCAGAUGACAAGACUAUAAAGAAGCAGUACAGGAAGUUGCUUCUUCAGAUUCACCCCGACAAGAAUAAGUCAGUUGGUGCUCUCGGUGCUUUCCUAAAAGUCACAGAUGCAUAUAGUGUGCUGUCUGAUAAAACCAAGAAAGUGUUGUAUGACCGGAAGAGGAAGUUAGGGAUAUUCCGGCCGAAGACAUCUCGAUCAACUAAGGCAAGGGCAGCUCCUGGUGCUGUCCAUCAGACAUUUGAGAAAGUUAAGAGAAAGAGGGAGGAGAAACAAGCAGCAACAGGAAGGGAAAAUGCUGUUCAGAAGAAGCGCAAGCCUCGACAAAAACAAUCAAAUAUGUCACACUCUGUUAACCUUGGAACAAGUGAUGUUGCAUGUGGAAAGAAGAUGAGAAGUGUGGGUAAAGAUGCAGGGGACAAUUCUUUUAGAAUGCCAGAUGGAUGCGUUUCAUUUUCCACCAGCAGCGGAUCCUCUCAGUUUCAACAUGUUUAUGGUGGGUCCAAUGGGAAACAAAGAGCUCGUACUCACAUGAGCAAGACCUUUUCUAAUGCUGAAAUGAGAAGAAUUAUGAUUGACAAGACGAAGAACGAUUUGAUGGAGAAGCUAAAGGAGAUUAAAAGUAAAACAGUCGAAGUUGUAGUUGAUGGAAAAGCGAGCAACAAGCAAAUAGUUAAAGAACAUGUUGAGGCUAAUAAAACUUUUGCAUCGAUUAUUCUAAUGCAAAUGAAGAAGAUGGCCCAUCCUCUUAUAUUGUUGCUGAUCCUCAUUUCCAUGAUUUUGAUAAGGAUCGUACAGAGAGAUCUUUUCAGAGUGAUCAAAUAUGGGCUUUAUAUGAUGAAGAAGAUGGUAUGCCUCGCUAUUAUGCAUUUAUUCGGGAACCUAUCUCCUCUAGUCCAUUUAAUAUCAAAAUUAGCUUUCUUACCUCAAGGGCAAAUACUGAAUUUGGGUCUUUAAAUUGGGUUUCAUCUGGCUUCAAAAAGACAUGUGGUAAUUUCAGGAUCGGUAGAUGCGAAACCCGUGAAGUAUUUAACAUAUUCUCUCAUCAGAUUAAAUGGGAGAAAGGUCCAAGUGGGAUAAUCAAAAUUUAUCCACGGAAAGGCGACAUCUGGGCAGUGUACCGGAAUUGCUCACCUGACUGGAAUGGAGAUACUCCAGAUAAUGUGAUUCGUAUUUAUGAUCUUGCUGAGGUACUGACUGAUUAUGAUCAAGACUGCAGCAUUACUGUCCUUCCCUUGAUAAAGAUAAAAGGGUAUAGAACAAUUUUUCAGCGUCAUCAGGAUCUGAAUGUCAUCAAGAGGAUUCCGAAAGAUGAGAUGUUCCGGUUUUCACACCAGGUUCCUUUUGUUAGGAUGUCAGCGGAAGAAGCUACAAAUGUGCCCAAAGAUAGCUAUGAGGUAGACCCUGCUGCCAUUUCUGAAGAACUUCUUCAGGAGAUCACAAAAACAGUGGAGGAGGGGAAGGAUAUGCUAGGGGAAGAAGCUCCCAAUACCCCCAAAUUGUAGCUAUGAGGUAGACUCAGCUGCUAUAUCUAAAGAUCUUAAGGGGAUAAUAGAAUCAGUGGAAGAGAAGGUAAAGACAGUCUGAAUGCUGGUUAAGAUUGUUGAUGCUCACUUUUAGUUUCCAUGUUCUCCUAGCUUGUACUCCGUAUUUCUUUUGACAAUUACCUUUUUCAGACAAGGAUUAGUAUGGGCAAGGCCAUUGAAGAGGCAUCUGCUUGUGUUGUAAUUUGAACCCUCUGGCAUGAAUGUUGUUGUGAGGAUCUGUGUUUUUAAGUACUGUAGCUCAUAAAAGUAGCAGAACUAAAGUGAAUCUCCUGUGGCAGCUUCUCCGUAAAAGUUUUUUGUGCCAUGUCUUUAUUUUUUUCAGGUCAGUGUUGGCGUUGGAGUUUUUCUUAGUGAAACUUCUGGAGAUGGUACUCUAAAAUGUUAGUGCACUGUGCACAUGUGUUUCUAGCUUUUUAGCGUUCAUCCUGAAUAACCACACUAGUAACUUUUGAAUUUUUUUACCAGCUACCUAUCAUUGAUAUCUCAUGUAGGAGUAAUAUGUAGUAGCCAAAAUGGAACUUUGUACGUUGUAUUAUGCUGCAGCUUGUUUGGAUACAUGACAUGCUUUUGUUUGGUACUCUCUUCGUUUCCAACGACAAGUAGUUAGACCGUGGAUUUCUGGCAUCAACCAGGCAUUCAUCCAGGCGCUCCCCCCAUCUUCGUCUGCACGUGUGCCAGCUGUGCGAGUUCGCCUUGGUCGCGGGUUCCGGCUGCUCCCGACAUGCGGCCAUGCGUUCCAGGUGCCCUGCAUCCACGCCUGGUUGCUGUCCCACUCCACCUGACCGCGCUCUGCCGUGGCAGCGUCCACCGACCUUGCGCCGGUCCUCCAGCGCUAGCACAAGAAGCAGAGCCCCGCGAGCUCGAGAUCACGGCACCGGCGGUUCGCGUUGUAGAUCCGGCAAGCACCUGCAGCUAGCACCUGCAGGUCUCUGUCACGUCCCAAGUGAAAGCGACUCCAAAGCAAUUCGCGGGAGAUCCUCUACGGCGAGCGACUACACCGAGCCGAACCAGCGGCAACAUCGACUCCGGAUCACGGACGCCACGCCACGUGCACGAGUGCUCAACUCUCUGUGUUUCGAGUCUUCUGCAUCAUACUGUACGACUACACUACAAGCCACUUCUACGUCAGGCACAUCACACUUAUACGUCAGGCACUUCUCCAUGACAACUCGCAGACAACUUGGUUAUUUAGUCUUAUCCAUAUUAUUUGUCUCAAAUUUGCUCAAAUAUGAAUGCGUCUAUGUUUAGAAACGGUUUAGAUACACGUAAUAUUUCGACAAUUAAUUUCGGCCAAAGAGUACUAGUUUUACGUGGCACCGCAGUUUAGCGGUAUAGUCAAAAAAGCCCGGUUAUCGAAAAUACCGGUUGGCUAAUAUAUUCAUGACAGUAUAUUCUCUGUACGGUUCCAGCGCUUUCCCCAAAACGUUCGGUUGUGAUAAAAACUUUGAUCUUUCCUCGUCUAGAGGAUGAGGACAGAGGUAGCGAUCUCUGAAUGUUGGAGGUCCUUCUCUCAUCUUUGCCGUCUUCUGAAAGAACGCACGGGCUAUGUGUGGUUCGAAUCCAGCGGCACCGAGUAGCAGGAGUCCAAUGUAAUCUGCCUCUGCCUCCAUCCUGUGUACAUAUAUGGGAUAAUUCAUUUCUCUAUCGCACGAAUUCUCUUUUCGGUGUAUAUCUCACAUUCAGGAUGUAAUUAAAUCAUCACCAGAAGACAUGAAUAAUGUGAAAUGCACAAUGGCUGUACCUUUGCGAGGAGUGCGGCAAGCGGAAUAUCCGUAACGGCUUUCUGCUGGCGAUAUCAACGUCAUGCCUUGCAAUGAUAUGUCCAACCUAAACCAAAAAAAAAAAAAGAGACCAAUAUAAUGUCAAUUUGAAUCGAAAUCCAAAUUCAACAAUUAAUGACACGCGAGUACGUUGUAUAUUUGCCAUGCACUAUGAACCAAAUAUAUAGUAAUAAACGUACCUCAUGCGCAAUGACAGUGGCGAUAUCAUCGUCGGUGAAGGGAUCGUCGAGCAAUCCGGUGUACACUACAACUUUGCCGCCGGGCAUGCACAUUGCAGUUGCACCGGCGUUACUAUCCGCAACAAGGAUCACGUCCCAAUCGAGCCCACGGAGAUGCGUCGUCUGUGGCCGGGGUCCCAAUGCCUUGCCGGCCUGAUCCAGGUUCGUGGUGACACGGAGCAUGACAGCGUCGUCAUGGUCCAUGACGCCGAGGCCACGGUAAGCGGCAUGGAUGAUCUUGCGAGCGAUGAGACGGACACGCACGCUGUCCGGGUGGAGCGGGUCGAGGAUGUGGGAAGCCAUCUUCUCCUUGUACUCGGCGAAAUCGGACUCGCCGAGCUCGCGUUCGGACCGCGGAGAGGCGACGACGAAGUGCGCGCGGUUGGUGCAGGGCACGAACUCGAGGUAGCGGUGGCGGAAGGCCAUCAGCGCGGCGCCCGUGGCCAGAGCCGACAGGGCAGCGACCUUCCUUGGAUCGUGGUACCACCGGCAGCACCGGGCCGGGCUUGGUGGGGAACUAGUGCAGCAGUAGCAACGUCGAUGCUUGAUAACAUGGCGGCUUGAUAAUCCUGCAGGGAUAGAUCGCCAGACGUCCGGCUGCCGCUGCGGGGUGAUGUGGUGGAAGCGAGUACUACUGGUCGGCACCUGCUGGGACGGCCGUGCGAGGAGGAGCCGGGCCUGGUGGUGCUGGGAGAGGAGGCGGCGCGAGUUCCGCAAGCAGUUCGUCAUCUUUUCUUUUGGCGGAUCCUCUUGGAGUAAUAAGCGAUGAUCGAGCGGAUCUGUUUUUGAGUUUGGAUGUUCACACGUUGUCGGUUGGCAUUUUUAUAGAGGAAACAAGAGCGGCUGCCUUACGGUAACGGGAAUCCGAACCGAUCGCAAUUCGCAAACAAGACGUACAGUAUGUCACCUACCGGGCUUCGAUCCGUUUCGCUGGGUUUGACCGAAGGCCUUUUCUUUUCUUUCCUUCCUGCUUGUGUCCGUCCACAAAACGGAGAUAGCUGGCGGCUGGCCCUAGCACUAGCACGUCCUGUAAGUUGUAACCUGCAUGCACGUACAUAGAGCUCACGAAUAUCCCUGUCGGCCAUGAACCGACAAGAAUAAUGCUGUUUCCCGACAGGAAUAGAAUUCCUGUGUGUUAGCCGACAGGAAUAGCCGACAGGGAUAUCUAUACAGGGAUGGUCGAAAAUGUCUGUGUGUUGGCCGACAGGAGAUAUUUUUCUGUCGGCCACUCCCGUGUGCCACCGACAGGAAUAUAAUCCGUCGUCAGGUUGAGGCUCGUCGGCUCAAGGAAUUUUCCUGCCGGGUAAGUGCUGUCGGCUCACUCACAGGGAAUUAAAUUAAUAGAAAAAUUGCAUUUUCGGUCGUCAGGUGUACACAUUUGCCUGUGCAGUUGCGUCGAUAGGAAAAUGGGUUAUAGACUGACAGGAAUAUACAUAGGGCAACAUCUGUAGCCGACAGGAGAAUGGAGAUGGACCGACAGGAAAAAUCAAAAAAACUGAUAGAAAAAAUGUAGAACAUUAAAUACAAUUCAUAUUUGCACAGCACAGUAACAAAUGAAUAUAAUCUCAACAGUACACAUAACCCACAAUCAAGUCACAAACAAGUUCAUACACUCCAGAAUGUGCAAACAAGUUCGAAGCAUCACAAUACAUAUUGUCUAACAAGUCCUACAUGAAUUGAAGCUCACAAACCACAUGUCAUGACUCACAACCAUAAACAGACUACACUACCACAAAAUACACAAGUCCAGCAAACCACCUUCACUUGUGAAAAGUUAGAACCAUCCAACCACCUUCAUACGUCAGGACUCACAAUGUUCCAAGUGACCAAAAGUUAGAACCGUCCGACAACAACCUUCACUUGUCAGGACUCUGGACCGGGUUGUUGGAGCCUUUAGUCCCCCCACACGAUCUGUUGUUGCUGUUGUUGCCAUCGGUUUGCUCAGCCACCAAGUCAUGGUUGCUUUCCUCGUCAACCAUGUUGGCACCGCCAUCCUUGUGAGCCAUCACUUCCAAGCCUUCCAAGUCACCACCAAUGUUGCUUUGGGCACCUUGGGAUACGACACGAGAUGAGAUCGGAGUUCCCUGCAUAAGGAGAUACAAUUAAUAAUUUACAUGUGCACAAAACAAAUUUGGUUGCAUCAUCUUACCAACAAUAUGGCAUCUAACUACUCAUGCUAUGUUGGACAACAUUAACAUGAGGCAACAUCCUCAUUGCAGCAAGAUGAGUUCCCAUUCUGACAUGCAUGACAAUUAGAGUCAUGUACAAUAUAGUAGAAAAUUGUUUUGCUUUUAGUACUAUAAUAAACUUACUUGUGGUGUUGGAAGCAAAUUGGUUCCAAGCCAAGCCGGUGGUUCUUUGUCCAUGUCCUUUAAGAUUUCCUACAAAAGUAAAAUGCGCAUCAAGAUAUAUUCAUUAGUUCUUCUAUGACUAGAUAACUAAUGAGUUGAAAUUUCUGAUAAAGAUACACAUACCAAUAUGAGUCGAUCAUGCAACUCUAGUUUUUGCACUAGGCCCUGAUUGGCAACCUUCAGCUCCCCAUUUUCUUCAAUUACACGCUGGAGUUGAUGGCUUUGUCGAGAUGCCAAAGGAACCGACGUUCUGGAUUCUUUUUGCUUGCUUUCAAGCAUAUAUGAUUUCAUCUUUACAAACAGCCCCAUCUGCUACUGGCAAUCGACCAUGUGGCAUGCCACCACCUGAUUUAUAUAACACCUCUCCAUCAAUCUCUUCAGGAACCCAAUCAUCGGGAAGAUCUGAAUCGGCUUCUUUAGCUGCUUGAAGAUAAUUGUCCUACAAGAUAGAAUAAUAGAGUGUUGCAAUGAUGUGUUUUAGACAAGUAUUACAAGGAGGGAAUUUAGACAAGUGUAUACAUACAAUCCGCUUUUGAGCAACACAAAGUAUUGCUCCACGUGGCUUGCCAUGUGCAUCCAGAUUUUUAAACCCAGAUUUCAUUGCAGCAUAUGUAUCCAGCACCGAAGCAUUCUCAGAACCAUAAGAAUCUGCCUGCAAGUCAAUACAAAUAAUAUAAGACAUUAUUGUGACCAACAUUCAUAAAAUAGAGAAGAAAUCAACACAAGACAUACCAUACAUUGUUGUGUCAUACCAAAUGGCAUUGAACCUCCACGAUUCUGAGCAACUUCUUGUCCUUUGGAUCUACACACCUGUUCCCUCUUCCUUUUUGCUUCAUACUCUUCUGAAGUCCAAAAACGACACAUUGCAUCCCAUGCAUGCAUGUUCAGGGAACCAUGGUAUCCUGCUUUCUAGGUAUUCAUCGUAGGCAAGUUCUUCUCCACGUGCCAAAGAAUCAUCAAUUAUAUCUCCUUUCUUCUCAAUGCAUCUUCACUGCAUCUAGGCGGAGCUGGUACAUCAUGUCUACCACCUUUUUCUUUCCAUAGUUCUCAAGGACAACAUCAGCCCUCUCAUCAACCUUUUCAAUUUCUUGCUCAGAUUCGCAAUUAUCAAAAGAGAGAUCAAACAAGUUCUGCAUGUUCAAAAGUCAGUCAAGUACAAAUUAGAGGUAAACAUGUAAAAAUUCAAAACAAUUAACCGUUAGAGGAACUAUGGAAUUUACCCAGAACUCAUGCUUCACAUAAUUUCUACAGAUGCGGCAUGGACAUUUAAUUUACCAUCUUGAACUACACUAGGCAAAGAGAAAGCGUGAUUCAAGAAUCAACCAGUUUCUGCAAUCCAUUCAUUAUCGGGAAUUUUAUCAUGAUGCCAACCAUUAUACAUCCAAGCCCGGUUCGCCAUUUACCAAUUGCUGUGUUUAAAACAUUAAUUCAAACAAUUCAAUGCUACUGUCAACCAUUGCACAUCAUACAUAACAAAAUCAAAAUUAACCGCAGACAAGUCAAAAGUGAAAAAUCACACCUGUUGCCUAUCGUCUCCCUUCCCAAACCGCUUGACCAGAGAAAAACCUAAUCCAGCUGCCUUGCUCCUGUUCGGGUGUCGGAAUUGAACUUAAUUUCCAGUACAAGUACCAUCCGUGGUGUGUAUAACACAAAAUUUAGAAGAGAAGGAGGAGUACUUACAUCCAAAUUUUACGAGUGGGGGAGGAGGUGGACUGCACCAUGCAGUUGCUCCAUUCCGGGACGCAGAUCUGGGGAGACUAGGGAAUUCCGGGGCGCCAAAUUUUACGAGUAGGGGAGGAGGUGUGAGCACUGGCCGAGGUAGGAGAGGGGAGGCAGGGGGCGCGAUGGGGAGGUGGGGCCGGUGGAGGAGAGGCAGGGAGGCGCGAUGGGGAGGUGGGGCCGGUGGAGGAGAGGCAGGGAGGCGCGAUGGGGAGGUGGGGGGCGGCACGAUGGGGAGGCAGGGACGGCAGAGGAGAGCGGAGGCAAGGCCGACGCAGCCGGCGGAGGAGAGGGAGGUGAGGCCGGUGUGGGGAGCGGCGGGGGCUUGGGAGGCAGGCGGCGGCGCGAUUGGGAGGCACGAACGGCGGAGGAGAGAGAGGCGAGGCCGGCCCCCGGCGGAGGAGGGCCGAUGUGGGGAGUGGCGGUGGCUCGGGAGGGAGUGGGGAGUGAGAGUGUGAGGGAGGGAGUCGGGAGGAAUCUAGGGUAAGGGAGAGAGAGCCUGGUAAAAAGCCUGGGCUCAGACAUGUCUGAGGCCGCGCGUGGGAUCUUGCCUUGUGACUAAAUAUCCCUGUCGGUCCCGCAACUGCCCGACAGGGAAACACAUAUUCCUCCGCGUGUCGCCGACAGGCAAAUAUAUAUUCUUGUGCGUGUCAUCUAUACUCACAUGAAUAGAAAAUCAAAAUGAAAGAUUACACUUGUUUUAUAAAGAGUGUGUAGUAUAUUAUUUCAUAUAUGUGACUAAAUCAAACCAAUUGUUGCUAGUACAUUGAUUUAUAAAUUUUGGUAUAAUAUUUUUGGUAAUUCUUUUAUACAAUACUUCCAUUAAAUAGUUUCAGAAAAUCAUAAACACAUUAUUUUGUACAAAUGGUAUUGUCGCACCAGUGGCACCUGGGGUACCACCGCUGCAUGACGCGUGGGUCGCCUUGCUUGCUCCCCGCAAGGAUAGCACCCCGGGCAGCCCCGUGCAAGCUGCCUGGCAAGUCACCAGCCCGACAAGGCUAGCCGGGCUGUAGGGGUUGCCCUGAAAGGCAACAUGAGGAUUCCCGUCUGGGCGCCCUCCCGGGAAGGUCGCUUGCCGGAGAGGGCGUUCCCGGGCGCAGGCACUUACCAUAGGGGCGGGACCAAGCGGGUAGAGCAACGGCGCCACGUGGCCACCUGCCUGGUUUCCUGUGCGCAGGGCUCGUCAAGGUAAGGAGUGAAACACAAGCAAGCAUUUAAUGUUCCGACAGAAAGGGGAUUCCCCGUCUAGUCAGCCCACAAUGACUGGCUCGCUGUGAAUUCUAGACACCUAGCGCCCUAGUUGCAGGGCUACUCACCAUGCAUGCAAGCCAGCGCAGCGAGGGCAAGCUGCCCGAGUUUUUUGCUCGCCAUUUGUCACCCAUGCACCAAGGCACUUGUGGAAUCCCCUUGAGUAUAAAAGGAGGACCAUCGCCAACAGUCAAAGGGUUCGGUUCCUUACGAGUUUUAGCCAGAAAUAGCAAGUAGUCCUUAGCAAGAAAGGGGAGAGCACCCAGGGACUCCCCCAGCAACCUGUAGACCAUUGUUCAUCGGCUAAUAAAAACACAAAAGCAGGACGUAGGAUUUUACACCUCAGGAUGGUCCGAACCUGAGUAAAACGAACUUGUGUUCCCUCAAUAUUUUAGUAUGCUAUUUGUAUCAUUAUACUUUCCUAAUUGAUAGCAAGCCUAGUAAGGGUCUGCGCAAGUUCCUGAAGCACUUCGAUGGUGGGAAUGCUAUCAAAGGAAAGCUGGUGAGUUCGGCGCAUCAACUGUUAUCUUUAUACGAAACGAUCAAAAUCAGUGUGUCGCUGACAAUUAUGAUGUUGUUACUUUGCGGUAAAUUGAUUGUCGUCACAAUCAUGUUGUGUUUGGACUGGACCCAACGAGCCUAUGAUUGUCCCGCAGUUUGUUUUGGUAUAUGCUGAUAUCUUUUGAUUCUUGUAGAUACUGGCCGAUAAUUGUAAUUUCCAUGGAUACAAAAGUUAAUGAUCUUGACCUAUUAACUCUGAGUAUCUAAAUAGUAGGAUGAAUAUUGCUCUAAUUUGAUGACACGCUUAUUGGUGAACUUGUGAUCGCUCAUAUUAUUGCAAAUGGUGGUGGUUUGAUAAAUUUUGGCGAGCAGCAUGACAGCAGAUGGUGGUACUUUGAUGAAUUUUACAAUUAUGAGUGUUGAAAGCGUUUGUUCUUUCAUGUAUCAACUACCAACAGUGAAUUAAGAGGCACUCCAUCCGUUCUAAAUGUAAAAUGUUCUAACUGGUUCUAGAUGUAUGGGUUGCUUCAUGCACAACGGGGACGUUUGUGCCAUCUCGUAACCAUGCGCUUGAAGGAUCAACUAUUUAAAUCAUAAGGGCAUGAGUGCAUGAACUUUGUUUUCAAUCUUGCUACGUAACUUUUUAUUCCGGUGUAACCCACAGAUACAUUAAUAGUCUGAAAUAAUAUGAUAACAUUCUUUAAAAUUUAGUCCGUACCAACGCAGGGGACGCGAUCGUGUCCACAGAUCUAUCUCUCUUUGUCUUCUCCCUCCUCUCUGGUCUCUCUGUCUUCUCUCCCCACCCCGCACCCACCUCCGCCUAGUCCGCCGCCGGCGACCUCCGCCUGCCCCUCUCUCUCCCUUUCUUCUCCCGUCCCUCUCUCUCCCUAGGUUUCUUCAUCCCGCCCCCCCUCCGCUCUCUCCUAGCUCAGACUGCAGGUGCGGCGGGGCGAGGCUGCAGCGGUGGGGAGAGCAGAGGAGGCGCGCGCUCUCUCUCCCUCUCUCUGUGACCCGGCUUCGACCGGCGAGGCGUGCGGGCGGCGGCGGCGGCGAGCAGCGACGCGGGUCUGCCGCAGCGGGACCGGGCGGGUACGCGGAGGAGGCAGCGGGCGACGUCCUUAUUUUAUUUUUCCAUUAUUUCAUUGCCGCUGCAGGGAUCUGCCUACGAUAAAUACAUCGCACAAGUUCAGUUAACUUUUCUUUGCCGAAGGCCCACGUUUUUGCCUUCGGCAAAGCCUUUGCCAAGACCCUGUGAAAAAGCCUCCAGCAAAGAGGUCUUUGCCGGCCCAUGUUCAUGCGGAUGCUCUUUGCCGAAGGGUUUCGGCCUGCAGCAAAGACAAGUUUUGCGGUAGUGCCGACCGAGGACAUGCUCUAACACCCAUAUUGGAAACUAGAAGCACCUGCACUCCAGCCGCACCAUGCCCGAUCAACGACGAUAGAGCACAUCGAUGCUCGGGCUACGUACGGGCCUGCGCAGCCCACUGGCUGGUUUAUUUUACUCCUAUAUAUCAUUCACUCUCCUGCAUUCUUGCUCUCUGGACUGAACUGAAGAUGGCGGCAAUGUACGCCGGCAUGGCUUCAAUUCACAAACAGUACACCGGGCAUCGAUACCACAACCCGCCAAGGAUGUACACCGACACCGAGCAUACCAACAACAAGUAUUUAUGCUUGUCGGGACGCGCAGUCGAGUCUGUCGUCUUCCAUGAACUCCCCAUGGCGUGCGGUUGGCAGCAAUCUUCCCGUUCAGGCGCAAGAGGAUGCAAAUGCAUAGAUGCACCACAGGAGGAUGCGAUCCACACGCAUUUUCGUUGCCCGCCGGCGAGAGCACUUUGGCGUGCAAUGCGGGAGUGCUGGCAACCAAGAAACAAUUACCCUGGUAGGAUCUGCAAGCCUGGUCUAACUGCACAUCAACUAUUAUGUAUUUAUAUAUCCUUGAUACUUGCUUGGCCUCUUUCACAUGUUCAAACAUCAUCUUUCGAAAAACAUUCAGUGUUUUCGAGAUUUUGCAGGAAAAAAAAAGAGGGACAGCGAUGGACCAGUAAGUGUAUCACUCUGAAAUGUGGCCAAGAUAGUUCCGGUCGAUUUUUGUCCUAAUUAGUUGGUGGCCAUGGUGUCUUUUUUGUUCGUUUGCUCACUCCUGCUCUCUCUUUUUAGGACCCCUGGGCCGGGGUCCAAGUUAUCAGCUACGAAGGAUGAGUUUUUGCAAAUACGUGAGGGGCAUAACAGAGAAAUAACUACUACAGGUUGCUGAUUUUGGUUUAUCAAAGAUGAAACAAGCCACCUUGUUUCUGGUAGAAUGAGAGGAACUCUUCCAUGGAUGGCUCCAGAAUUGCUGAUAGUGAGCGGCACUAAAGUUUCUGAAAAGGUAUUAUUCUGAAUCUUGUUAAUAACUGGACUUGUGAAGGUAUUAGAAAAUGUGAAGUACUAACAAAUCAUGGCAUUGUGUGUUUCCCUAUUUCACUUGACAUUUUGGAACAAAUGUAUAUCUUAUACUCUUAUCAUCCGUGAAUCUAACGUUAUUCAAAUUGUACCGUGAUGGUCAAGAUACCUGAGUUGCUCACUGCGAGAUAUAAACGAUUAAUGAUCCUUCAUGUUCAACGAAAACUAAAGCAUGCCUCAUAUACAAUUCAUGAAAGUCACAAGUAAUCGUUAAACAACUAUAGUAUACCAUGCAAACCAAAAUAGAACUGCUACGCCUGGCUUGUUUUGCUUUUUCCUAGACUAAAAUAUACCAACUUUAUGCUCACUCAGGUUGAUGUAUAUUCUUUUGGCGUUGUGAUGUGGAAAAUUCUCACUGGUGAGGAUCCAUAGAAUGCACUAUGGAGGAGUCAUAGGUAUGCAUACAGUAAUUUGACGGAGUUCCUUUAUAUUGUCAAUCUGCUCUGCAUUUUCUGAACCUGACAAAGCUGAAUAUUUCCUAUCAGGCUCCUACUACUACUCCUGCUCCACCCUCAGCAUUUCCCCUUACAUUUGGGACCUCUUGCAGGAAAUGUGAUUUGCUUAUUGAAUGCAUCAGAGUGUCUAAAUAAAACUCUCCGCCAAAUCUGCCAUGAGCCGUUCCUAGCAAAAGAGCUACCAAUGCUACCAGCUGAGAAUGGACAUGCAGUACCAGAUAAAAACAUAACUGGUGCAAAUCAAACUGCAAGCACUGGUAGAAAUUUCAGUUGGGUGCAUACUUUAGGAUAGCUGGUGCAGCUAGUGCUACUGCAUCAUCUGCUGCUGCUGUUCAAGCUGCUAAUGUGGUUUGUCAGACGUCCGAGAAAGUUAAGAGAAAGAGGGAGCAGUAACAAGCAGCAAGGUAGGGAAAAUGCUACUGUAUUUAGAAUAGCACAAUCCUCUACAAAAACAAUCAAAUGUGUCACACACUGUUAACCUAGGAAAAAGUGAUGUUGUAUCUGGAAAGAAGAUGAAAAGUGUGGGUAAAGAUGCUGGGGACAAUUGUUUUAGAAUGCCAGGUGGAUGCAUUCCAUUUUCUACCAGCAGUGGAUCCUCUCGGUUUCGACAUGUUAAUGGGGGCCACUGGGCCCAACAGGAAACAGAGUGCUCCCACUCUCAUAAGCAUGACCUUUUCUAAUGCUGCAAAGAGAAGAAUUAUGAUAGACAAGGCGAAAGACAAUUUGACUGAGAAGCUAAAGGAAAUUAGAAGUAAAACAGUCCAAGUUAUUGAUGGAAAAGUGAGCAGCAAGCAAGUGGUUAAUGAACAUGUUGAUGGUAAUGAAACUCUUGCAUCGGAUUAUUCUAAUGCAAAUGAAGAUUCUGAAAAUGAAGAUGAUGGCCCCAUCCUAUUAUAUUAUUCCUGAAUCCUGAUCCUCAUUUCCAUGAUUUUGAUAAGGAUUGCAGCGGGGAAUCUUUUCAGAGUGAUCAAAUUUGGGCUUUACAUGAUGACGAAGAUGGCUUGCCUCACUAUUAUACAUCUAUUCAGAAACCUCUUUCCUUGAGUCCAUUUAAUCUCAAAAGUUAGCUUUCUUACUGAAUUUGGUUCUUUAAACUGGGUUUCAUCUGGCUUCAAAAAGACAUGGUGAUUUCAGGAUUGGUAGAUGUGAAACCCGUUAUGUAUUUAACAUAUUCCCUCACCAGAUUAUAUGUGAGAAAGGUCCAAGUGGGGUGAUUUAAAAGUUACCCACAGAUAGGCGACAUCUGGGUUGUAUAUCGAAAUAAUAAGAUCCGUGUUUAUGAUCUGGCUGAGGUACUGACUGAUUAUGAUGAAGAUUACAGCAUUAACUGUCCUUCCCUUGAUAAAGAUAUGGAGAUAUCAAACAGUUUUUUAGCGUCAUCAAGGCCUGAAUGUCAUCAAGAGGAUUCCAAAAGAUUAGAUGUUGUGGUUCUCACACCAGGUUCCUUUUGUUAGGAUGUCAGGGGAAGAAGCUCCAAAUGAGGUAGACCCAGCUGCUAUUUCUGAAGAACAUCUUCAGGAGAUCACAAAACAGUGGAGGAGGGGAAGGAUAUGGUCGGGGAAGAAGCUCCCAAUGCCCCCAAAUAUAACUAUGAGGUAGACCCAGCUGCUAUAUCAAAAAAUCUUCAGGGGAACAUAGAAUAAGUGGAAGAGAAGGCAAAGGCAGUCUGAAUGCUGGUUAAGACUGUUGAUGCUGAUUCUAAGAUGCUUUUCGGACCUGCCUUUUCAAAUCAUAUAUUUGUCGACAUUUUCUAGUUUCCAUGUUCUCCUAGCUUGUAUUUGUUUUGACCAUCACCUUUGCAGACAAGGAUUCGUAUGGAUUUAAUUAUUGAAGAAGGAACUUCAAUUUUGGUUCAUCUGUAUCUUACUCCUAAAAUGACCAGUAUAUGAAUAGAGGGUCCAUGCCAGGAUUGCCAGUAAGUGCCCGUGAGAGAUUCGCAUGACCAAAAACUGGUUACAAGCGCAGGAUUAGGUUAUUGCUCUUUAAUGUAUGACGGUUAACGGGUUAAGAGAUUUAGGUGAAGCCGGCUAAACUGCUAGACAUAAUGGUAUUUCUGAAUCAUCCUUGUGGUACAGAUGUGAAGUUGCGAGAGUAUAUGUUUCUAACAUUGUACCACAUGAAUGAUGCACUAGAGUGCACAAUGUAACGUGCACUUUUCACCAGGAUCCCCUUGGAGUAAAUGAAAUAAGCAUGACGUACGACCUUGAUAACAUCAGCAUAACUACAUUAAAAUUUAUAGAUAACCAAAUAUAAGUGGAACUUUCAUUUACUAUUUGCUAGAUUAGAUAUUCCAGUAACAGCAUGGGGGCAGAGACCAAAUCGAAAUUACCCUGCCAGUCGGUCAACUUUGGGGACAAUAGAGUCGAACACUUGCAAGUUGGGAGUCAAAAAAAUAUAUCCAUGUUUGUAUCAUAUAUGCGCAGGUAGGAUAUGUAUACAAGAAGCCAGAGUGAUAUCAACACAGAGAUUCGCAUUUGUUUGCUUGCAGCAUGCCGCGGAGACCAGUUGCAACUUCAGAGAAAGAAGGUCUUCGCCCAGGUUCGGUUGACCAGCAUUGCUCCAUCAGUUUCCUCCAUUCUGGCUUACACGAAGUUGGCACUGGUGGCCUCAGUGUGUUGCUCAAAAUCCCCCCUGCACAUGUCCCGUUGGGCGUUGGCAACGAUUAAUCUUUACUAAAGAAGACUGAAGGUAUGAUAUCUGAUUCUAUUAGCAUAUACACUUUACAUCUCUACUUUAAGAUUCAUACAAAAGAAUAUGCCAGAAUCCAACAAGUUUCUUGAGCCUUGUAGUUUUCAAUAACCGACCAGGAACUACCUAAUUUCUUGAGUGUUCCUAGUAGACCAUAAGUAACUAGGACAAAAUCGAGCAGAGCUAUCUUGGCCACAUUUCAGAGUGAUAAAAUUACAGGUCUAUCAUUGUCCCCUUUUCUUUUUUGGGAAAAAUAUUGAAUUCAUAUCAUAUUAUUCUAAAGAUGACGUUUGGAACAUAAGAAAGAGGCUAAACAAGGUUCAAGUAGAUAAUAGUUGAUGGGCAGUUAGACCAGGUUUGCAGUUCCUACCAGGGGUAAUUGUUUCUUGGUUAAUUACCAGCAAAGUUGUUUCCCCUGAUUAGGCAGUUCCACUGGAAGCUAGUACUAAGAAUAUCUUUUGGGACUAUUAAUUUCUGAUCACUUACGUAGAGACAUGCUUGAUCUUGAGAUUUCUUUGUUAUGUAUAGGUUCAUGGGUUUAGGGGGAAGAAACCGGAUUCUUACUGGAUAAUCAACUAUAGGCUCUUAAACUUGUACGGUUAUAUCACUUCAUUCCCUGAACAUGAGAAAUACAUAUUCAGGCGAAUAUUCCAAUCGGAACACGUGACCUACUGAUCUCUCUAUCCCUCCCUUCCCUUUUAUAUCCGUAUAGAAAGGCCUCUUUCCCGUAGAUGGAUCGUAGAUGGUUCAGGGAAGGACUGCCACCUGAGUGCAUUUAUUGAGAGCCCCUCUUAUUCGGCCCAAGUCUGCACUGUUAGCUGGCCCAUGUACGUUGUGUAAUUUUGAACCGGCACAUGUUAGUCUUGGGCCAACUUGGACCAAAACCACACCUUCUCGUACCGGUACACCAAAACUACUGUGCUGGCCCAUCUUUGACCCAUUCAAUGCUGCUGGUUUUCAAACCUUCCUAGGAUCCCACCCGAAAAUGGCCCAGUACGCGCACUGUUCUCUACCCCGCCCCAGGCAACGAUCGAACGCUGCGAGAUUCAGUCCGUCCUAGAUCACGGGACCAUAAAGUCUAUGUCCAUAUUCAGGUCCCUAAACUUGAUGAUUUUACCUUUUGUUUUGCGAUAUAUUAAUGUUUGACUUUGUGAUCUGAUCUGAAAUGGAUGGAUAAUUGAUGUUAUUUUUAAAAAAGAAGAAUUGUUGUUCUUUGUUUAAAUGGAGUUACCGUAGAUCUUAAAAAAGAGCUUUCCAUGGACAUUGUCAAGUUUUAACUUAAAUAAGCUGUCACUAAUUGAUAAUUCAAGUGGUUCAGACAUAUCCCUACUCAGAAGCUUAUGAUUCAAUUGUAAUUCUUGAGGACCUCAAACGUGGGUUUGUGGUAAUGUUUGGAGAUGUCUGCUGUCGUGAAACCAUAUAUUGGUCUUGUUUUUUUUUCCUUUUAUGUAAGCCAGUGAGUCGGCCUCGAUGCAGAUGCUGAGAGACCGGCUUGCCCGUCCUUUUUGAAAAGAAAAAAAUAAAUGGGAAGUUCUCAUGUUUAGAACCUACAAGGGACACAAUUGACAAUCAUGGAAGUUUAGGAAAAUGCCAUUUAUGAAUACAAUGUCGUGAGCAAUUCAGAAGAUGAGAUUUCUGUGACAGCAUACGGAGUGAUGAUGUUACUGUAUGCAUACCUAUGACUCCUCCAUAGUGCAUCCCAUCGUAUGGAUCCUCACCAGUGAGAAUUUCCCACAUCACAACGCCAAAAGAAUAGACAUCAACCUGUGUGAGCAUAAAGUUGUUGUAUUUGAGUCUAGGAAAAAGAAAAACAAGCCAGGCAUAUAGCAGUUCUAUUUUGGUUUGCAAGGUUUAUUGUGGUUGUUUAACUAUUGCUUGUGACUAUGCUGUAGUUUUUAGACUUUCUUGCUUUCAUGAAUUGUAUAUGAGACAUGCUUUAGUUUCUGUUGGACAUAAAGGAUCAUUAAUCGUUACAUAUCUCCCAGUGAGCAACUCAAGUAUCUUGACCAUCACGGUACAAUUUGAAUAAUGUUAGAUUCACGGCUGAUAAGAGUAUAAGAUAUACAUUUGUUCCAAAAUGUCAAGUGAAAUAGGGAAACACACACAAUGCCAUGAUUCAUUAGUACUUCACAUUUUCUAACACCUUCACAAGUCCAGUUAUUAAAAAGAUUCAGAAUAAUACCUUUUCGGAAACUUUAGUGCCGCUCAUUGUCAGCAAUUCUGGAGCCAUCCAUGGAAGAGUUCCUCUCAUUCCACCAGAAACAAGGGUGGCUUGUUUCAUCUUUGAUAAACCAAAAUCGGCAACCUGUAGUAGUUAUUUCUCUGUUAUGCCCCUCACGUAUUUGCAAACAAUUAUCCUUCGUAGAUGAUAAAUUGAUAUCAAUUGGCUUCCCACAUUUGCAUUUGUAAAUUAAAAUUAAUCAAACAUUAUACUACUCUAAUCAUGAAGUUGUGGCAUACCUUGCAUAUGGGACGAGAGGGAUCCUUAAUAUUCACUAGCAGGUUAUCACAUUUCAGAUCAAAGUGGACAAUGUCCUUGGAGUGCAAGUAUUCCAUGCCAAUGGCCGCAUCCAUUGCAACCAGUAUCCGCUUGCGCCAAUCCAGAUAUUUGUCUUUGCGACUGAGGACUUUCUUUAGGGAUCCAUUGACCAUGAAUUCUGUUACAGUACCUAAUGUGCCCCCUGGCCCAUUCUUUACAAUCCCGUAAAGUGCCAAAAUAUUUGGGUGGUGAAGUUUUGAGAUUAUAGCUGCCUCUCUCCAAAAUUCUGUUAUCUGCAUGAUAAUACAUGUUGCAUUUUCUUAUGAUGGAUAAAGCAAUGCUCCAUGCAUUAUUUUCUGUAAACUAGGAUUUAAUACUUUAUAUAUGCAAAGUCACCAGCCUAUCUGAUCCUGAAACCAGUAUAAGGAAAAUGCUUUGUUGCGACAACAGUUUUUACCAUGUUGCUCUGAUCUAAUUUCAUCUAAGAUCUAACCGAAGGAACUGAACUGAACGGUCAAUUACUUGGCUGAAUCUCGGGGAUGUUUCAUUGGUCUUGGAGUACAAAGCCAUAGUAUCUACCUCCUUAACCGGUAAAUGUUUCUUUUUUUAACUGAUCCCCUUUGGCCUCCGGGGUAUUUGGUGACCAUGGGAUAAGGAAUGCCCCUUGACUGAAACUUCAAAUAAUGCAGGCAUGUGUUGAUAUAAUAUAGGCUUACCAGUUUAUCUGCUUGAGAUGAUGGGUGCGAAAAACAACUGUUCUUUAUCCGUUUAAUGGCAACAUCUGUUCCCCUCCAUUUUCCAUGAAAAACAGUCCCAAAUGCUCCAGAGCCCAUCUCACGGAGAUCUUCAAGGUCCUCAUUGCUUAUUAUCUGCCAUUUGUAUGGUAUAUUGGUAUCAACUUGAGGAACAUGUACUUCUGUUUCUAGCAUUUAAUGCGAAAAAGGUAGGAGAUCUGUGCGAACAACUUUUGCUGAAAAAUCUUGUUUUUGUGUACAGUUAUUUAUUCAAGCCUGACAUUGGGUAGAUUAGGGGGUUAAAUGAACUGUUUUGUACUUGCGGGGUUAUGUGAACUAGUGAGAUACUAUAGGGGAGUGAAAAAAAAAGAACUUAUUUCUAACAUUUUAUAUUUCUUUAGCUUGAUAUGCCUAUGUCAGAGAUAGCAUGACGAGUUAACUUACAAACCUGGACAUUACUUAUAAGAUCUCUGACCAGCACUGCAUUUGCAGGCCGAGGUUCACUGCCCUUGGUGUCAAGUACCUGCCAGUGAAGACAACUCAGAAGUUGCACAGCGCAUUGUUCGAAAUGUACCACAUCAAUCGAACAGGGUGUGUAGAUGUACCUCGGGCUCUGAGAUUGGCAGUGAAGUGUUAUUAUCUUUGUCUUCUUCUUGUGAUGGAAUUCCAGUCUGAGGAUUAACACCAUCAGUACCAACUGAACGGAAUCGAGUGAUUUUUGGUGCAUUUUCAUCUGGUCUUGGACUACUGGGUCGUUCCUGUAUUCUCUCACUUGACGCACGCGCUAGAAUAUUUGGUUGCAGAUUUAUUGCCGUGUCCAAAGCUGUAAAAACACAAGGAACCGCAGGCUGUUGCUUCAGGAUGCUAUUGGUUACAACGGACUUCUCCACGUAGUGCAAGUUGCAACCUGGGGUGCCAGAUUCAUGAUUAGGUUCACAGAUCUCUACCUUGCUGUUCUUCCUUGCCGGGUGUUCUGCUGAAUGAAACAUAUCUUCUUCUUGGGUGCCAUGCGUUCUUGAUUUUAACUUGUUCUCAUCAGAGGAGCCUUGCUGGUUCACUGUUUUCUGGGGACCCCUUGAUAAAGACGCAGGCUUUUUGAAAUGCACAGGUGGACUUGUAUGUGGCAUUGGGUUUCUGUUGUUUGAAUCCGAUGGCUGUGUCUUCUUCACACUGCUGUUGUCUGAUGGUGUCGGCAACUGGUUCCUUGGUGAUGAUCGGGUUUCUUGUGCUCCUGUAGCUUGAUGGCUCUUUCCAGAACUUUCAGUGACACUCUGUUGCUGAUGCCUUGAAACAGAGAGACCACCACCUUGCUGUUGCCUAAGUGUGGUUUCACAAGGCACAGAUGCACCAAGGUAAGCUUUACUCGCAUUUGUAGCUGCAGAGAUCAUGUUACCUUCAUUCCCUUGUGCCCUGUAAUCUUGGUUAGCCACCCGUUUUUCUGACUGACCACUUGCUGUCUUUAGCGGUACUGUGAUACUCUGUGAAGGCUUACUUUUGAUGUACAUUGAAGCUUCCUCUGUUCUGGCUGUCGGCAAUCCUAACAGACUUAAGCCAGGCAUCAGCUGGUCUAGGUCCUGGACUGAGGAUCUAUCCAUUCUCUGUGUUCUCAAUUCAUUACCUGGUCUGACGAGCCCAUUGAUAAGAGCAAUGAACUGUGCUUCCUUUUCUACAUCGGAUGAGCUUUGUACAACGAAAUGCACAUGCCGCUCAUCGUCUUUUCCUGAGAAGAGGUACAUGGUCACCAUCUCUUUCGUUCUUUCUAGCACGGUGCACUCGUCAACCAUAUGCCUGAGGUCAUCAUCAGAUGUGAUGGAAAUGAGCAUGCUCACUUGCUCCCCUGGGAGGUGGUACUUUAUCGUGUGAGCUCGCCUUAUCAGCUUUGUUGUCUUGCAGAUCAACUCUUGCCAAGAGAUGUCCCGGCGGAUUUUAAUCAGAUGCCUGUCGCCCCCAAUGUACCGAAGCUCACCAUCGCUUGGCCUUGGGAGGAACCUGCCACCAAAGUUGCAAAUAAGCUUUAUCUUCAUUGGUCCAGCAUCGUAAUCCUGAGGGAAACGUUUGCAUGAUCCUUUGGUGCUGCUGAUGACACUGAAUGGAGCAGGUGUUGGCAGAUUCUUUGGUGGUAUCAGAUCACAAAUAUUAACUUGUUCAAUCCAGUCCAUGUUGAUUCUGGGUGCACUUCUCCUUGCAGACUUCCUUGGAAUGCUUCCUUGUGUUUUGCUCUCUCUUGCAUAAAUUCAGGAAGAAAACAAUCUGACUGAACUAGUUCAGUUCAUAGCUUUGGUCUUAUUUCACCGAGAGAUCCAAAGACCUGGACAUAUCGUUUUGGAGAUUCGAUGAAAGCUUUGUUAGAAUCUUUGGUCUGCAGAGAGACACAGGAAUACAGGAUAUUCGAUUCAGCACUUGUACAUAUUCCUAUCGAUAUCAUGAGAAGAAUGACAGCCAAACGUACCUAACUACAACAUGGAAACAAAUACUCAGUUUUUGGAAGCAAGAAUGGUAGCAAAGAUGGAAGAUAAAUGAAUUCUCCUUUUAUCUGAUUUAUAAGAGUUAUAGCCAGCAAAAUUUGGUAAUACAGAAGCCUAAUAGAAAAGGAACAACUGAAGAAAGCAGAAGAGAGCUUACUGACCUCUUGGGCUGCUACUGGAGCUCAAACUUCAAGGUUCAUAAUGUUCGUCUGAGUGCUGCUUGCUGGUGUUUGAGAUACUAACAUGAGCAGAUGAUUGGAAUAACGUUCGGGAUGAUAGUUUUUGAGAGAAGAAGAAGAUGGAUGGGAGUUGGUGAGUUACUGACUCAGCUUUGAAGCAAAUGGUUGGUCAUGUCUGCAACACCUUGAACUAUAUUAGUACUAUACGAUAAGGACAUGCAGUACUAUAUACUUUAAAUAAGGGAAAAUUAAAUAAACUCUGCAGUAAGUUUGCGCUUUUGAAUAAUGCCUCUGGCUGUGAGACCGUAUGUGAGUUCAGGUUCCUGCACGUCAGUGAGACAUCCUGUGGUACUUUUUAAAUAGUGCAAACUAACUGCCUAAUUUGCAAAUCUCUUUCAUAUUUGUGCAUAUCUUAGUCAUGGAAAGACUUUUCUUGCCACAAGAUGCUUAUCAACAUGCGUUGUUGAUAAACUAAGAAUUGGAAAAUCGCCUGAACAUCUGAUUAUACUUAAUCUUUUGUAUCCAUAUAGUAUUUGUGGAACAUUGUAUAUCUUGAGCUGUGACCUCUAAUUAAUACGGACUCCAACCUCAGCUGCCACUUAACCUGGGGUAAGGGGCGGCCCUUCUUAAUACCCUGGCUGUCGUUGUCAGAUGGAACAUGAUAUAGUUUUUCUGUGAUCCAACUUUGCUCAAAAUUAGACUGAACUCUAUACUAUAUGGCCGCCCAUGACACAGUUGCAUUUGUCAUUUUGUUGCCUCAACCUGGAGCCCAUGACUGCAGAAAAUUAUAUUCCACUUGUUGCUAAUAUAGUAUUUACAGUAUCAAUUUGCAUGUUACAUGCAGGUGGGCUGUGGCUGUCAUGCAUAGGAAACACCAGGGCGUAAAAUUGUACAACUCUUGCACAUACAAUGUAUCUUUCUUAGGAAAGUAAAUCGCUUUAUUUUUUUUCUUAGUUAAUUUAUAUUCCACUCACUUUUAUCAUUUACGUACUUUACUCCCUCCGAUCCAUAUUACUUGUCGAAAUAUUACAUGUAUCUAGACACUUUUUAAAUAUAGUUAUAUCCAUAUUUGGUGAAAUUUGAGACAAGUAAUAUGGAUCGGAGGGAGUAUAUUUUAUUUUACUUUAUUCUUACUUAGUUAACUAUGUAAGAAUGGAAGAAGGUUAUGCUUAGGCAAAAGUUGUCAGGUUAUAAAGACGCAGCCAGCCCUUUGAAUGAUUUUUUUUCCUUUACAUUUUUUGUACUCCCUCUGUCCCAUAUUAAGUGCCGGAAUAUUACAUGUAUCUAGACACUUUUUAGGUAUAGACACAUUCAUAUUUAGACAAAUUUGAAUCACUUAAUAUAAGACGGAGGGAGUAUAAGCCAGCAUUUUUUGUCCAAAACAUAUAUGCAAAACAUAUGUUUUUAACCAGCGACCAAUUUCUUUCUUUGCUUCAAGAAAUAACCAACAUUUUUUCCCCAAUAAACUGCAGUAAGCAAGAAAACCCACCACUUUUCUUUCUCCAAAUAAUUGUCUUUGUAGCUUUUGGUACGAAUAUGCGCUGCACGCUGACUCCAAGUCAAUUCACCAGAAAAUGGGCUUCCAGCUGUGUACCGGAGGAAUUGUUCAUUUAUCCCAAAGUUUGUGGGUGUUCGAUGAUAUCCCCUGUUGGUGAACCUCUCAUAAAAGAGUUAAAAAGCAUAGCAGUACUAAAAGCUCGUGGGGUGUAAGUUACUCUUAAUUCUAUGAAAAUGCAUAUCUUAGUCAUAAAAAGUAUCUUAAGCGAGUCAUCGGCGGUCAGAAACUCGUUGGGGAAGGUUUGACUUGAUAACGUGGUAGUUUCGCUUUGACCACGUCUCAAUUCGAUCAGUCUUGGCAGCAAAACUUCCGCCAUGUGGUUAGGUUUUACUCACUUACCUCCCUGCCUCCUAUAAAUCCCUCCCAAGCAGCCCUUCUUCAUCACCUGUCUCGUUUCCCUCCCUACAGUCAUAUAUUAAAUAAAAAGUAACUGCACAAAAGAAAUGAAAAGAAAACUAUUUGAAACUAUUAAGCCAAGAGGCCAAAUUGGAGUAUUCUUUUCUUCUUGCUCUGUGGAAGACCAGAUUCAUCUCUUCUUUAAAUAUUUGUCUGCAUCUAUAGAGGCUGGGAGUUCGUUGGUUGAAAAUGAAGUCAGUUCGAACUUUCCAAAUGCUCCAAGCUCCCAAGGUGAUAAUCUCCAUAAACAAAGGUACCUUGAGUUUGUUUUUGAGCUGUUCCACAUUUGAAUGCACAUUUGGCAAUGGAGUGUAGCUAUCAAAGAGGUAGGACCAACAAGCUUUGGCAAAUGGGUAGUGGAAGAAUAAGUGGUCUCUGGUUUCUAAAUGAGGCACCCUACAUAAGACACAAUCAUAUGAUGGCAGGUGAAAUGUUCUCUUCUGAAGCAUAGCUCUUGUAUGGAGAUGGGUGAUGGGUAGCAUCCAAAAGAAGAAUUUGUGCUUCAGUUGACAGCAGGACUUCUAGAGCCAUCCAAAGUCAGGGGCAAUUCCAGAUGAUUAAUUUGGGCUCUGUAUGCUUGUGCAGGGAUGAAGAAAUCUUUAUGCCAUAUGUAUGACCAUAAGUCUUGGCCAUCAGAUUGUGAGACAUUGUCAAAAAGCUCCAUGAGUUGGGUGAAUUGAUCAUAGGCAGUGAGGGAGAGUGGGAGAUAAAAGAGUGUCUCCUUAUUAUCAUUAAGGAAAAAGUCUUGAAUAGUAGCCUCCUUGUUCCUGGCAAACGAGUAAAGGUGGGGCCAUUUGAUUUCCAUAGGUGCAUCUUGCCAUUUAUCCUUCCAAAAGAUGGUGGAGGCCCCAUUGUUAACCUUGAUGAUAGAUAGUUGCUUAUAAAUGUCAACAAGCUUCGGAAUGUCCAUCCACCAGAAUGAUGCAGCAGUCAAUUUUUGUGGAGGAAGGUCUGAGUGGUAGUGUUUCUCCCAGAUGAAUUGAACCCAUGGAAUAUCCAGUCUGUUGUAGAAUUUGUGAAGAUUUUUUAUAAGCAGAGUUUUGUUCUGAAGGCUGAUGUUGAUGACACCCAGUCCACCUUCAUCCUUUGGUAUACAAACCAUCUCCUAGGCAGCAAGAGGUGGGUCGUUUCCCUUGUCAUCCUCUUAUGUGUGUUGAUCGCUGUGAAUGGAAGCUCUGUCGCCAUGUGUCCCUAGCCCCCUAGGCCCAAGCGUGAACAAGUUAUGUCUUCAGGUAUCCCCUGUAGGAACAAGUACCCACCUAGCACAUCCAUGAAGCUACGGCCGCGGUAGCGAAAAGGCGGGUUCAAGGAGAAGAACCAGGGCGGUCCUGAGAUUUCAGGGGCCCGGUGUGAAAUCAGGACCCGAGGCAAGGGGUCUCGUCUCAGGGCAGGGGCGCACGGCCUGUCUCGAUCCAACGAUCUAGAAUUGCCAAUUGGAAACAAUUGGGAUUUCGGGAGGGAGUCGGCCUGACUCGGCCAGUUGGGAGUCACGAUCGAUGGGAGUUACGAGUUUUGGGCCAGAUGAUUGUAUACCAGGACUACGUAUACCUAGGAGGGUUGGGGGCCCUCAAAAUUUUUUGGCCCUGUGUGGGGGCACUGCCUGCACCCCGGCCCCCAGGCCCGGGCCUGAGAAGAACUGUGGCGUGUGUCCAGCACGAGCGACUUCUUCGCCCUAGCUAUGCCACAAAAAUGAGGCAAGCCACUCCGAGCCAUCAAUCAGACCUUCAUCAUGGCAGGAGAAGGAGCAAGGACGAGCUUUAACUCAAUGUUGCAAAUGUACCUGACCAGCGCGACGUAGUCAUUGGUGAUGCGCAGAAUCACAAGGCGCAGUGCAAUGGUUCAUACGGCAAUGAGCCAGCCUAGGAGUUGUGGUUGUAGUAGCAUUUGACCCCCCCCCCCCAUGGGGUCUGCCGGCGAGAAGGUAUUGCGAGAGUCAUUGGAAGUACCAGGGCUUUGGGGGCCCAAGAGGACGGAGGUGGAAAAGCGGCAGAUCGACUUGGUGGCAUGGAUGUCGAGAAAGGCGCAUGCGACGACGACUGAUGGGUGUUGUGACUUGGCAAAGAGGACGAUGUAGGAGACGGCACUAAGGAACGCUGUAGGGUAGAAGUGCGGAAGCAGAAGAGCAAGGAGGGCCGCAAAAUGGAAGUGGAAAAAUUCUAGAAGGCUACAUGCAAAAUAUCCGUUAGGCCUGCGCGUCCACUUUGCCGGUGUAGCCAAAGUUAAAGCGUCACGCUGGCAGGUUAACUUUAUGACUACCGGUGACUUACUUAGAGGUACUUUUAGGAUGUAGAUAUGCAUUUCCAUAGAAUUGAGACUAACUUGACAAACCUCAACUUAGUACCAAGUUAAAUGCACUUGCGGUUGCAAUUGAAAAGUGAAGUAACUACAAGUGCAUAGCAAAUGCAAAUUUAACCUCGAUCUUAAUAAGUGAAGCAACAACAUAGCAAAGAAACAAUACUCAGUCGGUGUCGUCGCACGGGGCUCCGACACCGGGGGCGUGCUGGCACGCCCCCUUUUAGGUUCGGCGGGGGCAUCGGGGAUCGCUCCGGCGAUCACCGGCGUGGCCGAUGGCGUACGUAACCUGCAAAGAGGUGCACCUAGAAUGCAUGCAAGCUAGGAACACAUGCACGCACGUUUUUACCCAGGUUCGGGCCACCUGGAGGUGUAAAACCCUACGUCUUGCUUGUCUGAGCUUGUAUUAUCGCAAAACCAAGUGUUUACAAGUUGCCGGGUGAGUUCCCGGGUACUCUCUCCCUUUGGCUAAGUGUUCCUUACUACCCUCUGCUAAUGCUAGAGGCUAACUGUGAGCUGAUCGAACUGAACCGAACCAGCCAGGGCUAAACCCUUUGACCGUUGGCGGGGGUCCUCCUUUUAUAACCAAGGGGAUACCACAGGUGCCACGGUGCAUGCAUUACAAGUGGCGAGCAGGGAGAUAGGGCAACUCCCCCUCGGUACGCUGGUGGGCAUGCAUGAACGCCAACUCCGCUGCUAGGGGUCUAGAGCCCUACAAGUAGGAUUGGACAGCCACUGUUUGCCCAACAAGACGAAUAACGCCCCUCUUGUCGGCUCAUUAAAUGCGCCGUGCGGCUCACUCCUCGCCCUGGUGAGACUGCACUCUGUGCGCCCAGCGCGCGCCCAUGUGGCGUCGCUGCUCUGCCCGCUCGGCAAGUGACUUCCCGGGAGGCGCCCAGGUGGGACUGCGCUCGGAAACCCCUCCUCCCGGCAAGUGACUUCCCGGGAGGCGUCUAGGCGGGAAUAUUCCCCGAAGCCCCGCUAGCCCUUCAAGGCUGGUAGCUUGCCGGGUUGCUUGUAGUUGCCGCCCGGGAUGAGGUCCUACCAGGAACUCGGCGACGAGGCCCACGCGUCGUGCAAUGGUGGUACCCUGGGUGCCACUGGUGCGACAGUAGCCGCCCGGCGUGGGCCGGCAACACCUGUUCCCGGACGAGUUUUCCCCAGGUCAGUUGCCGGGCUACGCCCUAAACGACGCGUGGGCCCUGAUCCGCCUCGGGCCCGCGUCCCUUCGCCGCCCCAAAUACCAUGCCGUUACAGACGGGGUAGUGGGCACGUGAUUUUCGUCGUAACUUCCCCCUUAAACAGGGAAGUGAAGGCCACUCUUUGCAUUACUCCUUUUGAUUAGGAGUUAUCCCCGCGCACCCGUAGGGUGCGGAACCGGCCGUUACCAAACGGCCGGGCGCUAUAAAGUUUUUACUGCUCCAGCAAGGGGAAAGCACUUUGCUCUCCACAGCCUCCGUCUUCGACCUCCUUCGCGUCCUGCGCCCAAGUGUUUUUUGCUAGCUCCUGCCUUCGUUCCCCAUGGCGCCUCCCACCACUAGGAAGGGAAAAGAGGGGGAGGCCCCCAGGCAAGCGGCAGCCGGCAGAAGCGAGGCGGCCGCCAAGGCCGCCGCCGACAAAGACCAGAAGAAGCGGGAGAUGAGGGCCUCGCAAGCCUUCUACCGACCGGGCUACAAUGGCGAGGCGCUGGCCAAGAUCCAGCACGCCGUCGCUUCCCGGUUCAACGAGCACGGGGAGACCCACAUCCUCCCCGCGGGCGCCGAGCACCAGGACAAUGACUUCCGGGUGUUCGGGCGCUUCCUCCUCACCGGGCUAGUGCCGCCGUUCUCGUUGUUUCUCCACGCGCUGAUGGAGUCGUACCAGCUGCGGGUGGCGCAACUUCACCCCACGUCGCUCUUCCUCCUCGCCACCUUCCAAUUCCUCUGCGAAGCGUUCGUAGGGGUGAUGCCGUCGGUGGCGCUCUUCCGCCACUACUUCUACCCCUGGAUCGACAACGCGAACACGAUGUCGUCGGGGGUGGUUUUCCACGCCCGCGACCGGAUGAAAUCUGAGUUCAUCGUCCGGUCGGAGAAGAAGAUCGAGAAGGAGUCGCGCGGGGACUGGUGCUGGGUCCGCGUAGAAGACCCCGAUGAAUUCAUCCUCCCGCCCACCGAGUUGCCGCAACCCCACGCGGCUGCCGGCUGGCGGGACCGGUACCACCGCGACGCUGAUCUCCUCCCCAUCGUGGAGAAGAUCAAGGCUCGGCGUCUAGCGGGGCUUACCAACGUCGACGUGGCGCGUACCUUCAUCACCCGGCCCGCGUUGAUGUACACGGGUUCCGGGGACAGGACACGCCUCCACCGCGAAGGCGUGGAUUCGGAAUCCCUCCAGGUGUGGGUGAGGGGGAUCUCCGGCGAGGACCUCCCCGCAACGGGGUUCUCGCCGAGGGUCAUUUCCCUCCAUGCCGGUGUCACGGGGCUCAACGACAUCGUCGCUGCCUUCCGGCCCUGCAACAAGUGGGGAUUGAUGGACGAUACCCCCACUCGGGCCCCGCGUGCUCCCCCGCCAGCACCUCGCAGAAGCAGGUGCUUGAGGAGAGCGAGGGCGAGUCAGAGAUCAGCUGGCCCUCCCUCCAGUCUCUGGAUGACGAGGCGGGCCAGCCUGCGGCGUUCCAGGCGGUCGUUCCUGUGGACGAUGAGGACACUGAUGACGCGCCCCUGAUCGUGCGGAGAUCAAGGGCGUACGCAGCGGCCGCGGCUACUGCCACGGCGGCUGCGGCGGUAUCUUCCCCAGCGGCGGCAGCCACCCUAGGGACGUCCGUCGGCAGCUCCGUGGUGACCACAACCGCUGUGGUCUCCGGGGCCACGGCGGCGACCACCCCGGUGACAACCGCCAGCGGCCCGGCGGCGGCAGCCUCCUCGUCAACUCCCGCGACGCCACGACACCCCCACGGGCACCCACGGCGCUGCCCGCUCGGGGGUCACGGCAACCCCACAGGCACCCACGGUGCCGCCCGCUCGGGGGGUCUUCCGGGGUUUCGCGCUCCGGCGCAACCCCCCAAGAACCGUCUGGCCGGCGAGCGCCAGCAAGAGGGGGAGGGGCGACUCCCUGCCCGCCGUGCCGAACAAGAAGGCGCGCGGACGCCGGCAGCGCUGCCGACCCCGGCGUCACUGGGGCCAGUGGCGCCGCAAUCGCACCCGUCGGCGGCCCAACUCCAACGGAGGUGGUGCCGGCAACAGGUACGGCUCCAUCCUGUCUCCUUUGCUGCAUUUUCGAUUGUUAGUUAAUCACACAACCGUACCUUCACUUUUCCGUAGGUGAUACUUUGCCUGCGGCAAGCCUCUCGGAAGCUCCCGUCAGGACGGAUGAGGUGGGGGAAGCUCCCCCCGCAAGUCCAACGGCCUUGCAAAGUAACCACUCUGAUCCCUUUCCUCUCGCUUUUGGCUACUCUUUCGCUCGUCGAUUCUCACACUUCUUGUUGCUGCAGGCCCAAGCGCGCCCGCACCAGGAGCGGGCGCUACCGUGGUUGAUCUCGACUCCGAUGUCGAGGUCACGGGGGCAGCGGAGGAGCCGACAUCGGCUCCCGCACCAAGCCCUACCGCGCCGGCCACGGCGGCAGCGGUGACCACCGCCACCGCCGGGACGGCGCCUGGCGACGUGCCGGCAGCCGCGGACGCAGCUGGCAUGGAUUCGCCUGCCGCCCAGCAGGAGACGGCUCCUUCCGGGGGCACGGUGGCUUCUCCAGCCCGGAGUCCCCAGCUGCGGGUGAAGGGGAGGUUGCCGGGGAAGGGCGACAGGAUGCCCCAGAGCAAGCAGACGGGCUUCGUCGUCAUCGGCCGCCUCCUCCAACACCGACCUCGGCACCCUUGCCGGGGUGGCUUGGAAUCCCAUCACCUUGGAUCCGAGCGUCUUCGAGCGAGGACACCGGUUCCUGGACGCCGUCAAGGACCAGCAACUGGCCUUCGUCACCUCUUUCAACGAGGUGAGGGAGCACCACGCCAUCGCCAAGAGCCAACUUGGCGAGGUGCGGGAAGCUGUGGAGAAGGAGCGACAAGAGCUCUCACGGCUGCGCGAGCAGACGCGCCUAGCCAGAGAGGAGGCGCGCCUUGCCCAGGAAGCCCUGGAGGGCGCCGAGGAACCGGUCGUCCUAGAGGCUGAGCUCUACCGGUGACUGGAGGCUCAGCGCGCCGAGCUUCAGGGGGCGCUGGACUCGCUGGCAGUGACCCUUGAGGAAACCAAGAAGGAGCACGCUGGGGUGCUCGCGGCAGCCCAGGCCUGGCUGGACGAGAAGAGCGAUAUGAUCGCCAAUUACCGCGGCGAGAUCCAGGGCCUGCGCGUCAAGCUGGGGGUGCAGGUCCAGGCCACUGAGAGCACGGUGAAGCAGCGGCCCGGCAUGAGAUCUAGCUCGGCUCUGCCAAGGACAGAGCGGCCCGGUUCUAGACCGAGCUGGCCACUGCCCGGGAGGAGCUUGCCAAGGCCGGCAAAGACAUCGCGGUCAAGACCGCGGAGCUUGCAGCGCUGGAGAGCAACCUCCGCAAGGCCAAAAAGGCCGCGCAUGAUGCCCGGUUCCACCAUGACACGCUGAUCGGGCAGCGGCAUAUAGAGACCGAGAAGCUGCUCAAGAUCGCCCAGGCGUUGCGCGAUUUGCUGCCCCGGUUCGAGCUGCAGGCCGCGGCGGUGGACGGCACGGACGUCUCAACGCUGAUCCCCUUCUUCUCCGACCUGGUGGAGAAGCUCGGGGCGCUCAACGUCUGGACCACCCAGUACGGCGCCAACGAGGUUGCCAACUGCGCCCGGGAGGUUGCCGGGACGAUCCUCCCGAGGAUACACCUCCGGGACCCGGAGUUCCCCUUCGAGACGCUGUGGGACGCCUAGUCGGACAGCGAAGAUGAGCCCACCCACACCCAAGCGGUGCGCGGGUUCGUCGACGAGGUGGUCGAGCGGAUGCAGCAGAAGCCGGACCCAGAGCCGUCCCCGGAGCCCCCGGAGGAAGAUGUCGGCAACUAGUUGCCGCAGCCCCCAGCCGUCCUUGUUGUUUUCCGGUGUAUCUUCUUUUUUUUUUGCCCUGCAAUUGUGGCGCUUGGCGCCGUUUGAACAAUUACAUUCCCAUUAGCUCUUGUAAUCAUUCGCUACUUAAUUAAGCUUUUCAGUUCUACUUAAUGUUUGCUUCUUGUUCCCGGGGCUGCCUCGCGGGGCGGCUCCCUUAGCCUUUGCGUGUUGUGCCUUGUGUUGCCGGGGACUCGCGCGCCUUACGCUUGAUUGGACUAGGGACCCGGGAAGGACCCGCAGUGCCGACCUGGGGUCAAGCGGUAGCGGCGAGCCACUCCACUUGCGGGGUAACUACUCCAAGCCAUGCCCUCCCGGGACGGACCCAGGAGCCACAUGGGGAGCGCACUUCCCCCGCAAGCGUCCUCCUAACACUCCGGCCACGCGCAGUUUUUGGGGCCACACUUGACGAAGCAGCGUUCAGUUAUGUUCGGUUCUCAAGGAUUUUAUCGUUCAGGUUCAAGCACUUAGCUUCUCGUUCAGUCUCGUGCUCAGGAUGCUUGCCGGAUAUGUGCGCCUGGCACGUUUCCCUGGAGAGAGUCCGCUGGAGGGAUGUGGUGGAGACGCCGUGGCAGGAUCGCCGCUGGCGACAAGCGCCGACGACGAUGCUCCCACCGCGCCUCCACAACAGCCCUCGCCUUUGAAAAGAAUCCCUUGCUUCCGGGGGAACCUGUCCCGAGGGGUGCGGCGGGGACGUCGUGACUUCCUCGCCGCCGUCAGCGAAUGCGGGUGGCGAGGACGCCACGGCGUCCCCGUAGCAGCGAUUGAGGAAAAAGCUGCUUGAGGGACGUAGCAGGGACGCGGCAGGGGCACUGCAGUAGUGCACCCGUUGGCGCCGGGCGCCGAUGGAAUGCACCACCACAGUGCCUCCGCGGCAGCCCUCGCCCCGGAGCCGCUCGCUAGAGGAGACGUAGCAAGGGCACGGCGGCAGUGCACCCGUCGGCGUGGAGCGCAGAUGGCAUGCACUACCACCGUGUCUCUGCGACGCCUCUCGGAGUGGGCUCGGUGGGGGAUGCGGCAAGGGCGCGAUGGCAGUGCACCCGUCGGCGCUGAGCGCUGAUGGCAUGCACUACCGUCGUGCCUCUGCGGCACCGCCCGCCUUCAUAACCUCUUCUUUGGCUUCGCUCUGAGCCAUUCCAUGGCUGGGGCGCACUUUUUAUAGGCGCGGGGGAAGGGCUUGCCACCGCGUGCGACGGAUCAGCACAGCACUCGUGGCACCCCUCCCCUUGAAGUGCGGUACAGUCUUUGCCACUCCGCAUGCCAAGUUGCUGUGGCACACGUGGCGGCCUCCUCCUGGGUCAAGAGCCUCGAAGUGCGGCGAGUCCCUGGUGGUGCGGUCGCUCCGCACCACAAGGCGGUGCUAUAUGCCAUGACCCGUGGGCGGCCCACGGGUAUUACAGUGCGCAAGAUUUCACUUUCCCUGCACGUUAGAUUCUUACCAGGUCCGAGGUGCUGCAAUUUUUUUUUGAAAUUCACGAAAAAUACAAAGCAACACGGGCAAUCUCCUGCCUCCCAGCCCUCGGGCACGGAAGGGUCGAUGGCAAACUUGGAUGUGAGCAUUUUAUUUCCCAGACGCAGCAACUGCGUGGUUCACAUUGCAGGGAGCCCGGCAACUACACGCCUUGUGAUGCACGUUGCGGGAAGACCGGCAACUGCAUGUCUCGUGAUGCACGUCGCGGGAAGCCCGGCAACGGCAUGUCCUGUGAUGCACGCUGCGGGAAGCCCGGCAACUGCAUGUCCCGUGCCGGAGCGAUCUGGCAACGGGUUUGUGUUUUCAAGGCUCCAGCAGCCCCCUACUCUCAACCAAGUAUGAAAAGACACUUCUAUGCACCCAAAGCAAGAGCCAGAAGGAGGAAAAUCAUGCAAAUAAACAAGGCAAUCUUAAAAUUCAGUGAAGAAACACUUAUCUUUAUUCACAAUAACUAGUGGUUUACACACGGGGGUUGCCCGGCUACACUAGUCCGAGAGGUAUGCAUCGGCGGCAUCACAUGAGGGUCGGGCUCCGCCGCUUCACGGGUAGAACUUGCGCAAGUGCUCAAUAUUCCAGUUAUUUUGCACCGGCAAGCCCUCUUCGGUUUCCAGCCGGAGAGCCCCCGGUCUGGUUAACUGUACUACCCGGAAGGGGCCCUCCCAUUUCGUAGUCAACUUGUUCCCGGCCUUCGUUCCUUGUAUCCGGCGCAGGACAAGGUCUCCGUUCUCGAGCCCCCGGGGACGGACUCGCCUGUCGUGAUUACGACGGAGUCCCUGCUGGUAGCGGGCGGCCCGCACAGCAGCCCGACAUCGAAGCUCUUCGAUGAAGUUCAGAUCGUCGACCCUUUGCUCGUGUUGGCUGGAGUUGCCGUACGCACGUACUCGGGGAGAUCCGUGCUUGAGCUCGAGGGGCAGCACCGCUUCUGCCCCGAAGACAAGGGCGAAAGGGGUUUCGCCCGUUGCCCGACUAGGUGUGGUCCUGAUCGACCACAGCACGGGCUGGAGUUCUUCAACCCAGUUUUUCCCGUGGCCUUUGAGCUUGUCAAAGGUUCUCGUCUUGAGCCCCCGCAGCACUUCUGCGUUGGCUCGCUCCGCCUGCCCGUUACUCCUUGGAUGAGCAACGGACGUGAAGUAACAUUCGGUGCCCAUGCCUCGCAGUAGGCCUGAAAUACUGCGCUCGUGUAUUGCGUGCCGUUGUCGGUGAUGAUGCCGUUAGGCACACCAAACCGACACACAAUGUUUUUGAAAAACUUGAUGGCCGCCUGGGCGGUCACCUUCCGCACUGGUUCCACUUCCACCCACUUGGAGAACUUGUCGAUGGCCACGAACAGAUAUUCGUAACCGUCAACUGCUCUCGGUAGCUUACCGAUGAUGUCCAGCCCCCAGACCACGAACGGCCACGAGGAGGGGAUGACAUGUAGGGCCUGCGCCGGCUGGUUGCUCUUCUUCAAAUGGAACUGGCACGCUUCGCAUGUCUUCACCAGCCGCUCCGCGUCGGCCAGGGCCGUGGGCCAGUUAAAACCGUGCCGAAACGCCUUGCCGGCCAACGCCCGGGAGGCCACAUGGUGGGAGCAUGUGCCUCGAUGUAUCUCUUCUAACAACGCGCGCCCUUCGUCUUGCGGCACACAGAUGAGCUUGACCCCAUUUGCACGCCUGCGGUAGAGGUUCCCGUCCACCACGGCGUACAUUUUGGCUUGCCGGGCCACUCGUUCUACGGUGGCGUCGUCUUCCAGGAGAGCCCCCUCCUUCAGGUAGCGGGCUAUUUCCAUCGCCCAGGGAGGGGUCUCCCUGCCAACGCAUGCUGCCAUGACGGCGGCAUGGACCCCUGCUAUUGUGGGGUUUCCUUCGGUUGCCGGGGGGCUUCCCCGGCAAUCGGCUUGGGGGCGACUGAAAGAGCCGCUUGCUUUUGGCAGAACACCCCUGCCGGGGGCUUCCGGCACUCUGCUGCCAUCUUGGACAGCUCGUCAGCCGCGAAGUUGUUCUUCCGCUUGACGUGCUCGAACCGCAUGCCCUUGAACUUGCGUUCUAGCUUGCGGACUUCCUCCACGUACGGUGCCAUCUGCGGGCAGUCGUAGUCCUUGUUCACCUGGUUGAUCACGAGCUGGGAGUCCCCGCGAACAAUCAGGCGCUUGAUGUCGAGGGCGAUCGCUGCCCGUAACCCGGGGAGCAAACCCUCGUACUCUGCCGUGUUGUUGGUGGAGUUCGGGAAAUCGAGUUGGACGGCGAACCUUAGCUGGUUCCCCGUUGGUGACUCGAUGAUGACCCCGGCGCUAGCUCCUUGGAGACUGAACGCGCCGUCGAAGUAGAGGACCCAGUGGACUUCGUCCAGCUUGCCGGGCAGGCUGGUCUCCAGCUCCUCCUCUUCUACGCUCGUCAACGUCCACUCCGCGACGAAGUCCGCCAGGGCCGCACUCUUGAUGCUCUUGGAGUUGGUGAAGUGCAGAGCGAACUCUGAUAGCUCCAUCCUCCAUUCGGCCACUCUUCCGGUGGCUUCACGGUUGGUGAGGGCUCGCUCAAGCCAAAACCCCGACACCACCGUGACGCGAUGCGCCUGGAAGUAGUGGCGCAGCUUGCGGGACGCAAGGAGAAUCCCCAAGAGGAGCUUCUGUACUUGCGGGUACCUCGUUCGGGCGUCGCGCAACACUGUACUGACGAAGUACACUGGGUGCUGCACCAGCCGCUUGCGCGGUGCCGGAGUUGCUGGCUCGGGGGUGGUCCCUAAGUCCGAGGCGGUUGCUGGGGGCCGUUCAGCCCCCUGCCCCGCAGCCUCAGUCCCCGGAACGUCUUCCUCCCUCUCGGCAACCAGCAUCGAGCUGACCACCUGGUCAGUCGCUGCUAGAUAGAGUAGCAGCGGCUCGCCGGCUUGGGGGCGACGAGGACGGGCGGCGACCUCAGGUACUGCUUGAGUUCCCGAAACGCCGCUUCGGCCUCUGGACCCUUCUUCUUCAUUACCUUGAAGAAAGGCAGGGCGCGUUCGCCUAGCCUUGAGAUGAAGCGGCCCAACGCGGCAACGCAACCGUUGAGGCGCUGGACAUCCUUCACCUUGUGGGGAGCCUCCAUCUUUUCGAUAGCCUCUAUCUUCAGCGGGUUGGCUUGUAUCCCCCUGUGAAAAACCAAGAAACCCAGAAGCUAGCCCGAGUCCACACCGAAGGUGCACUUCUCAGGGUUCAGCUUGAGUUUGAUCCUACGGAGGUUACCAAAUAUUUCCCGCAGGUCAUCAAUCAGCGAGUCCCUGCAAUUUGAUUUGAUGACGAUGUCGUCCAUGUAGGCCUCCACGUUCUGGCCUAGCUGGGGUCCCAAACAUUCAUGCAACGCGCGCUGAAAUGUUGAGCCCGCGUUCUUCAACCCGAAAGGCAUGCACGUAUAACAGUAGCAGCCAACCGGGGUGAUGAACGCAGUUUUCUCCUCCUCUUUGACUGCCAUCUUGAUUUGAUGGUAGCCGGAAAAAGCAUCCAAAAAGCUUAGCAGAUCGCAACCAGCAGUGGAAUCAACUAUUUGAUCAACGCGGGGUACAGGGAAAGGAUCCUUGGGACAUGCACGGUUUAGAUCAGUAAAAUCUACGCACAUGCGAAGCUUGUUCCCUGCUUUAGGCGCUACUACAGGGUUAGCUAACCAAGUGGGGUACAGAACUUCCCUGAUAGCCCUGGCAGCCUUGAGCUUGUCCACUUCUUGCCUGAUCAAAUCCUUUCGCUCUUGCGCCUGCCGGCAGACCUUCUGCUUGACGGGGCGGGCGUCUGGGCGCACCGCGAGUCGAUGCUCAAUCACCUCCCUGGGGACUCCGGGAAGAUCCGACAGCUCCCAAGCGAACACGUCGGAAUUCUUCCGGAGGAAAGUGAUGAGGGCGCUUUCCUAUUCGGCAGUAAGGUUCGCACCGAUGGUGACGGUGUGUUCCUUGUUGCCGGCUUGGAGGGGCAGCUUCUUCACCUUGGUGACCUCCUCCCGGAGCUUUUGGCCCUUGCCGGGGCACGAGCUCGAGCCUGCGCUUCCCCCGGCAAGCUCUUGCGGGGUAGCACGGGCCUUCUUCGUUGCCGGGCUGUCACCCGGCGAGCCUUCGUCUCCGGCAACGUCUUCAUCGCCGGCGUCGGCUGCGGCGGCGGCCCUGACGACCUCGCCGACACACCAGCCUGUGUCCUUGAGAUCGCACCUGACGGAGAGGACGCCGUACACAGAAGGCAUCUGUCGCACCAGUGGCACCCGGGGUACCACCGCUGCGCGAUGCGUGGGCCCCAUUCCCGAGUUCCCGGAAAGGUCUCAUCCCGGGAGCGUUUAUGAGCUCCCCGGCAAGCUACCAGCCCAAUGGGGCUAGCGGGGCUUCGGGGAAUAUUCCCGCCUGGGCACCUCCCGGGAAGCUGCUUCCCGGGUGCGUUGGGCCCGGGUGCUUUCCGGGGUCGACUUGCUGGGAUUGGGGGUUCCUGGGCGCGUGCCCCCGUCUCGGGCGUGGGGCCCAGUGGACAGCGCCACGCGGGCGCGUGGCGGGCGCGGGACGCGUGGUCCCACCAAGGCAACGAGUAAGGCGCACGGCUCAGUGAACGAGCCGACCGACGGGUAGUUACCUGUCCGAUCAAAGGAACAGUGGUUGUCUAAUCCUACCCUAGGGUUUUAGGCCCCUAGCAGCAGAGGUGGCACCCAUACACACCACCAGCUCACCGGGGGGAGUUGUAUGCCUCCCCGUUAGACACUUGUAACCCAUGCACCGUAGCACCUGUGGCAUCCCCUUGAGUAUAAAAAGAGGACCCAUGCCAACGGUCAGGGGGGUUGGACAGUUGUUCGGUUCCACAAGUUCCAUUCGCUGGCUCGUUAGAUCGAGGAUUAGUUGGCUCCAGUAGACAGCCAGCAGAGAGCAGCAAGGAGUACUUAGACAUUGAGAGGAAGCCGGGGAACUUGCCCGGCGACUUGUAAACAUUUGAUCCACAAUCAAUAUCAGCUCAGACAAGCAGGACGUAGGGUUUUACACCUCCGGGUGGCCCGAACCUGGGUAAAAAACGUGCGUGCAUCUGUUCUUGGAUUAGCGCGUACCCCUGGCACUUCGUCUCGCCAGCCCCGUAGGGUCUCAUCGGCCGUGCCGGCGAUCACCGGGUCUCCGCCCCAGACGCCCCUACCGAACCUAAAAGGGGGCCGUGGCCGCACGCCCCCGGUGUCGGAGCACCGAGCGACGACAGCAUCUUCAUCACGCCAUAGGCGCAGUGGGUCGCCGCCAUGAACUUGAUCAGCGCAGGCCGACCGAGGAUCCCGCUGUAAGGUAACGGAGUGUGCGCCACGUCGAACACUAUGUGCUCGGUCCGAAACGCUUCCCGGGACCCGAAGGUCACCGGCAGCGUGAUGCGCCCUAGGGGCGCACAAUCCCGGGGUUCACCCCCCGGAACGGGUCGGUGGGCUUCAGCUGCUCUAUCGGCAACUGGAGCUUCUCCACCAACCUGGCGGACAGGAGGUUAAGCCCCGCUCCGUUGUCCACCAGCACUUUGGUCACCGUCAUGUUGCUGAUGAUCGGUGAGACCACGAAGGGUAUGACCCCCGAACCCAGUUGCCGUGCUGGGUGAUCGUCGGCGCUGAAGGUGAUUGGCACAUGCGACCACCUCAACGGCUGCUACGGCUCCGCGUCUGGCAACAGCGCGCACGUCGCGGGUGAAGCACUUCACCGCGGCGUGAGAUGGGGAGCGUAAGCUCCCCCAUGGAUGUAGGCAACGCCACAGGGCUCCUGGAAGCCCAGCUUGUCGCCGCCAGUGCAGUCGAACCCGCGCUGCUCCUCAGCGCGAGCCCUGUCUCGUCCCCGAGGAGGGCGUUUCCUGCCAGUGCAGGCCUGGCCGCGUCCUCCCUGGGGCUCCUCCCUGCCGGCGCCGGCGGGCUGCGGGCCUGCUCUGGGAUCGUUUGGGCAAUCUCUGAAGAGAUGCCCGAUGUCGUCGCAAUUGAAGUAGGCGCCGGCUGCUCGGAGCUCCUCGUGGCGCUGCUCGCGCCGCUGCUUGAUACCCUGCAGGAUGUGGCAGUCCUGCACGUCGUGGGAGGAGUUGGCGUGGAUGGGGCAGCAAGGCGCGUCGCCCUGCUUGCCACCAUGCCCGCCACCCGGCGAGGCCUUCUUCGCAGGCCUCGCGGCAAUAGCCCCCGACUCCACAGCGCGAACCUGCUUCCCGCUGCGCUUGCGGGAACCCUUCUUCUGCGAACCCUCCUCAGGGCUCGCGGCAGCCUUGGCUGCUAGUUCGGGCGCUAAACGCCCUUCCUCGGCCAUGGCGCACACAAGUGCGCCAGGGCGUACAGAUCCUGUGUCGUCCGGAUCCGAUGGGUGCUCAGGUUCUCACGCAUCUUGGGGUCACGGACGUUGAUGGCGAAGGUGUUGAUGAUGACGGCUGCCUCCGCCUCCGGGAUGGAGUAGGAGAGGUUGGAGAAGCGAUUGACGAAGCUCCGCAACGUCUCUCCCGGCUUCUGCACGAUCGUGUGCAGCUCUGCAAUGGUUCCCGGGCACUUGUAGCCGCCUUGGAACGCGCUCACAAACUACUCACGCAGGUCCGCCCAAGUGGCGAUGGACCCAUCGGGCAGGUUGAGUAGCCAGGUUCUCGCUGAUCCUUUCAAGACCAUCGGGAACCAGUUGGCUCCGACCAUGUCGUCGGCACCGAUGGCAUGCAUCCCCAACGUGUAGGUCAGGAGGAAAUCCUUGGGAUUCACGGUCCCAUCGUACGUGCCGAGCGCUGGCGCUCGGAACUUGCGGGGCCAUGUCACCCGGCGCAGCUCGCGCGUGAACGCGGUGCAGCCGUCCUUAGGGCCCAUGGGAGGACCCUCCUGCUCCUCCGGGCGUGGGCGCUCUACCUCGCGCCGACGCCGGCGCUCUAAGCGCUGGCGUAGAUCAUCUUGCUGGCGGGCAUUCAAGAUGCCGCGCGCGUCACCCCGUGUGAUCGUGGGUGACGAGUCCGAGGACCCCUCCGGGUCCCCAUCUCCCUGGCCUCCUUGCGGAGGAGGGUUCUCCCCUUGACGCGAGGCGCGGGGAGCGUCUCCACGCUCCGGGUUCUGCCCGCGGCCGAAGCCUGAUGGGACGCCCUCACCUUGCGGCUGUUGGGCAGCGAGCGCGAGGAGCGCAUCCAACUCUUCGCCCCACGUCUCGUGAGCCGACGUGCCCUGUUGCGGUUCAUACCCCACCAUGACCCGCACGGCGAUGAUGGCUUCCGCCGGGGUUCGUGCGGGAGGCGACCAGUUUCCCGAGCGGCUGCGAUCCGCUCUACCCCCGGACGCAUCCGGGUGCGCAGGGUGCGAGCCCCCGGGUGUCGCUCGCGAUGCGGUAUGCUCAUGGCGCAGCUCAUGCUGCGUGUCCUCGGCCAGCGAUUCGACUCGCUGGCCGGUGCGGGCAGCACCAUGCCCGCUCGCGCGGUUGGCCCCAGCGCUGGGGGCCGCCGGCCCCCUCAGCCGGUUGUCGGCUGACGGCCGAGGAGGCGGGGGAGGAAGCUGUGAUUGUUGCACUCGUGAGGGCUCAGGGUUCUCCUGGGCCCCCGACGCGGGUCACGCGUCGCGUGACCGCGUGUGUGCCGCUGGGGCCUCACGCGCAUCAAUCCGGGGGUCACCAGCCCGCUUGGGGGGCAUGGUGACCGGCUCCAUCGGCGAAGAAGACGAGGCUGACGUCGAUGCAGACACUGCCGCCGGCGGUCACCGGCGAGCUCUCCUCUCGCGCACCCUACCUGGCGCGCCAGAUGUCGUCGCACGGGGCUCCGUCACCGGAGGCGUGAUGGCACACCCCCUUUUAGGUUCGGCUGGCGCGUUGGGGAUCGCUCCAGCGAUCACCGGCGUGGCCGAUGGCGUACGUAACCUGCAAAGAGGUGCACCCAGAAUGCAUGCAAGCUAGGAACACAUGCACGCACGUUUUUACUCAGGUUCGGGCCACCCGGAGGUGUAAAACCCUACGUCCUGCUUGUCUGAGCUUGUAUUAUCGCAAAAUCAAGUGUUUACAGGUUGCCGGGUGAGUUCCCGGAUACUCUCUCCCUUUGGCUAAAUGUUCUUUACUACCUCUGCUAAUGCUAGAGGCUAACUGUGAGCUGAUCGAACCAAACCGAACCAGCCGGGACUGAACCCUUUGACCGUUGGCGGGGGUUCUCCUUUUAUAGCCAAGGGGAUACCACAGGUGCCACGGUGCAUGUAUUACAAGUGGCGAGCAGGGAGAUAGGGCAACUCCCCCUCGGUGUGCUGGUGGGCAUGCAUGAAUGCCAACUCCGCUGCUAGGGGUCUAGAGCCCUACAAGUAGGAUUGGACAGCCACUGUUUGCCCGACAAGACGGAUAACGCCCCUCCUGUCGGCUCAUUAAAUGCGCCGUGCGGCUCACUCCUCGCCCUGGUGAGACUGCACACUGUGCGCCCAGCGCGCGCCCACGUGGCGUCGCUGCUCUGCCCGCUCAGCCCCACCCUCGUGGUGGGAGCCUGCACCCGGGAACCCCUCCUCCCGGCAAGUGACUUCCCGGGAGGCGCCCAGGUGGGACUGCGCUCGGAAACCCCUCCUCCCGGCAAGUGACUUCCCAGGAGGCGUCCAGGCGGGAAUAUUUCCCGAAGCCCCGUUAACCCUUCAAGGCUGGUAGCUUGCCGGGCUGCUUGUAGUUGCCGCCCGGGAUGAGGUCCUCCCGGGAACUCGGCGACAAGACCCAUGCGUCGUGCAACGGUGGUACCCCAGGUGCCACUUGUGCGACAGUCGGUGUAAAAGGUUCACUUAUCAAGGUUGCAGAAUAAACAUGAACCACGUAAAGAGUUAGAAAACAACACGUAGAUCAUCAAUAUGGUCUUCUAAAGAUUUGUUAUAGAUCAAAAUAUCAUCGAAGAGUGCCACCACAGAUCUGCCUAUGAAAGUACGCAAAACUCCGUUCAUCAAUGAUCAAUCUCAUAAAAGUACUAGUGUAUUAGUUAAACUAAAAGAUACGGCUAACCACUCAUGCAUAAAGGCUAAACUUAGUUUUAACAAUUGUUUCUCAUCCAUCGUCUAAUUUCAUGCGAAUCUGGUGGUAUCCUCUGUGCAAAUAACUUUUAGAGAACAUAUAUAGUAGAGCCACUUAAUUCAUGCAUAUCAUCUAACUUACGAAUAUGACGACAAUAGUGAAUGAUAAUUGCAUUGAUAGCUCUACAAUCAACACACAUACGGCAAGUCAAAUUUUUCUUAUGGACCAAAAUGACAAGAAUAACACAUGGACUUAGAAUCUCUUGUGAGAAAUUUUACGGUACCCCGGUACUCCAAAAACGUACCUUGGAGUACCAAAGGCAUCAACGGCUGAUAACAAAAGGGUACUUUGGUAUUUUCAUCCUAUCAUCGGAUCGUAUAUGUUCCAUAUUCCAUCCUGGUCCGACCCAGACCGAUCGACGAGAUUCGCUCCCAGCCCAAGCGUCGCAGCCGCUGCCUGACUACUUCGCCCCCAGCCCCACACACACACACCGCCGGAGCGCCCCCUAGCCCGUGCGCCUCGCCGCACCCUGAAUUGAUCUCCAGAGCGUUGCCGCCAUGCCUUGUCCCGAUCUCCAGAGCGCCGCCGGCGCGGUCACCGAGGCACCUCCGCCGACGCAGCGGCCUCGUCGUAUCCCCCGCAGGAGCAGCAUACCUUUCCCUCCGCCGGCUCGGCCGCCAAGCCACAUGCCUUCAUGGCAACAGCCACUCAAUAACGAGCUCUUCUUUCCCUAAACCUGAGCGGCACCCCUUGAGGCGGCGGAAUAGGGCGGUGGCUGUGGCCUCUUCCCCUCAAUCGGCGCAAUGCCCUUGAGGCGGCGGCAUCUUCCCCUCAGCCGGCGCAGCCACCCAGGAGGUGGCCUCCGCCGGCCCGGGGAUUAGAUCAGGAACGAAGAGAAAAUUUUCUAUUUUUCUUAAUUGCGAACCAAAAAGGCAAAAACCAAAAUACCUUACCUAAUUACUAGUUUGCCAUCCAAUUCGAGGUACUCCCUAGUUUUUUCGCUCAAUACUCCGUGGGAUUGAGAUGGAGUACCACUCAAUUGUAUCCAUUAGAUCGGGACAAAUAAACGGCUCAUAUUAAAUCCGGUGUACCGUAAAAUAGCUCUCUCUUAUAAGCAAGCAAGUCUUGCACCUGUCACUGAAUCUCCCCAGUCUCCUCUAGGUUGGUCCUGUAUAUGACGCACGAUCGGGUAACGAGGCUCCUGGAAUAAGGCCGAUCUGAUGCUCAGUCUCACGUGGGAACACAUCAGCGAACUCCUCCAAGACGUUAGCAAUAGCAGGACCAUGCAGGGUUAGGCUGUGCAUCGCACCCAUGCAGACGGUAACGACCAUACCGGCAGCACCAGAGCUUUGACGAGACCUGCCCUGUAUAUAUAACAACCGUCGAUGAUGUACACAACUAAAUUAUUCAAAAAGUAAGAAACAUAAAAAGAAAAAACAUGACGAUUAGUUGUCAUCACCAAUGUGUAUGGGCACAACCACCUUCAAAUUCAUUCCCCACCAUUGCUAAGAGAGCCUUCUCUUCAAGCAUGUAGUGAUUUAUCAUAUAUACUAAAACUAUUUGAAUUAUAACUUGUGCACAUCGAAACAAAAUCUUCGAAUCUGAUUCGUCUAGUUCUCUUAAUUUAAUUUGGCAAUCAUGUAAUCAUAUAAUUAGUUUUGAGGAGAAACAUUUAGAUAAAAAAUUGAAAGAAAGAACAUAAGGAAAACCAAAACAGCCAGAAGGCAUCACAUUCCCUUUACCUAAUUAAAGUCGAGUGGGACGCGUGCAGGUGGGCUUGGUCUAGUUGAAACCGGAUACCACCAAGGAGGCCAGGAUGUCCAGGCAUUUAUGCUGCUUCUGCUUUGGUCAUAUGUGGUGCAUAUUGCCAUAUCCAGUCAGACACAAAACCAGAUGGCAGAAACUGAAACCAAACGGCAAAUGUACAUGUAUGCUAUAAAUAAAUAAAUAAAUAAAUAAUGGUAAAUAUUCCUGGUGUUUUUGACAAUUUGUUUGAAUUGCUAACCACUUUGGCCACGUGGUUGGUAAAUCCCUCAUGUUAUAUGCCUCGUUGAAUUAAAACUAGACGAAGGAGGGGAUAGAUUUGUGAAGAGAUUCUUCCUGAAUGGAAGAUUAGGCAUUUGGAUGUCUACUUUUUUACCGAGUGGUACAACAUAACAGGCAAUAUAGACGUGUGCCUGCGUCGUGACCUUGACGAAGAUGGUGGCUCGAAACACCAAAUUCGCUCUUAGUUUGAAUUCGUCGUCAUCGGCGCACUUCUUGAAGGUUUUGCCUAUGAGUUGUGUUUCUCUUCGUUUUUGUUCUGUACCACAAGAUUAGUGGUAGUUUAGUGGAAUUAUAUUUUUUUUGUCCGGCUCUGCUGCGUUAUGCCUGACUUUACUAAUAUAUGAUUGUGUGCAAUCGUCAAUGCACAUGCUGAUGGUUAUCCUUUUUUUUUAAAAGAGAGUAGAAAACUAGUCGACUCUUCAUCAGAGAUUGAAAGAGAGACAAUUUGUUUUUAAGUCUGAAGAAGAGUUGUAUGCAUCAUUUUCAUACAGAUGCCGGGGCUUUGUACCUCCUUUUCGAAGAAAAUAAUGAGCAGAUCCGGCAGGUGCUGCAGUGAAACUGAAUCCAAAAAAAAGAUAAAUCGAUACACACAGGAUGAUAAUAAGAUAUGUUGCCUCGAAGGCAUGGCUAUCUACCGUGCUCGAGGUUCACGUUUGCUGAAUAAAGGUGCAAGGUGGGCCCUCCCGGAAUCGAGACAUUGGGCAUAGAAUAUAACCAAAUUCUGGUUGUUUUCCAAAUCUUUUGCGAGAUUCGCCCUCCUCUUAACACAAAAGCCGUCCUGCUGAUUAUAAAACUGAACAAACCCCCUGGCGACUAGCUCUCAACUCACCAUAUUGAAAUAAAUGCCUCUGGCUUAGCUCUUGGACACUUGUGAGAACCAUACGAUGUGGAAGCUAUGCAGAGUUGCUUCCGGCCUCGUUAUGUAAGCAUGCAUGUGUUUCUUUUUCUUUCCACGCUUUCCGCGAAUGCGCUUCUGUUGUUCAUAGUAAAAGAGUUGGACAGUAGCUUGUGUUUUCUUACAUUUUUGUUUUGAUGCUGUUGGCUGUACGUAGCCGUCGGAGGUACGGCGUGCAGGCGAGGGCCGUGAAGGUGCCAACGGAAGUCGGUGCUGUGGCGGACAACGUACCGGGUGCUGCGGCGGUGGCCACUGACGGCGGGAGGGCAAGGAAAAAGGAAGUGUUUUGGAUGAGAGACCCGAAUACGGGGUGUUGGAUCCCCGAGAACCGCUUCGACGAGGUCGACGCCGUGGAGCUCCGGAACCAGCUGCUCCACCACAACUGACCGAAGAACAUGUCUGAACAAACAUACAAAGUGAAAUGGCAGUACAUCCGUUUCGAAAUAUGAGAUGUUUUACUUAUGUUCUAACAUAAAUAAAAUUAGAGUUAUACUCGUAUAUGUUAGUUGAUUUUUUUCAUAAACAUGAUUAAACUUUAAAAAGUUUAAUUGAGUAUUCCCUCCGUUCCAUAUUAAGUGACGAAAUAUUAUAUGUAUCUAGACGUUUUUUGGGUAACGAUACAUUCAUAUUUGGACAAAUUUGAGUCACUUAAUAUGGGACGGAGGGAGUAUAAAGCUAAAACAUAUUAUAUUUAGUACCCUAUGAGCAUCUCCAACCGACUAAGGCGGCAUAUGUUGGUUGAUGAAAUCAGUACAUGCUCUCGUUAUUGGCGGGUAGCGUCAUCUGCUAUUCAAAGAAUAGCGUCAGUGCCCGUGCGCUGCUAUGGAACCAUCUUACAUUUUAGUCUCUUUUAGUUAAGGAUUAGUGUCAACGGUCUGUUGCCUUCGGACUACAUUAAUUUUUAAUGCCCUCUUUACUUCAUAGAAAGUAACUCUAAAAUAAACAGAAAACUGAAAGUAAUAGGAUAUAUUGCCCUUUUUUACAUUAUACCAAUAUAGAGGGGGCGAAGGGCAGGGAGGCCGGGACAGAUCCGCCCGUGGCCAGCACCUGACAACUCGUCGAUGCUGUCCGGGCCUGAUCCAUCACGCCCAUCGCCCAACCACUCACCGGACUUCUCUUUGUCCCCUUCCCUAUUACUCAUUCCUGGCAACCAUGUCCACUGGAGCGCUUGCAUGGUCCAUGACAGUCGCGUCCACCUCAACCGCAACGCUCCGACUUCCUCACAGAUGAGGGCGACGAAGUGCCGGGACUAGGGUGUGCUUUCUAGCGAUGUCGCCUUCUAUAGGUGAGAGAGGGGGCAGAGUGAUGAUGGGUGGGCUGGGAAAGGCGGGAAGAAUGAGACCCAAUUUUCUGAUUUGGGGGUGUUUGUUUCGUGCGAUUAGAGGGGAGAUGACCAUUCAUUGGCAACUUUUAUCCUAGUGUUUGUUUCCGUGAUUUGUAUAUUCUUCUGUUAGCAUGGACAAACACAAUUAGGAUAUCAUUUUCUUUCUUUUUUGUUGUUGGGGGGGGGAGGGGGUAUGAGUAGUCAUGGUCGGGUUUUGGUAUGGGCUGGUGAGUUUAGCACUCACAACUAAACUUUUAGAAGCAACCAAGUCUUCGAUGCAAACAAUUUGGAAACAAUUCUCUCAUGGACAUAUAUUCUAAAAAAACAGUAAAGGAGAAUUCUCUCGGAGCCAUACAAAUAAUUCUCACAAGAAUUUACCACAUCAUUGAUUAGCAUAUACAGAGCCAACUCAUUCCACAGAUCGGCAGGUGAGGUUGCCAUGAAAGCAAUCGCGUACUUCCCAAACCCCAAUCCCUUUAUUUAAAAAAAAUCCCCCUUAUCUCCCAUUCUCUCCCGCCAGCCCCUCCUUCUCCCAGUCCUCGUCCCCCCUCUGUUCCCUCCCAUGCGCCGCCAGGGCCAGGCGCCCUUACCACCACCGAUCCAGUCCUUCCGUGCGCCACCACCCGCCGGUGUUGGUGGCGCGUCCCCUCUCUCUCUCUCACGCACAUCUCUCUCUCUCUAGUCCCCAAUCUGGAUCCCAUGGACGCCUGCCGCAGUGUCCCGCGACCAGCCUACCGAAGCGCCCCCGCUACCCUCAUCUGCCUUGCCGCGAGCCCUAGCGUCCUAGCUGCAGGCGCCUUUCUUUCGAGGAGAAGAGACAGGGGAGAGAGAGAUGAGAAGCUACUCCUGGAUGCGUUGUGAGAGACGGAAGAGACGUAAAAGUCGGUACCACAUGAGAUGGGCAGGUGUGGCGACGUACCGCCACCACCAAAUGGCUCUUUUAUAAGAGUUAAGAUAAUGCGAGCACCCAUAUCAAGUGUAGGACUUGAACCUGAGUCUACUGGUUCCAUCACAGCGAACCAAACCAGCUAAUCCAGUUCACGAAAAGCAUCUCUAUUCUGAGAGGCAUGCAUGUGGCAAAAUCUUGAUUCAUGAUGGUUUCAGUCCGAUAUUAUUGGGGAUAAGUCCAAUGGAAAUAAAAGGAAUAAGAUGUUUGAAUGAAGGGAACUGUGCCAAUGGCAAUUUUGCUGAGUAAGUGACAAGCAUGACAUGUUUUUUAUGCUUUGUGAGAAACAAAUGCACCUUUUUGCAAAAAUUUAUGUGUUAUCUUACUGUUUAUGGAUCAAAUGUCAAACCUAGUUCGGUACCACAAAUUGGCAUGAAAUUUAGCACUUUAAUUGGAAGAGGAUUGGGAUUUUUAGAGUUAUUAUGGGGGGCAAAUUAGGUUUGGUCUCAGGAAGAGGUUGGAAUAAUCACUUCAUGCAAAUAUGUUUGUCACAAAGAGGGUUACCGGCUAACAAGCCGAAGUACUGUAGCUGAAAUUAGGACAUGUUGCCAAGUUCAUAUGGGCCUUACAAUAGAUAGUGAAGGUGGAAACUAUGAAGUAUUUGAUCUUGUUCUUGAGCACAACCACAUGCUACAGUUGAAAGAAACAUACCAUCUUAUGCCAUCCCACAGAGGAUAUCCCAUCUUUAGGCUUUCGAGAUCAAGACCGCGGAUGAUUCAGGUAUUGGUCCAAAAGCUGCACAUGAGUUAGCUAGUCGGCAAGUUGGAAGAUCAUUUUUUCUUAGCUACACCGCACAGACCAUAAAAAUUAUUUGUGUAUGUCGCGUGUGGGAACACGGUGAUGAGGGCAUCCCUAGUCCUUUGUUCUUUGCCUAAUGAUGAUCUUGUUGUUCAAGAUAAACCCAAUGAUCUACGCAUUGGACCAAUUACACGAGCACGUGCCAAGUUAUUAGAACAACAGGUGAACUCACUCCCAGUUGCACCUAACGUUUAUAUUGAUGAGAAUUUUAUACUUCCUAAGUCUUUGUAUCUUUGUGUAAUUAGGUUUGAGGCUGAGGCAACCGUGGAGCGUGGAGGAGAGGAGGCCGCGUGCGAGGAUCAUCAUGUGCUGUUAUCCAACAUCAAAAUAUGCGUGAGGAAGGAAAGGGAGGCAGGCGCACCACAAAUGAAGAUGGAGGAUACAAAUCACUAGAAGAACAACUUGUGUGCAAGGGGCAGCCAACGACAAGAAUGAUCUGCCCACCACAAGUUGAGUACGAAUACGAGGCGCACCAGGAUAGCCUACGACGAGUCCGACACAUCUAAGGGGCGCCCGAACCUGCGAGUCCUAGUUUAAGCCAAGUCCUAUUCGGAUUGGUUGUAUGAGUUUGAGUCGAACCUAGUUUUGAGUCUGAGUCCGUUUGUGUGUUUGGCUGCUCCUCGCCUAUAUAUACAAGGGGUACGCCUAGGGUUAGAGUUAGACCACAUUUUAGCUAUUUUCGAGACUCUUGUUGAUUGCGAGAAGCAUUCAUCUGGAAUCCUAUACACCAUAUUCGUUUCGAUAGGAUGUUUAUUAUCUACUGAAAUUUCGAGCGUAGUCUGUCGUUCCGCUGGGAAUUGGAAGAUUGAGAAACCGCUUGUGGUCGGCGGACUACUGCGCAAGUGUGUGAUGUUGCGAAUUUCCAUUUGGGUUGCAAGUUCAUCGUGCGGCGACGAGUGAACAGCCGGAAGAUUUGUAGAAUCAUACAAGUUAUCCACGUUGCUCUCUGAGAAGAUCGAGCCACCCCUUAUCACACGGACCCCGGGGAUGUCAACACCCCUUUUCUUUGUUCGGUGAUGGGCGUGAGAGUGAGGCAAACCCCUUCGUUAACCUCGAGACACGGUGGUUUUACCAGGUUCUGGCCACCCGGAAGUGUAAAAUCCUAUGUCCUAUUUGAUUGUAUUGUGAAUGUGGUGGUGUUACAAUGGCGAGCUCGAGCUCUCUAUGAAACCCUAGAGUGCCCGAGCUGUUUGAACUGGAACUGACGAGGGAAUGACCCUUCGGGUCCUCAACCUUUCUAUACCUGAUACAGCCCAACAGGGGGUCCACAAAAAGGCCCAUCAAGUAUACACAGGUCGAGUCCCCUGAAGUGCGGCUCAAGCUAAGGAACGUAAUCUUACUAUGCCAGAAUGUACUGAUCUGAUUGUAACCUUCCUGAUUAUCACGCCCAAGACCUAGCCGCCAGUAUAUAAGGCUAGGAGGGGGGAUCGGGAAGGAUCGUCCUCUACACACAUGUCAGAUCCCAUCUGCGCACCAUAGCCUCGGAGCUUCCUUGUAACCUUGAUCGAUACAAAACACCAAAGCAUGACAUAGGGGUGUUACCUCCUCGAGGGCCUCGAACCUGGGUAAUCCUUGUGUCCCCCUAUGUCCUUGUUAGUCGACGAGGUUGCUGGUGCACCCCGUGCUCUCCUUAGUCGAAAACCCUCGAGUUUGGGUAUUGCCGAAGUGAAACUUCGUCAGGAACCAAAAUCAAACCCUUGCUAAGGAAGCCAUGGACCUCCUUUACUUAUUAGGUUAAUUGGGGAUACGUACUUACCAGGUUAACUGUCUACUUAUCGGGUUAACCAUUCAUACUUAUCAGGUUAAUUGUUCCUAUUUACUAAGUUAAUGGUGUAUAAUUACUAGGUAACAACGCCUACUUACCAGGUUAACGGUGCAUACUUAGCAGGUUAGCUACACCUAUUUGCCAAUGUAAACAACAUGACAACUACUUACCAGAUUAUUUAUAUCUACUUAACAGAUUAGCUACACCUAUUUACUUGGAUAGUUAUGAUAAUCAUAGUAGAAUCAAGCCGAGCUCACUAAUUCUCUUACACCUAUGUGUAAUUCGGUCAACACAAGCUAGAACUGAGAAAAAAUGUGUAUAAUUACAUUCAUGACGAAGCGCGGAACACAUCCAUCCCAUCUUAUCCCAGAAGAGACGACACAUCAAACAUGUGGGAAGCAAGAGCGACUCCUUCUCCCCCUACUGCUUCUGCUGAUACCCCUCCAUGAUAGUUAGCCGUGGUUCGCGUGGUAGCGACAGAAAUGCCAAUGCCGAUGUCGAGGAGGUGCUGGUGCUAGUCGUAUUCGGGUCGGCGCUCUCCGAUCCGCCCCGCAUGCUCUCCUCUUGGUCCGAGUCCGACGCCACCCCUGGGCACAAAGUGCUUGGUUCAUGGCGAAUUUUGCCCUCCCAAAAUUUUGGCACUCAAUUUUAAUUUAGUCCGUUUUAGUUAGUGGUCAAAAGUUUGGUUGCCAAAGGAAUCUCGUCAACUAUCUCACACAUUUCUUCAUAGUUUUUUUUUUGCGAAACAGAAAUUCAUUAGCUAUCAGGACUGAUACAGUAAAAAGAUACAGCAUCCCAAAUCACAUCCGGUCCAUGACGGAUCCAGCUAUCGAUACGAUUAUUAACUCUAGCAUAGUUUGCCAGUAAAUGACUAACACAAUUUUGGUUCCUACUAGCUUUGCAAACGGUAACCGGUUGUACAUCGAGCAAGUGGCGGAUCUCCUUCACACACAGGGCAAAAGGCGACCUGUCCAAUCCUUUGGUUGCCACCAUCGCCAGGGCUUCGGCACAAUCCGACUCAAGGACAAUGAUCUUAUCUGUCCAGCCAAUUGCAGCAUGCAGACCAUCCUCAUAGGCAGUAAGCUCAGCAUCAAGGGCGUCAAUACACCGAGUGAGGCUACGGCAGGCCGAAAACAGAACCUCCCCUUUAUGGUUGCGAAGUACCAGACUUAUCCCAGCGGAACCAUCGUCGGGGGAGAAAGACCCGUCCACAUUCAGUUUGACCGAAUCAGGUUCUGGAGGCUUCCAGCGUGCCUGAGCAGCUCUAGGUUGAUCAUGGGUCCUCUGAUUGAGCUUCGAUCUAGCCGAGUAGGAACAGACUUGCUUCCCUUUGACAGCAUCGACACAAGGGUAUUGUUUGUUGAGGAGAAGGGAGUCCAUAUAGCUACACAGAAAGUGCCUUGAGGCCUCAACCGGUGCCGGAAUUUUGUCAUGCGUGAUAUCAUUAUGGACGUGCCAAAUAUGCCAGAGCAUCAUAAGCAGCAUAGCAGCCUUAGUCUUCUCCAUGGGAAGGAUAGCGUGAAGAAGCCAACCUGGCCAGUAUUCUGUAGACGCCUAGGAUCUGGGAUGUCCCAAUGAGGUCUCGUAGCCUACCAAAUACCUCGCGCAUUAGGACAUCGCACCAUGGCGUGGAAGGAGGCCUCCUCAGCACCACACACUUGGCAAAUUCUUGUCUUGUCCAUCUUCCGCUCACAGAGAUUAACCUGCGUGGCCAGAGCAUCUCUACUGAGUUUCCAUGCAAAGAUGUUCACCUUCCUCGGCACAAUGUCAUUCCAGACAGACUUCCACUUAGAGCUGCUUCCGUCCGGCCUGCUACUCGUUGCACCCACAUUUUGGCCUUCGGGGAUAUGCAACGGCCAAGGUGGUACGCUGAACGCACCGAGAACGGACCUCUCUUGUCGGGGUGCCAAGCCAGAAUGUCUUGCUCAUUCCGGCCAGAUGAUCUAAUCUUAAGAAUGUACUCAAUAUCAAUUGGGAGAAAAAAAAUCAUAAGUAGCUCCAUAUUCCAGCUGAUAUCCGGGGUUAACAGAUCGGAAUCUCACUUAAGCCGGCAAUUUCUCCUUGGUGAUAUCGAUCGUCUGCUGUAAUUUCAUGGAAUCCAGGGGUCCCUACAGAUGCGGACUCCUCGCAUACAGGGAGUCAGGUUUGUCAAUCAAGCGCCAUGCUUGUCGGGACCAAGAGGGCCUGAUUGAAAAAAUUGGCGAAAAUUGAUAGCCUAAGGAUCGGCGAGAACCAAACAUGCCCAGAUUAAGCAGCAAUCCUCCUCCUUUUUGUUCCAAAUUCCAAUCCCUUGGCCCUUGCUACGUUCUGAGAGCAGCAGCUGGCCUGGUGUUCGAUCAAUCGAGAAAUAUGAGAGACAAAAGAGGUGCUAGCUAUGUCAUGCAGUUGCGACCCAAGCACCCAGAGCCUCCCGCGUGCUCCAGUCCUGCCUCGCCCACUCCUCUGCAUCCUGCCGCAGAAAGGGCGACUGCUGGCGGCAAGGGCGGGCGACGGCGGCAAGGGCGUCGAGGACGAGAUAGACCUACUGCAGGAGACGAGAGGAGGCGCGAGGGGAGAGGAGACGAGGGAGAUACUCCGGGAGCGCUGCAGCCGUCGAGUCGGCCCACGCGAAUCUUGGUGCCCACGGUGGGCCCGUCUUCUAAAUAGAUUAACCGAAAAUAGAAGUUAACUCCCUCCCCUCUCUCUCUCUUCCCAGUUCGUCGCUCUCUUCCUCUUCGCCGAAUCGCGACCCAAAAGUUCGAUCUUUGGGCUCCCUCCAAUCGGAUUCCCCCACGGCGCUUGGACCCGCCACCGCCGUUCCACGAGCUCCCGAUUGGAUCGCGCCCCGUCCCGUCCCGUCCCGUGUCGUCUGACCCCGGCGCCGCCGGCGCCAAUGCCCGGCGCGCGCAGCUCUGCCGCCCCGCUCCCGCCGCCUUGUUGCGAUAUGGGCGCGGGGCACGAUAUAGGGUGGUGAGAUCAUACUUUCUUCCCUUAUAAGGGACCUAAGACUGUUAUUGCGGAGGAAUUCUUGCGCCGCUCCGUGUGCAGUGGCGGGGGCGGCGGCGGCGACAGCAGGCGCGACCUGCUCGAUCUUGGUUCUCUGAGGGGUGCUUCCGCCGGAUUGCGAUGCAAUGUGGGCCACGCUCGGGUGGUGCUACUUUUGAUCUGUUUUCUAGUCUUUUGAGGUAUAGCCCCUGGAAACAUUGAUUUUGAAUCGCCCUUGCAAUGGAGGACAUAUUUCAGACUGUUUUUCUUAGAUUUUGUGCAGAGAGGUGUGUUAUUCCUAGCUUGCUCGUGCUGUAGCUGAGAAAAAUUGCUAACAAUGUGCCAAAAUUUGUGGAUUGUUUUUGGUGCUCAUAAUGUUGUUCUUUAGGUAACAUUGCUUUCUUUUAUGCUUUCUUAUAUUAACCUAUGGUUAUUCAGUGCCUAACAUGCCUUUAGACAACUCGGUAAUGAUAUUUUUAGAUUGGUGGAAAAUUUCCACCUAGGUCAUACGGUGUAAAAAUAAAUACAGCAGUUAUAUUUCUUGCGAUGCUCCUGCUAUUUGUUAGUCGAGAGAAUUCUUCUUGCUUUUUGAAAUACAAUCAUGUUUUUGGUGGUAGGGGGUCGGUACAAAAUUGUAUAGUAGUUCUAUAUUUGUAAAUUAUUUUACCUAGCUCUCGUGUUAGAUAGUGCCCCUGCAAUAACAAAUGUGCCUUUGCGGCAUUAUUGACAGUCUACAAGACGGAACUUUGACCACCAAUGUACUAUUGUAAUAUCCAUUACCUAAUAAAAUUAUUACAUUAUGAAAUAAUAUUUUUUUCAUACGGCAAAACUAUCGUUGGUUGAAGUUAAAAUUGUUUCACUGCAUGCAUUCUAGGCAGAACUCUCUUUUGACUGGGGGAAUUAUGUCAAAAUGAGUCUCAAAAUUUCUCUUUUCAUUUCUGUUGCAGCAGAUGAGGAUGCAAAUAUGAGGAUUUCUUUUAGGUGGUCCUAUUGCAGCCACCCAUGGAGGCCUCUGAUAAAACUUUUGCUGAUGUAGUUAAGCUUUUGACAUCAUGGCUGCCUCGUCGGUCCAAACCAGACAAUGUCUCAAGGGACUUCUGGAUGCCUGACCACAGUUGCCGAGUCUGUUAUGACUGUGACACACAGUUCACCAUAUUCAACCGCAGGCAUCAUUGUCGUCGUUGCGGGCGUAUUUUCUGUGGUAAGUGCACAGCAAAAUCCGUCCCAGUUAGAAGUGGCCCUGAUAAAAGCGUCUAUGAGGCGGACAAGAUUCGUGUCUGCAACUUUUGCUUUAAGCAAUGGGAGCAGGAGCAAACUAAUGUUUUCAAGCAGAUGCAGCCAGUGCUUAGCCCUUCCCUGUCUGAGGCGAGUCUGUUCAGUACAAAAUCAACUAUCACAGUUAACAGUGUGAGCACACCCGCUGGAUGUUACUCUACUGGAAAGUACCAGCAUAAUAUGGCUCGUGCCUCGAACAUUUGUCCUCCCAAAAUUUCCCAAGACAAAGCCUCCCAUAGUACUGAAAGCACCCAUGUGCCUGAGAAAAAUAUGCAGUCUAUUUCAAACAGAGAUGACUCUUCUUCGGUUCAAUUUGACUAUUACAGAAACAGGUACUCGUUAUGAAACCUCAUACCAUAUAAUGUUACCCGGCUAAAUUAUAAUAUAAUACUCCCUCCAUCCAAAAUUAUAGGUCAUUUUAGGUUUCUUAUUUUUUCCAUAAAAGAGGUCGUUUUAGCUGUAAUUAAGUUCAGCCUGCAAGCGAGUGCUUCGAUCGCUGCAUAUCUUUUUAAUACUUCUCAAAUCACGCGUACUAGCUGUAACUGCUCGAGGUGUUCACGUCCUCUCAGCCAACCUCUUCCUCACACGCAUGCUGAUCAUUUACCAAGGGAGGGACCCGACGCCAUCUAGUAGAGCAUUUUGAGCCGAAAUUAAUGCCUUUUUCAGCAAACUUACACACGUCCAGCAGUUCUUGCCUUCUUGGUAUCCGGGAAACAUCUAAAACAACCUAUAAUUUGGGAUGGAGGGAGUAUGUUUUUUCCUUAAAUACCCUGUUAUAUCAUGAUAGUUUCCAUGUUUUCCUUAAAUAUUACUACCAGUCUGCCUUCAGAAAAGGAAUACAGUUGCUAUUAUAUUUAGGUUGACAAUGAAAUUCCAUUGAUUUGUGCGGUAUUCGAUUAAUUAGCUACUCCCUCCGUCCCAAAAUAAGUGACUUGGAUUUGUAUAGAUUCUUAUACAAAUGCACGUCACUUAUUUUGGGACGGAAGGAGUAGUUAUGAUGCUUGAAAAAUGCCCGUCUCAUCAUGUUACUCUCUUCUUCAGGAGUGACGACGAAGAUGAAGAGUAUUCUUACUUCUCUGACAGGCAGGUACAACAUCAACAACACAAUAACCAGUACUUCCACUCAGAUGAGUUUGAUGAGUUUGAUGCAUCCUAUAAUUCAACGAUAUCAAGGGCUAUUGAAGAAAAUGUAAUUUCAAAGGAGUUAUCCUCUUAUGUGGUUGAUCAAGGAUUACCCAGCACAUUGCCAAUAACCAAAGUGGAGGAUGAUCCAGAACCUGAUAAUAGUUCAGAUUGCGGUGCUGCUUCAUCCAUUUAUGCCCUGGAAACUACUGAUACAAAUCCAGUGGAUUUUGAGAAGAAUGAUUUUUUUUGGAUUCCCCCUGAACCAGAAGAUGUAGAAGAUGAGGUGGAAGCUGAUUUGUUUGAUGACGACUAUGAUGAUGAUGAGCCUGUAUCUGAUGGUGGACGGUGGCGCAUUCGAUCGUCAAGUAGUUUUGGUAGUGGAGAAUUCCGAAGUAGAGAUCGCUCAAGCGAAGAACAUAAGAAAGUAAUGAAGAAUGUUGUUGAUGGACAUUUCAGGGCUUUGAUUUCUCAGCUGUUGCAGGUGGAGAAUAUUGCAUUACAGGAAGGUGAUGACAUGGGUUGGUUGGAGAUUGUUACUUCGGUAUCAUGGGAAGCUGCAAACUUCCUCAGACCUGACACAAGCCAAGGCGGAGGCAUGGAUCCUGGUGGAUAUGUCAAGGUUAAGUGUUUAGCGGGUGGACACUGCAGUGAAAGGUGAAUUAUCUUUUCUAUUAUAGUAGACUACACUAUAUACAAUUUUGAUCUCCAUCAACACUUCAUGAAGCUCUGUCCUGUAAAUAUUUUUUCCCUCUUGGGAUCUGCAUACAAUUAAUACUGAUCCUUUCAUACCAUCAACUAGCAAAGGUAGUGUCGGCUUUGACACUACAUCGAGCCUUAUAGUUUACAUAUUAUUACCUGACACCUGUAUCCAUUUUCUUUCAGCACUGUUGUGAAAGGAGUAGUCUGUAAGAAGAAUGUCGCACAUAGGCGCAUGACUUCUAGAAUAGAAAAACCUCGUCUCCUUCUACUUGCUGGAGCUCUUGAGUAUCAUCGAGUUACGAAUCAGCUGUCAAGUAUUGACACAUUGCUCCAGCAGGUUCUUGAACUUUUCAUGUGUUUCUCGUUAUGCAAACGUAAGGUCACAUGGAUCUUAAAUGUAUGUUUUGUAUGCUAUACAGGAAACAGAUCACCUUAAAAUGGCAGUCGCGAAGAUUGUAGCUCAAAAACCCAACCUCCUUUUGGUUGAGAAUACAGUUUCUCGCUAUGCUCAAGAUUUGCUUCUAGAGAAGAACAUAUCACUGGUUUUAAAUAUUAAGCAAUCCCUCUUGCAGCGUAUAGCUCGUUGCACAGGUGCUCAGAUAGUUCCUUCUAUUGAUCUCUUACCAUCUCAGAAACUUGGUUACUGUGAGUUGUUUCAUGUCGACAAACACAUUGAACAUUCUAUGACUUCGGAUAAUAAGACUAAGAAAAUGCUGAAGACCAUGAUGUUUUUUGAAGGAUGUGCAAAGCCAUUAGGUUGCACUGUAAGUCAUAAACUAUUUCUCUCCUUUCUUUUGGCUCCAAGCAUGCAUAAUUUUUGUUGCAGAGGGACACAACGCUACUUAGGUGAUCACAACAAUUACUUAUUUAGAUUCCCUACGUUGCAUGUGAUAAAAGUUCUUGCAUACCGAGAGUGCCAAAAGAUUAACUUAUUUGAGAUGCUGGCCUGCAGAAUUGUUUUCAGCAAUCUACACAAAGUCUUUACAAUUUUCUUUCUGUGACCCCCCAGUUUGUCUGCAUGAAACAUUGAAACAUAAUUGUUUUCUGAAACUUAUUAUUUUUUCCUCUAUGACCUACAGGUUCUGCUGAAGGGUGGUAGCAUGGAUGAGCUAAAGAAAAUUAAGCAUGUGGUCCAGUAUGGCAUAUUUGCAGCAUAUCACUUGGCCCUAGAAACAUCUUUCCUUGCAGAUGAAGGUGCCACGCUACCAGAACUUCCUUUGAAGUCUCCACUGACUGUAACCUUACCAGAUAAGCGAUCUGCUGCAGACAACUCUAUUUCGACGGUGCCAGGUUUUACAAUUGAUAUUUCCAACAGCCAACAAGCAAUUGGUAGUUUUGGGCACCUUGGCACAGACUCCAUUAUGUCAACUGACCCAGGUAGAACAGCUGUGGAUGAACCACCAGUAGACACUGCAUGUCCUAGUUCUCCAAAGACCAACUCUCACUCUAUUAGACCUUGGUAUACCAGUAACAUCUGGAAUGAUGCUAAAUUAGAGAAGGACACCACAUCUGAUGUACUCACUGACCAUUCGCAUAUAUAUUCUACUGUAGAAAAAGAACGCAUGUAUUCAGGUGAUUAUCAUGAUGGUUAUUUAACCAGGUCAGAUGGUAAAACAGUCAGAGCAGAUUCAACCAACACAAAUUGUUCCUAUAAUCAGAACACGUCUGUGAUCAACACAAACCACACUAGUUGUUCUAAUCACAAGGAGCCAUUAGAUGGUUCAAUUGCUUUGGCUGAUGUGAGAAUCAGCAACACCAAUGAUAUGGUGGUAGUGCGACCGGUGGCUAGCCCUGCUGUACAAAAUCAAGAAACCAGUCAAGGGUAUGAGAUUACUUCUACUAAGGAAGAAGUUCUGCCUUCUGAUCAUCAAAGCAUCUUAGUCUCUUUGUCCAUACGCUGUGUCUGGAAAAGAACUAUUUGUGAGCGUUCUCAGCUGUUUCGCAUCAAGUAUUAUGGUAACUUUGACAAGCCUCUUGGAAGGUUUUUGCGUGACUACCUGUUUGAUCAGGUUUUCCCCUUUAAUUUCAUGUCCUUGGUUGUUUCAUUAACUUCUUUUUUAGGAGCAUUUCAUGAACUUCGUGCCUUCUAUUCUUCACAUGUCUCACAGAAUGCAUUUAUACAGGGUUAUCAGUGUCGUUCCUGUGAUAAGCCACCUGAAGCUCAUGUGCAUUGCUACACUCAUCGCCAGGGAAGUCUAACAAUAUCAGUUCGGAAACUUCCUAAUGUUGUUUUGCCAGGAGAAAGGGAUGGAAAAAUUUGGAUGUGGCACAGGUGUCUAAAGUGCCCUUGGAGUGACGGAUUUCCACCAGCGACUCAACGCAUUGUCAUGUCUGAUGCUGCUUGGGGUUUGUCACUUGGUAAAUUUUUGGAGCUUAGUUUUUCAAAUCAUGCAGCUGCUAGUAGGGUAGCCAAUUGUGGUCAUUCUCUCCACAGAGACUGCCUUCGAUUCUAUGGGUAAGCUAUCUUCAGAUGCUUGCCUUUUCAGAAUGAAUUAAUCUCAGUUGGUUUUCAUGCUGAGUAGACGCCAUGGGAAGUAGGUUAUAAAUCUGGCAUCUGCUUUUGUAUACAGAUUUGGCAAAAUGGUGGCUUGCUUCCGUUACGCACCUAUUAAUGUUCAUUCUGUUCAUGUACCACCUCAUAAACUCGAUUUUACUCACCAACCCUUGGACUGGAUACAGAAAGAAGCUAAUGAGGUAUGCAUCAUACAGCAAUAGUAGGUUUGGUUUGCAUAAAAAUGUUUCUGUUUCUGCUUUUGUCGAACAUUUCAAAAUUCUUUCUCCAAUUUUUAACAGUUUGCUAUGAUAAAAUUGCUUUCACCUUGAUGACUAAUAUUUUACCAAAUUGAUAGGUCAUUGACCGGGCAAAGGUUCUCUUUGAUGAAAUAUUACGUAGUUUGCACGUGAUCUCUGAGAAAAAGGCUCACAGCAGUUCUCUCAAUGUGGAAUGUCCCAAUUACAUCACUGACCUUGAAGGCAUGUUUCGAAAAGAAAAGUUAGAGUUUGAGGUGUGCUUCUUUCAGAUAGAUCUGUCUUUUACCAUAUUCAUUAAAAUAGAGUUUAAACUUGUAAGAUUGUUACUUCAACUCAUUGAGGCACACAACUAGAAAGCUCGAUGGUCAUGAACUUACCGUGCACAUGCAGUGAACUGUAAAACUGUAACUGUGCAUCUGGGUUUAAGAAAAUAUAGCAUAUGUUGAUGCCCAACUCAGCAAAAAUAUAUCGCUGAUUUAAAACCGAACUCAUUUUGUUUUGGGAGAAUUAGACCCAACUCUUUUGUCUCCAUAUGUUGUCAAGAAACAAGAUAAUUCUUGUUUCAUGGGAGAAUACACAUAUGAAUCUUUUACUUCAUGUAAAGAUGAUGGUAUAUUUAGAGCUACUAAUACGACUAGGAAGUUUGAGCUUUAAUCACAAAGAUUCUGCAUCUUAAGUAGGGGGCAUAUCUAGUAAUGAGGAACAGAAAGGUGCUAACUAUGGUAGCCCUCUUAGCUUGGACGCGAAAAUCAACUAUAAAUUUCCCAAAACAUUUGUCGAAGUGGCCCUCCUACUUAUUUUAGCAUCAUAGCACCUAUUGCAUAGUUCACAGAUAUUUGUACAGGGAUACGGGGACACGGGAUGACGGGAUACAACAUUUUCCAAAAACAGUCAAACAGGGAUACAGCAAAUAUAGAUAAUUUUUAAAAACACCAUGUAUAAAACAAUAAUUUAAGACAUGAUAUACUGAGAUGAGAAAAAAUAAUGCCCAUUUGUGGUGAGCCUCUGCCUCCAAUCCAUGUCUUCUUUUGAAGUUCUCAAUGCUUGAAUAAUCCUACAAAAUAUGACAAAUAGCACACAAUGAGAGCAUAGCAAUUAACAAAAACAAAUUCUACUAAUAUAACAUGAUGGAUACGAGGGUAGAAGGCUCAGGUGGCCAUAAAGCACAUAGCGCAGCAGCAACUUAACAAGUAGCAACAGCAGCAAAUUAGCAACGGAAGUAGUAGCCUAUCCACUUGCCAGCUCGCCUAAUCGGUACAAAAAUAAAGAAAAAAACAGUAGCUAGCCAGCCUGCAGGUCGCAACAGCAAAGAAAAACAGAGGGAGAGGGGAGUGGACGAGGGAGACUGGGAGAGAGAAGUAGCUGACUCGCCGGAGAGGUGAGGGUGGGACUCGCCGAUGAAUUACCUGCUGGAGGCUGGAGGGGAUUGGGCGGUGACGACAAACUGGGCGUUGAGUCCAGCAGCUGAGGCGACACGGUUGCAGCCUUGAAGGAGUGUGAUGGCGGCGGGUAGUGCGAACUGCCCCCUUCCGUACGCACCUGCGAGAGGUUAGGGUUUUUGGUGGGCUUGUUGGUCCACCCUGACGUUCCCGUAUCACGAUCCGUAUCCUCCCGGUAUCCCCUAUUUUUUUUUAAAUUUGGAAGUCAUCGGGUACUCUGGGAUGCCCGUAUCCCGGCGUGUCAGCAUGGGGAUAUGGCGGCCCUGGACGUAUCAGUGAUUCGUAGGUUUACAUUGACAUGUCCCCCAUUAAGCAUACCUACAGACAAUGCAGAAACUUCGCCAUUCCAUUCCUUUAGUCCUUGAUGUAUGCAUUUCUUAUAUGGUUACUUGAUUGAUUUCUAUCUUUAAAUAAUUAGGGGUGUCUGAAUAAAGUUUUCAAAAAGGAAGCACAGAAAUGUCAACCAGACAUUCUUGAGAUUAAUAGGCUGAGGAGACAGUUACUCUUCCAUUCAUACUUGUGGGAUCAAAGACUGAGAUUUGCUGCAAGAUCAGAUAGGAGUCGCCAUGAACUAUCCAACAUCAGGCAAGGAGAUAAGGAGAUGAUUCAUCCUGUGGACAGUUUUGCUGGACCAAAUGCCACCGAUCAACCUCAAAAGGAAAUUAGUGGAACUGAGGUGGCCAAUAAAGAUGUUAAAUAUGUCGAAAAGCUUCAAGAGAGCAUUUGUAGACAGAAUUGUGCUGCAGUUGAUGCAAGUAAUAGCUAUUGUAAUCUUGACCAGCAAAUAGCCACAUGUGAGUCGGACUCCCUCCAAAGAAGCAUCCAAACACCUCUGUACAGCAGCGUCAGUGUGAACGGUGAUACAGUGCCUUUGGAGUCUGAUCUUGUUGCUCGACGCACCCUUUCAGAAGGGCAGUUCCCCAGUAUAUUAGAUGUUUCCAAUGCACUUGAUGCAAAAUGGACUGGUGAAAAUGAUCCUAUUACUAGCAAGGUAAUAGUCCCAGAUUCUAUUGCAUCCUCAGAGGACUCGGAAGAACAUAUCAGUGAUACUACACCUUCAUAUGCGUCUGUAUUGCUGAACAAGCUAGGCGAUAGUGCAGAGGACCAUUCCAAUUGGAUAGGGAUGCCUUUCUUACAAUUAUACCGUUCUCUCAACAAGCAAUGGAGUCGUUCAAAAAGAUUUGAUGCUCUCAUUGAAUAUACACCUGUUCAUAUUUCUUUCUUAAGGGCAAUGGAGCGCCAGGUUGGGCCCAAAUUUCUCUUUCCAAUAGGUAUCAAUGACACUGUUGUUGGAGUUUAUGAUGAUGAACCUACUAGCAUCAUCUCUUAUGCGCUUACCUCUCAUGAAUACCAUCUGCAGCUGUCAGAUGAGCUGGACAGAGAAACAACAGAGACUUCACCCUCACUCUGUGAUUUGAGAAGUGUCUCAUUAUCUGAAUCGAUAGAUGAAACUAGUUCUGAACUUCUAAGAAGUGUUGUGUCAGCAGAGGACAAUGCGCGCUCCAUUUCAGGAAGCAAGAACACAUCCACUUCUGAUCCACUUUUACAUGGUAAAGUAACUCACAUAAAGGUGAAUUUUGGAGAUGAAGGCCCUCUAGAACAAGUGAAGUACACUGUGAUCUGUUACUAUGCAAAACAAUUUGAUGCUUUGAGGAGAAUAUGCUGUCCAUCUGAGCGUGAUUUUGUUAGGUCACUAAGUCGCUGCAAGAAAUGGGGUGCUCAAGGAGGAAAGAGCAACGUUUUCUUUGCAAAAUCAAUGGAUGACAGGUUCAUAAUUAAGCAGGUCACCAAAACAGAAUUAGAGUCUUUCAUGAAAUUUGCUCCGGACUAUUUCAAAUAUCUGUUAGAGUCAAUUGGCACUGGCAGUCCUACUUGCAUUGCAAAAAUUCUUGGUAUUUAUCAGGUAAUAUUUUAUUAGUUUUAUGACUUUCAUUUCUUAGCUUUGCACCAACUGCACAACAAAAUUUCUUUGCUAUGCCUCUAUAAUUUCCGAUGGUCAUGUUACUGUGGUUCAAGUGACAUUAAUUAUCAUGGAUUUGUUAGAUUGGAAAAGCGUACAUCUAAUUGUGAUUUUCGGAGAAUUAUAAAUCUGAAUGCAAGGGAGAGGAAUUAUCUGUUGAAUUCACAAAUGUUUACUGCUGCUAUAUUCAUGCAGUCAUAUUUUUCUAACAACGGCCAUUAAUCAAGAUUGACCAUGUAGAAAAUGAACCUCCACAUUUGUCAUUAGAAUUAAUUUAAUAGUACUACAGAUAAAUAAUAUGUGUUGGGAUACUAAUCAUCUGAAUGUCCAUUAAAUCUGAUCAAAGACAGAAACAGUGAAUCUUUUGUUGCAACUGCUAAAAUAUAUGUUGAUGAUUGUCUCCAUUGCAUUAGUAAUUAAGCCAUGCAAUUAAAAGCACAAAAUGGUACUCAAUGUUUUCUAAUUUUGUUUGAUUUUAUUUUCAAAAUUAAACCCUUCUCAAUGGCACGUUUCAGUGCAAAUUUGGGAAAAUCAAUUCAUCAGCAAGGAUAAUUUUUGCGGAUCAUUAUUUUGACAUAUAGUUUCAGUUCAAUUUGUCAAUCUUGUAUCAUUAUUUUGAUGAUCUGGCCAGUGGCUAAUCCAGCUGACGUGUUAUGUGUUAUGAAAGCAUGCAUGGCAUGUGCGGGAAAGCUAGUGUUUGAAUAAGUUGUUGCCAAAACUAGACCUUCUUUUAUUUGGGUAGAAUAUCAGCAGUUGCCACCAGUUACAGACUUAUUGUUACUAAGAAAAAUCACAUCAUGACCGCCCUAUUUUAAAUGUUACGUUCCUUUGUGCAAGCCAUAGCAUCAAAUAUUUCCUUUUUUCUUCUUCCAAAUAGUGUUUCUCAGUAGGGUAUUAAUUUUCAUCCGAGUCUGAAAGUGAUGCAACAGCCUGAAAGUGAUUCUGACAGUUGAAACCUAAAUGUUCUGCAAGUUAUUCAACAAUCACGAGUUCAUAACCUUCAUAUAAUUUUUAUCAUCGGGAGAGUCGUCUCAUUAUGCAUCUGAAUCUUGUACGAAUGCUGUUUGAGUUUUGGAUGGGAAAUUUUGUUUUUUAUGAUUUAUCUUCAUAAGUACUUAUUGUGGGAUCUCUUACUCAAUCUUAUACUUUGAGCUUGAAUAGGUGAAGAGCCUGAAAGGUGGAAAGGAGACAAGGAUGGAUGUUCUCGUCAUGGAAAAUCUUUUAUUUGAACGUCAUGUGACAAGAUUGUAUGAUUUGAAGGGCUCUACAAGAUCAAGAUAUAACCCUGACUCGAACGGUAGUGAUAAAGUACUUCUUGAUGAGAACUUAAUUGAAGCAAUGCCUACAUCCCCUAUUUUUGUCGGGAACAAGGCGAAGCGACUUCUGGAGAGAGCUGUUUGGAAUGAUACUGCAUUCCUUGCUGUGAGUACUAGUCAGUUUCAUACUUGCUUGACAUCGCUGCAUUCUUCUGCACAUAUAGUAUAUCCUUAUAUGAUAUAUCUGUUGCUGGCUACAAAUUUUCUUUACCACUAUGACAAGCUUUUGAACUACUAUUAUUUUCUUCCAAACAAAAGGUUUUCUAGUGGUUACUCAUAGAUAAAUCACAGUAAUUCCAAAUACAUAUAAAUAUUUGCACUGAAGAUUAUGCGCUUCCAGCUCUUUUGGUAUAACUCUCAAAGCAAGGUUCAAUUACAACCAUCUCUGGCCUUCUUUUAUUCAUAUUGACCGAUAUAUGUUAUACUACCUGAGUCACAAGUUAGAUCUUUUUAGAUACUGACAGGGUCUUCAGAAAUAACAAAGUAUACAUCAAAAGAAGUAUAUUGCAUGGUACAUCUAGGAAUACCAGUCUAGUGACGAGAACACCCAUCCUUGUUUCCUUAUAUGAUAUAUCUGUUGCUACCUACAAAUUUUCUCCUCCCAGUGAAAAUCCUGUAUCAGUGAAAAUUUAUAAGCACAUAAAGGACUCAAACAAUUACAUGCACAUAACUUUUUCUGGAUUUAUUUGGGUAUGUCCUCCCAGGAGCCAUUUUCCCUACCUCACUGCCAGGAAUCAGGAUGCAUAUCGGAACUUGCAAACGACCUAGUAUUUUGUUUCACAUGGUGUUCUGCUCUUUCACUCUGCUGUUAUUAAUUUAUUACUUUUCUGGAUAUUCAUACUGAAGCCUGCUGUUAUCAUGUUUCUCAAGAAAUUGGGGAAUCUAUAACAUGGUAUGAAAAGAUUAACAUCAUAACAGAUCAGAAAGAUAUAAAUGAUCAUAACAGACCAGAAAGAUAUAAAUGAUCAUAACAGACCAGAAAGAUAUAAAUUUUGCUUACAAUUAGUGCCUCAUGUAGAAAUUAUCUAGAUUCAACUUGCUAUAUUGCCGGAUAUAACUCGUAAUGAGUCAUUUAUGUCAUGCUUUUAAUCUUGUAAUGAACCUGUGCAAUUUCUGAUAUCAACAUUGGCAACUUUACUGCAGUCCAUUGAUGUAAUGGAUUACUCAUUACUUGUUGGUGUUGAUGAGAAGAAGCAUGAACUUGUUAUGGGAAUCAUAGAUUUUAUGAGGCAGUAUACAUGGGACAAACAUCUAGAGACAUGGGUGAAAGCUUCAGGAAUAUUAGGUGGACCAAAGAAUGUAUCACCAACAGUAAUUUCACCAAAGCAAUACAAGAAGCGUUUCAGGAAAGCCAUGUCGGCCUACUUUCUUGUUGUUCCAGAUCAAUGGUCGCCUCCAGCAAUCAUCCCCAGCAAGCAAGUGUCUGAAAGCGGCCAAGAUAAUGAUCAGUUUCUCUCCACGGGAUCAUGAUGCAUGCUGGACCUUAAAAAUGCUCGGAAAUAUUGUGGAAUAACUCUUUUUUGUCACAUAUAUAGAGUUCUAUUAAUUACUAUUUAGCUCAUUCUUUUUCAUUGGCCCUAUUUAUCUGGCACCUUAUUCUUUUUUCUUUGGAAGAUCAAGAUGUACAAAAUCUAGCUGAAGUUUCUGGAAGUUCUAGAUAGAAAAUUGACAAGUGUAUAGGAGGAGCGUAUAAAGAUAUGCCAUCUACAUGAGUCUGUAGUGCACUGAGAUGAUACCAUGCAGAUAAAUAGAAUUACUUCUACCUUUGCAAACAUUUUUUUUUGUCAUAGUUCAUUUGUGGUUAUAUUAUUGCAGACCUUUCUAAGAGACUCUAGAAACAAAAAGCAUAUUGGCCAGGGAUGGGAGUCUGUGAUUUUGUCGGGUUUCUGAGACCCUUUCUGCAUUAUAUUAUGUAUAGCGCACUACAGCUGGCUCUCUGUCUCUGUUGAUAUGGGUCUUGCUGACUUGCUGGAACUAGGAGUUACCCAGGAAACAAUUCAAUUUCUGUACAAGGAAGCAAUUCAACUUUCUGUAGAAUGCGGGAAAAUCCCUUGUUCCAAAAUGGGGCCUUGAUAUGACUUGCAUCUCGUAUGCGACUUGUCCUGGGUUUUUACACAACUAUCAGAUUUGCUAAAAGCAAGAUAAACCUUGAAUAUUAUUAAAUACUCCCUCUGUUGUUCUAUAAAAUGGUUAACCUCUGUCUUAAGUUAAACUUUUAAAAGUUUGGUCGAGUUUAUUGAGAAAUAUACGAUAUCUAUAGUAUCAAAUAAGUAUAUUGUGAAGAUAUAUACCAUGAAAGAUUUAAUAAAACUAAUUUAGAGUUAUAGGUAUUCAUAUUUUUUAAUAAACUUGACCAAACUUUAAUAAAGUUUAAUUAAGGAUAAUGCUGGAACAUCUUAUAGGAAUGAAGGGCAGGACUCAGGAGUACUAGCAACCUCCCUGGCAGGCCACCUGACCUCAAAUGAGUUUCGCUAAGGUACCCUGCGGCUCAAGCACAAUCCUGACCACGUGAUGAUGCAUGAAGGAUUUAAGGUUAGAAAUCUUCUCUUUUUUUACAAGACCUUUGUCGGCAUCCCAAAACUUUAGGGCCCAUUUUAGAUUUAGCACAUGGGCUCAAAUUUUUGGGUAAGGCCCGAUGAAGGGAAUGUUGUGUAUGCAACAUUGAGUACGUUGUCCGUACAACAUUGUGUUCGUUUAGGAGUUGGGACAUCUGGUAGGGACCGCUAUUGACUAAUGGUUGAGUAGAAAUAUUCGGGCCAUAACUAAAUAUGCGUGAACCUGUAUGGUCGUAUACUUGAAGGGUUGGAGCCUAAUUUGAAUUAGAAAUAAAUUAGAGUGGAGAUUGAGUUCUAACGGCCAAUGGGCCUCUAACGUGGUUCCCCAUUAUGGGUACGCGUCUACAUAAGGAAGACUGGAAGAGGGGCUGGAGGGUUUAGGCCUUUUCCAGCCCAAAACCUCUGUUCAGAUUUAGCAAUCGGAGCAAGUGGUUUUCCUUGCCGAACAUGUGGAUACCUCGCAAGCAUUGCGACCGUCACGAUUGGACGAACUAUUUAAGGGAACUCGCAAGGAGAAAAAGGUAGUACAACCACAUGGCAUACUCAAAUUCCGCUACAAGGUUUGGCGCAUCUAGUGGCAACCACGUGAUCCGCUAUUACGACAUGUUUUUAGUUUACAUGGUAUUACCUCCUCCCAUUUUAUGAGACACUCGUGUGUUCCAAAAUUAUCAAUUCAACUAACAAAAUAAGUAAUUUAUUGCGCAAAUAUGUACCAUUAGAUUUGUAAUUAAAUGAACUUUAAAUGAUAUAUUUUUUAAUCUCAUAUUACAUUUUGGAGAGAAAUCCAUAUUUGCCAGUGAGAAUUUGUCUAGAUGUUUAAAUGCCACUCAGAAUUUGUCUGUUCCAAAUAUGCCACUCAAAUUUUGCAUUGGGGUAUAAAUAUGCCACUACCGUUAGUUGACUGCUAGUUGACCGUUAACUAAGAGAUGAAAAUACCAUUUUGCCCCUUAGGUAGACAAAAGAUACAACAGCAUUAAUUAAGUGGUUCAUUCAGAUGACAACUUUCAAUGUUCCAAUUCUGCUUCUAAGCACUCAAACAGUUCUCGAGAACUGGGAUUGAAGCUAUUGAAAACAAGAUCUCAAAUGAAAAACUGUUAAAGAAGUCAACGGUAUGGGCAAGUAACUAGCAUGAUAUAUACAAAGCUACAAAAGAACCAUGGAAAAUAAUAAAUAUGAGAGUUAGGAAGCAACAUCUAAACUUUUCACUGCAAGUCACGCUAGUGACAAGAAAAAUGCUAAAUGAAAAAAAAAUAAGAUCGAUGUUUUCUCACAUGCCAUAUCAAUCGUGAGAAUGAAAAUGUGUUACCUACUCAACAACGGGAAACCAACAACGCAACAAGGGGUAUCUUAGUUUUCUUUUUUUUCCUUCUGACCCGUGGACCUAGGGGUAUAUCGGUCAAUAUGUAAAACCUAACAAUUGACUUAACGGUCAAUUAACGGUUGUGGCAUAUUUGUACCCGAUGCAAAAUUUGAGUGGCAUAUUUGGAGUAGGCAAAUUUUCAAUGGCAUUUGGGCAUUUGGACAAAUUCUCGGUGGCAAAUAUUAAAUUCUCUCAACAUUUUGCUACUCACUCCAAUCCAUAUUAAUUGUCGCAGCUUUGUCUAGAUACACAUGUAUCUAAACGCGUUUCAUUGUAUAGGUACAUCCUUAUCUAGGCAAAACUGCGACGAGUGAUACGGAUCAAAAGUAAUAGUUAAAUUGAUGAUCUUGGAACACGUGCAUGUCUUGUAAAAAAGGCGGAGGUAGUCGAAAAUCUUGAUUUGCGCUAGUGUGCACUACUCAUUAGUGGGUGGGGUGGCGAGCACACUUUGCAGCGAGUGUUCCGAUGGGUAUAUCGUUGGCGCGUCAAAAAUCGGGACAUCAGCCAUUUUUUUAGGGAAAUACAUCGGCCCGAAGUCAAGAAUACAGAAAAUUGGUAUGUGGGACUAGCAUGUAAGUCAUACCCAACCUUGUCACGCCAUCAAAAAAAUGGUUCCCCGUCUCGCUCCUCCCCUAGCACCAACGCCCGCAGAAACCCAGGCGGAGGGGAGUUAGCGCCCGCCGGCGGCAAGGCCGCGGUUCUCCCUCACCUCUGUGCGUCGUUUUGGCACCGGCAGGUGUGGGGGAGCCCGGUCUUCCGUCCGGUUGGUGUUUUCGGUUCUAACUUUUUCUAGUUUGUUUCCCGGCAGGAGGCGAGGAUGACGCUGCUGUCUUGGAAUAAGUCCCUCCGGCUCCUUCCUCGUGCUAGCGUCUUCAACUCUGGCGGCGUUGGCGGGCUGGUGAGGGCGGGGUGGUCAGGAUCUGUGUGUUCUGCUCCUUGGCACCCUGGUUUUGAAGUGUCUCAAUGUUCGUCUGUGGCUUUAUGCGCGGGCGAUAGCAUGCUGCCCGGGGAAGAAGAUGGAUGUGUCUGCUGCCUUGGUUUUGUGGUGGUGGCUCAUGGAUCUGGCCGCUUGCUGAAGGGCGGUCUGGCUUCGUCCCCAGAUCCGGUGCUGGAGAGGUUCGGAGGACGCCUUCGGCCGAUGCAUUUGAGAGGAGUUCAUCCUACUCAUUGGAGUAGGUGUCUACUGCGGUUCAAGAAAGCUUUUGAGCGAGUGACUUCUUCAGUGCCUGGUGCGUGGCCUACGAGAGCUCGUUCCCUCUGCCGACGACUCCGGCAACGGCGGAGGGGAUCAGAUUUCAGUGGCGUUGGAAGUUGCAGAGAAAACUUUGGUUUUAAUCCUAUUUUUAGUUUUUUGGGCUUCUCUGUUUCUUGGUGGAGGCUACAGUUCCUUCCGUAUCCUUCCUUUGGCCUCGAGUUAAUUUUUUUUAAUAAUACGAAUUAUUAAAUCAUUAUUGAAAAUAAUACACAUUUUAUAAAAAUUUCAAAAAUAAUACACCCUCGACCUGGGCCAGGCCGACUGGAGCUAAUCGGCCUGGCCCAUGCCGAUUCGGCCCACUCGGCCUCGCCCAGGCCGACUGGAGGCCGGCCUGCCCGCCCAGGCCGAUUAGGCCCCAGUCGGCUUCGGCCAGGCCGACUGGAGGCUCGUCUUGCUCGCACUUACAGGAACAGAACGCCACUGCUCGCCUGCUCGCCGGUUGAUCUCCCUUCGAUUCCCCUAGUCUCCACUCAUUCUCUUCGCAUUAACACAUGAGAAUUAAUCUCCACUAUUCCACGAACCAGUUCAGGCGCUAGGUCUCCCGUUUUCCUUUUUAAUGGCCACUUCUAUUGAGACGCACCGAAUGCCGCCCGUCGGCAUCCGUCUCCCGAUCUUCCUCCUCUGCCUAUAAAAGGCGAUUCCUAGCGCGUCACCGUGUGCCUCUGUGCUUCCUCUCUCAUUAUCCUAUUGAGAGGUUGUCCCCUCAAGAGCUCUACAUCUCAUGCCACGACCGUUUUCCUCCGCCAUCCGUUGCCUCCAUUGUUGAAGGGGAGCUCGCUCCGGAGCUCUGUUCCUCGAUUCCUUUCACCGGGAGACUCUUCUGACCCCCUUUACCUUUUUUGACAAAGUUUCAUGAACAACCGUCGCCGUUGGCCGUGCCGUCCCCGACGUCAUGCCGAAGCCGUGCCCGAAGCCCCGGCCGCGACGGGAGACCUAUUGCGCCUGAACUGGUUCGUGGAAUAGUGGGGAUUAAUUUGCAUGUGUUAAUGCGAAGAGAAUGAGUGGAGACCAGGGAAAUCGAAGGGGGAUCAACCGGUGAACAGUGGCGUUCUGUUCCUGUACGUGCGAGGAAGACGAGCCUCCAGUCGGCUUGGCCGAAGCCACUGGGGCCUAAUCGGCCUCCUGGCCUGUGGGCUGGCAAACCGGCCUCCAGUCGGCCUGGGCGAGGCCGAGUGGGCCUAAUUGGCUUGGGCCAGGCCGAUUAGCUCCAGUCGGCCUGGUCAGGCCGAGGGUGUAUUAUUUUUAAUAAAUUUAUAAAACGUGUAUUAUUUUCAAGCACCGUAACAGGAUUUGCUGUAAAAAAAAAGCGCCACAACCAGAUCAAACCCAAACCACUAGCAUAGACAAGAUUUUGAGUUAGGACGGUCUAAUUAAAAUGAGGGUAACAUGCUAAUAAUAUACUGCACAACAUCGGUUACUCUGUCUACUUCCGCCUAGCACCUGUUGCACCGUGCUUCUGAGCUCUUCGCUAGUCAUGUCUUAGGAAGGAACUAGGAAUGACAGAACGACGCCUCUGUUCGAGUAACCGACCCGAAAAGGUUGUGAUCAGGAUCAGCGCUAAUAUGGCUCGUGUGCUAGGAAAUACUAGCACAAGUCCGUACAUUGUACAGAUUUAAAAAAAAGAGACUAUAGUCCUUAUUUUAAUUCUAACUAUCUAAGUGCCCCGUGCGUUUUGCUACGCUCUUCACAAAUUAUUCAUAUUAAAAAGAUAAAAACAAAAAUCAAGAAUGCAACCCAGCGGGUGCAUUAUCAAUUAAAAGAGAAGCGCUAGAAUGCUAGUACAAUGCCGAAACAGCAACAAUGCCACUCGUGGCAAGAAAACUAAAAAGGAACUACGGACUACCAAGCAACCUACUCGCCGCAAGAGCCGAACCAACACCCCUAGCUAACGGCAUUUAGAAAUGAUAGUUAUCCUCUUAGCUAAUGUCUUUUUUAGAGCAUCUUAAUCAUUGUCUUAAGGUCUUGUUGCUGUUUUGGGCUAGAACCAUUAAUUCUGCGUGCAGUGGGCCAGUCGUUGUUGGUAGAGAGUGGUGGAUGAACGGACCCAGUUGCAAAUUAACAAUUAGUAUAAACCUAGAUCGUUAUCGAUCUUAGGCCAGGCCCAUUAUUUCCAUUGCGGUAACGGACACCGACUGUAAAUUAAUAGGUAGUAUGCCUAUUAAUUUUGUUGUGGUGGUGAUAAAGAGUUGUAGUAAUAGAUUAUUCAUGCCAGAUCUAUCAAGGGUAGGCGGUUCGAGGGUGGAUGGAGCACCGCCACUAAUCGACAUCUUUAUUAUAGUAGGGACGCAAUGACUCAAGAAGAUAUUGAUCGAAACACGGUAUAACUAGAUUUAGGUGGGCUGUCCAACCUAGCCUUGUGCGAUGUACUAGCAUUUUUCGUUCGACGGAUCGGUAACACGGUAGCACCGAAAUGUCUUGACAGGAGUAUAUGUAGCCCGCCAACCAAGAUAAUAAUAGUUGUCAUGAAAAGUGAGUUUUUAUUAUGGAAAGUGAGUAAACGAAGAACAAGAAGUUACAUCUAUUCCAUUUGAGAUUAUGUAAAUUUGAGAAAAUUAAGUGGCGUUCGUUGCCAUUUGGAAUUAGCGAAGUGUCUGGCGCUUUCCUAUGGACCAACAAACAAGCAUUUAAAUGCAAUGAUCAAAUGACUAUUUUCCGGUUUUUAUCCCUAACUUCUUUCUUAUGGUGGCUAGUGCGUUGUAGCAUAUGUACCCUUAUGGUCAUUACUUGGCAAUAUGACAACCAUCUCUAGCGAUGGUGGCGUAGAAAGAAUUGGUAGGUAGUAGCACGACAAGCGGUGCUUUGGAGACGGUAGCACAUAUGGAUUCGACGAGGGAGUGACAAAGAGGAACUUUUUGCUCAAUUGCCCCCCUGCCCAACGGAAUUGUCAAAAAUGCCCCCCUCAACGAAAUGCCGAAAGUGGCCUGGCGAAAAGCAUAAGCGACAUGUGGACUUUCUCCAAUGGGAUCGGCGGAAAGGCACACAAAAAACUGUGCCAGAUGCUAUAGUACACGCCGCUGAUGCGAUUGGACGAAAGCUAGGCCACAUGUUGCUUUAUGGGCUUUUCGUCAGGCCACUUUUGGCAUUUCGUUCGGGAGAGGGCCCUUCCUGACAAUUCCGUUGGCCAGGCGGGGGUUGGGGUGGGGGGGCAAUUGAGCAAAAAGAGAUAUUCAACAAAAACAAUGAGAAAUGACUAGAUGAUGGUCGCAUAAAGGCUUGGAAUAGGAGACUCCCCACAUUGAAAAACGCACAAGCAAAAUACUCAUUCGAGUUGGUAUCUAGUCAUAGGACACAUGAAUUUGACAAAGUGGGUCCAUGCUAUGAGAUUUUAAGUUAAAAAGGUAAAAGGAGGCCACAAUUUUCAAUAUGGUACGGAAUGCACAAAUCGCACAUAGGAAAUAAAAGGUAAAAUUUUAGUGAAAAUUUAAAAUAACUUUUUGCGCGUAUUUGCAGAUAAACCGAGACAUUUUGCACCUGUUUCUCAUGUGUUUUGUCUAAGCGGAUCAUUCUGAUUUUCAACCUUUUGUUCCGGACUUACAUUUUCUCUUAAAUUUCAGUGUUUUUCUUUUCAAAUCCUACAUCCGGACUAUCAGCAUAUGAGGAAAAGAUGCGAGCAGUUGGAGCGAUAGAAAACCGAGAGGCAGUUAAAAAAAAUAUGUGCACAUUCUUCUUCUCCUACUGCGGAGUAGUACCAGUAUAUACUAUGGAGUAUAGGAACAAAUUACUGCUAGCUCUGACGACUCCAAGUCCCAUGAUACAGGCGUUGAAAACUUUACCUGACCUGAGUACCUGACCGACCAUCCGGGGCCCUCUCUACCUCUGCGCCUGAGCCUUGAGCAGCAGCAGAGCAGAAAUGUCCGUUUGUUUACGAAGAUUAGUGUUCCGUGUUAGCCGCAAAAACUACUCCACUGUACUCGCUUUGUGGGUACGCGUGCCUCCUGCCUCGACGGAGACAGAGCAGCUAGCAGAGCAGAGCUGCGCACACAAACAGCGGCUAGUGCGUGCUCUGCAUCAUGUUAACUGGGUCGCAGGCCGUGAAUGUGUCGCAUUUCUUCCAUUAUUUCAAAAUUUAACCGGCUCUAUUCUUUCAGCAGCAGGUGACGUAUCCGUCAACAACGAGCCGUCAGCGGUGAUUUCAUCAGUCUCUUAAGAUCUGCCAGCUCAGUCUUUCGAAGGUGCUCAUAGAGUUAGGAAUGUGCGUGUGUGCGUUCAUAGGGGUGAGUGUACGCUCGUGUUGUGUUGUGAGUGUUGGGUUUUGUACCGUGUUCUUAAAAAAAACUCGGUCGCAGGCCUGGCACGCACGCACUGGAUGCAUGGAUGGAAGUGUGCGUGUCCCCGCCUGCCAGUGCCAUGCCAGCAGCCUCGAGAUCUCUGCCAGUACGUGUCACGCCAAACUGAAACUAUUUUAAUCAUCUUUUACCAGAUCUAUACCGGUGCGGUGCGCUCUCUUCUUCCUUCCCCCGUCCAAGAUCUAGAUGCGACACAUAGAAUUUACUAUCGAGGAGAGCCCCACCCGACGCAUGCGGUUUACCUUCGCACUCGUGGUGUCGUGGUCAAGUCGUCAAGAGAGAAACGAUGCAGUACGAUUUACAUCACUCUGGCGAAGCCAGUUCGGAGAAUCACUGGUGUCAUCUACGGAGUAUAUUACAUUGAUGUAAAUUUUUAUACUCCGUAAAUAUAACUAGUGGUCUUCACUAGUUCACAGAGGAACCACUGGUGUUAAUUGACACAUGUGUUACUUCCUCCGUCCCAUAAUACGAGGCACGCACGCAUUCCUAAAUCGUCAAUUUAGCUAACUUAAUAUAACUUAAAAAAAUAUAAAAAAAUAUCAUUAGAAAGUUCUUUCAAUAACGAAUCUAAUAGUGUAUUUGUUGUUAAAAAAUAUACAUAUUUAAUUGAUCAAAUUGACGAUCUAAAGAUGCGUGCGUGUCUCAUAUUGUGGGCGGAGGUAGUACAAUGUAGCUUUGCCCUUGCCCUCAUCUCAAGUUUACAUAGGACUGGAGUGCAAUGUGCACUUGAAUCUUACGGAAUUGAAAACUAACUAGGCACCUUUGAUUCGGAGGAUUCUGAAAACGUCUGUGCUACAAAAGAACCCAUGAAUAUGACAUGAAUGCAUGUGCAAAAUACAAGACUUGAUACCAUAGAAUUUCUAUAAAAAUGGACGUUUUUUUUUGCGGGAUAUAAAAAUGGACGUUUGAUUACAGGAAUAUAAGAAGACACAUGAAUCCUACUAAACACAGUCAAACCACAUGGAUACGUAUAAUUAGAAUGUUAAUUAGUAUACCAAUGACGACCUCAUCUCAUUUUUCAUGCAUAGGAAUUGAGAAAAGAGGUUUGAGGUGGAUCGCUAGUAAAUUCCUACGUUUUUUCAUUUUAAAGCUGACAUCAAACGGAAUUUUCCUCUAUUUUUCCUGUGUCUCAUUCUGUAAAUCAAAUGAGUGAAUAGUAUCACCAAAGAAAAAAAUUCUAUCCCUACACAUUUCCUCCACUUUUUCAUAUGAAUUGAAAAGGGUAUAUAGGAGUUAACACCAUAGAGUGCUUGACACACCACAGAAAAAACAAAAGAAUUGUACUCCCUCCGGCCGAUACAUAAUAAGUAUCCCAAAUUUUGUACUAACUUAGUACAAAGUUGUAAUAAAUCUGAGACACUUAUUAUGUAUCGGAGGGAGUAGAAAGAGAUUUAAUUUAAGUACAUGGAAGGACUCUAAAAUAGAGUGCAAAGGUACUGCUUGUGAAAAAUUAAGGAUUCUAUUCACACGAAUCAAACGACCAAACCUCCAAAAAAUGUACAAAAUUAUUUGAAUCGAAAGAACUCUUAAAAAAAUGUAUGUUGAGAAUUGAGACGAUGUCAUGGUCUUCGGAAUUCUCGCAUUUUGUUAGAAACCCUACAGGGUAUCCUAAUUCAUAAUCUGAAGAAGCACAAUCUUGUACUCCCUCUGUUUCUUAAUAUUGUGCGUUUGGAGUUGUCCUAAAUGAAACUUUCUCAACUUUGACCGGUUUUAUAAAGUACCAACAUAUAAAACCAAACAAAUGCGAUAUAAAAAUACACUUCCUCCAGUCUUAAAUUAUUGUCGUUGUUUUAGUACAACAAUUUAGAAUCGGAUGAGAUAUUUGAUAAUAGUCCUAACAGUGCUACUUUUGUGUUGUAUAUACGUGUUCAUGUUCUUGCAAAUUUGGUCGAAGUUGACAACCUUUGGCUUAAGACCUAUCAAAUGUACAAAUAUGUCGAAAGGGAGUGAGUAUUUUGUUAUCUUCGUUUUGUAAUUUGGGUGAUCCGAAGAUGCACUGUGUAAUUUAUCAGUAUCGUGUAAAUGUGCUGAUCUUGUCCAGAGACCGCAGUGGAGACUACUAGUAACGAGUUCUUUCUGUGGGGUCCUGGGUGACAGCCGGUCCCCACCCAUUUGACUUACACAAAGGAAAAGCAACGAUGGGGACAGCCGCCCAACCACGGUUGGCAACAGAACAGAGGAGAGAGAGAGAAUGAGAGAUUCCGCCUACGAGGACAUCCGCAACGAAACGCAGAGAGAGCGAGAGGAGAGACGGUGUACAGCUCCGGACUGCAAUGAAAAGCAGAGGAAGAUGAAACCGGGAAAGGGACACGGUGUACAGCGUGCGUUGGCGUGUGUCUGCUUGUUGCUUUGCGGUGCGUUGUGGAGUUCUUUUAUUCUGGUGCAUGCCUGCGUGCUUCCGCUUUUGCUUUACAAAGGUCAGCCACGGAUUCCAUUCUCUCUCUCUCCCAUCUCUGCCUCCCCUUCAGUCUCCCUUGCCUUUGACAUGAAUCGCAUAUGUUGGCGCCUGCGUGCGCGUCCCACAGGGCCAGGGGGGGCUGUGUCUACAUUGCGCAGCUGGCUUCUUCUUUUGUUGUUUCUCGCUCCCCGGCUCGCACGGUUAAUUUUAGAGCUACCUAGCAUAUGCUUUCGGGGCUCUUUUGUCCACGGUACCUUCCUUCUGUCUUGCCUUGUAGCAAUAUUAUUUUCCUGACACUGUCGCUCGUGGCAAGCAAGCGUGCAAUGCUAAUGCUCUUCGAGUUUAUUUCGCUACGCUUUUAGCCUUUGAAUUGAUCUAGAUGUGCUUUUUAUUUUUUUUCUUUCAUGGUUAAGGCCCAGCUAAGGACCAAGGAAUCUUGUCAAAGUGUUCGGAUAAUGAGUGAAAGUAAUAUCUGAAAGUCGAAUUUCCACCAACUUCUUUUUGUUUGAUUGAAAUAAAACAACCUCGUUUACAACAACAGCAGCAGCAGCAAACUUACAGGUGGCCCUCUUUUGCUCGAAUGUGCUCCACUUAUUUUUUUUUUCCGUGUAUAUUGACAUUAUCCGCUGACCAGAGAUAAUUAGCUGACUCUGAAAGUAAAAAUAGUAAAGAAAAAUAGGGUGAACGAAACACUCCAUUCUCGAGUGAUCUUACUUGCACAUCUACGGCAACUUGUACUGUUUGCACAUCUACGGCGUUGAAUGUAGAUAAAAUGACGUACGGAGUAGGAGUACAUAUAAAACCAACAGUGACAGGGGAACAGCUCGGCUGGUUUCGGCCAAAAGCAAAAGUGACAGCUGAGAGGCCGGCUAGAUUUAGAUUAGAUUACAAGGAGAGAGAAGACAGAAGACGCGGGAUAGUGUGUCCUUCACAUGUGUUCCUCUCCAAGCUUUAAUUUUCCCAGUCCUACUUAGUUGUUUUUCCUAUCUCUUGGACCUAGGAAUUCGUGCAGAUUCCUCCACAGGUCAAACCCGUACUGCAUCUUGUUUGUUGCUAAUGCAGAGCAAUCUGGGGAGGGACGUUGAGUACAAGUCACCGCUCUGUAUUUACCGUCCUACGGUGCGGGUGAUUGCUUCAGCCUUCAGGUAGUCAAAACCAGGAUAGCUCAAUUCAGAUGAUUGGUUCAUGAAAUCGAUCCUCGACACAAAAUAUAAAAUACUUUCUCUGAUCAUAAAUUUUUAAUCAAAUUUGUCCAAAUAUGGAUGUAUCUAUUUUUAAAAAACGUUUAGAUACAUAUAAUAUUUCAACAACAAUUUAGGAUCGGAGAGAGUAAAAUAGACACUCGCAUGCUCAACUUCGUCCCUUCACCAUAGCCGUGCGGUCACUCGGUCAUGGAAACAUUUUUUCUGCUUAUAGCUAGGAUAGCUCAAUUCAGUCUUUGCCAAAAAAAAAAGGAUAGCUCAAUUCAGUACUUUGCCUGAUUGCCAUGGCGGGCAGUAUUGCCCAAAAUUUCACUUUAUACAGCACUUAAUUUAUGGCAGCAGUCCGGCACACAAUCCAUCACCUACCGAUUUUUUACAAGUCGGUGAAACGAGAACUAAUAAGAUACAGAUGGUAUAUACUCCGUAGCAUUUUCUUUAACCGUAAAGUGUACGUAUUUUAUUGGUCCUAGCAACGGACAUGCAUUGUGCUAGUCUAAACAAAGAGGUGCGGACCAAGAUCGAAACGUUGCAAUGUUCGAAACGGAAACUAAAAUAUUUUCCACUUACAGCCUAGAAUUCUGAAAAAAAAAUUAAAUUUCAGAAACCAACUUGUUUGAUUGGCACAUAAUUUAAUAGGAAUUCAAUCUCAAAUUCUAUGCAAUCACGUUAUAACUAACCCAAAAAGGCAUCAUUUUUCUAGAAUUGUUUCUCACUCUACAUAUCCAUGUGAUAGACAAACAUGAUUUUUAACCCAAAACUCAAAUUUAUUCAAAUGAAAUCCUAUCAAAAUUUGAACUUCGUUUCAUUUCUACCACCAAAUGAAAUGAUGGAUGUCAAAUGAGCUGUUAGUACUCACAAGAAUUACUCCAACUUUUCAGACGUUGAAAUUCUCCAAAGAGUUAGUCCCUCUGUUCAGAUUUACAAGGCAGGUGCAUGUUUCUAAGUUGUCAAUUUGUAAACAAAAUAUGUACACCCUCCAUCUAGAAAUAAGUCACUUGAAUUUGUCUAAAUUCAUAUGUACUUAGACAUGUUUUAGUAUCUAUAGAUACAUGCAAAUCUAGGUAAAUUCGUGUCAUUUAUUUCCGGACGAAAGAAGUAUUACAUUGCAAAAGAAAAAACAUAUCAUUAGAUUCGUCGUCGAAUGAACUUGUUAAUGACAUAUUUUCUUGAUCAUAUAACAUAUAUCUGAUUACUGCAAUUGGUGACCUAGAAACACAAGCAGGCCUUAUAAACUCGAACGGAAGUAGUAGCCUAAAUGUAUUGACCUCUCAAGAGCAUGAAAAAAAAAGUUGUUCUUGCUCCUUUUUUCUGACGUCAAAUAAUAUUGAAACCCUUCGCAACAAAUUAGAAGUGUCUCGGCCGAACAAAUCUAAACCAAUUCAUUGGAAAAAAAAGAUUCCAAAUGGAGCUGGGUCACGUCAUACACCACAACCAUAGCCCACCGAAACAUGUCCAUCUUAGAGCAAGAAUAAAUUCGGAGUACUCCGUAGUAAAGUUAGUUAUAAACACGUAGUUUUAGGCCACGCUCGCAUGCUCAACACCAUCCCUGCUGCUACUUCAUUGCCCCAUCUCUUCCACCAUCACCACCCCUAGUCUCCACUGAGAGAGUGGAGUGGAGUGGCGCUCGUUCCCUCUCCUUCUUGGCAUGUCAACGCGAACAAAAAGUAUCCUCCCAUCCAUCGCCUCCGGACGGAUAUAAAGCCAACCCUCAAAGGCCAAAACGUACCCAAGAUCGAAACCACACGGUCUGCCUGCCUGAGCCAAGAGCAACCCUGAGGUUUGCCUGAGGUAUACAGCAGCUUCGUUGUUAGCUAGAACGUUUCCCUUCGCUUCUUGCUGCAAUUCUUUGGUUCCAGCUGGCUGCAAGUCAGGAGCCUUUUCCUCUCUCUAUGUUUUUUACCAAGCUCGCAUUGCGAUUUAAGACCAAGAUUUGCUAUAUAUGAUUUGUGGCCACCAACAAAUUAAAUUCCUCCAUUUCUAAAGCCCGUUUCUUCGAAUUAAACUGCUAGGGACCCGAGAGAAUUUCCUCCUUACUUCGAUGCGCAAUUGUCUUGUGUUAGUGUUUCAACUUUCAACCAGUACACUGAACUCGAUCUUAAUUCUUGUCUUUGUCCCAAUGCAGAGAGAGGCCUUGCAUACUUAGUCAUCACUGCGGAAUCAAUGGAGCCGAGCGCGGAGUUGUCCAUGGCGCCAGCGGCCAACGGCAGGAAGCGCAAGUGCCCACCGCGGCCCGGCCUGGGUGACAUCCACCAGGACAUGCUGGAGCGCGUCCUGGCGCGCCUCCCGCCGGCCAGCUUCUUCCGCCUCCGCGCCGUCUGCCGAGGCUGGCGCGCGGCCGCCGCGUCCCGGACAUUCCUGGACGCCUGCGCCCGCGUCCCUCGCCGCGACCCGUGGUUCCUCAUGCUCUCCGACCACCGGCCCCACCACCCCGUCGCCUUCGACGCCGCCGAGCGCUCCUGGCUGAAGAACGCGUGCCACGCCGAUGCCGCGCCGGGGCCAGCCGUGCCGGUGGCCGCGUCGGGCGGCCUCGUCCUCUACCGCGCGCCGGCCACGGGCGCGCUCUCCGUCUCCAACCCGCUCACCCGCGCGUCCGGCGCGCUCCCCCCGGCGCCGCAGCCGUCGCAGGGCCAGCAGCAGCAGCUCCACGCCAUUGCCAUGUACGGCUCCCCCUACCGCGUCGCGCUCUUCACGGGCGAGCUCCUCGACGACCUGUCCAUGGCGGUGUUCGACUCCUCCAAGGGCUCCUGGGAGACCCCCGUGGCGCUCGCCCGGAGUCGACCCUCAGCGGACGCGCCCCCGGUGCAGGACACCGACACGGUCUACUUCCUGAGCAAGUCGGGCGACGUGGUGGCCACCAACAUGCAGCGCAGCGCGUCCAAGCAGUACUCCUCCGUGGUCGUCCCGUCCAACUCAAACGACACGGCCGCCGUCGCCUACUUCCUGAGCCACUCGGGCACCGUCGUGGCCUGCGACACGGCGGCACGCACGUUCGCGGAGCUGCCGCGGAUCCUCCCCGUGCACUUCGAGUACUCCAUCGACGUCGUGGCCUGCGGGGCCGCCGCGUACGCCGUCGUGCUCUCGGAGCACCUCGACACGGCUAGCCUGCGCGUGUGGGAGUUCGCGGCGGGCGCGUGGAGGCAGGUGGCCGCCAUGCCGCCCGCCAUGUCGCACGGCUUCUGCGGCAAGAAGGCCGACAUCAACUGCGUCGGCCACGGCCACCGCCUCAUGGUGUGCGUCAGCGGAAGCUCCGCCGAGGUCAGCGGCUGCUUCAUGUGCGACGUCAGAAGCAACCGCUGGGAGGAGCUGCCCAAGUGCGUCGAUGGCGACGGGGAGGCCAACGAGUUCUUGGCCGCCUUCUCCUUCGAGCCUAGACUGGAGAUCAACGUCUAAGGACUGAGCGUGUAGUCAGUGUGGUGUGCGUGCUUAUUGUGCUAAUUAAUUAAGGAGCGUCGUUUUGUUUUGCUCCUUGCUUCUUACAUUUCUUUGUCUGUAAUAUGUAGCAAUGGCUGUUUGAUUUGCAUGAUCUAGUCGACACAUUUCGGAUUGUUUGAUGGAAAAAAGAGUUAAAUCGAGUACUUGACUCUUGUGCCCAUGGGAAAGGACGUUAGCAAUCUGACGCAAAGUAGAUGCGUAUCGCCAUAUACAGUGCUGGGAAACUUCUAUUGAGGGCAAAAGUAAAUGUGGUUUCAUGUUCUGUGGCCAGAAGAAAAGAUUGCAUCUGGCAUAGAACAAAGCAUCAACUAGCAAAUUCAUGAUUUGUACUAUUGAAUGUGACUUCAAGUUUGCAGUUCUGCUCUGGCUUCAGGCCUCCUUUGAUUUAAAGGAUUUCCAUAGGAAUUUUAAAAACUUGAAAUCCUUAGAAAUUUUCUCUACGUUGGUCGUUUGAUUCUAGGAUUAAAUCCUAUAGGGAUUUCUCCUAAGGAUUCAUUUGUACUAUAUUUCAUAGGAACAUUUACAUCCACUCCAACCUUUUGGAAAAAUCUCUUGGUCCAAUCAAACAAAUUUUGAUGCAAAUAAAAUCCUAUAGAGCUCAAGUGGACAUGACAUUGCAAUCCUACAUUUUUUCUAUUCUUUACUUUUCCAAUUCUACGAAUCAAAGAGGCCCCCAAUGUUAUAUAAAUCACUUCACCAAGUUGUCAUAGUAAUUUGAUUUUCGCCAUUUACUCGCAAAUUAAUGUUCCCUACUUCAGAAUCAUCAUAAGGUCUACAUUAAACCUCGUUCAAAUCUGUUUCGCUGGUCCGGAAGAUCUUAUGUGUUCAGUCCAAUCUGAUCGAAGAGGUGCAAAAAUAAAAAAGGGAAUAAAGGGAGGAAACAAAUAUACACUAUUGUAGUAACUAAAACUUUCUCAUCCUCCUUUCGUUCUUUCUUUCUUCCUUUCUUUUCUUCGUUCUUUCUUCUUUUCUUUCUCGCAAGUGCAGAGCAUGCAGCAGCUUGCCCAUGCAACAGCAAAAGUUGCCACCUUUGCUUUGGAAGGAGGCAGUGUGGCUUCCACUGAGGAAAGAGUUAUCUCAUAAAGAGUUAUCAUAAGAAUUCUACAGAAAGAGAAAGAGAAUCGAUGUAGCGCUCGGGGUUAUCAUGUCCCUGUACUGCAUGCUGUUGGGUUUCCUUCUUCUGUCUCCUCUCCAUGCUUGCAGUGGAAAAAAAGAAGAAGCAGCUUGCGUUCUUGGUUGCAGAUGCUCUCCGAGAUGUGAAGCUCUCGCAUCGUAUCCAUGUUGCAUGUUGCUUUCUUUUGCUUGCUUUGAUCUGCUGCUUUAGCAAGUGCAAACAAGGCUCUUAAAGCGUGCUUACUCGCCACUUUAUCACUCCAGUUUUUGCAGUAGUGUCAGAGAGCCUUCUUUUGCAGCAAACGCAGCCAGUUGGGCGUUGGCUGGCUUGAUUACUGCGAUAAUGGAAAACAUUAGUUGCUGCAUGAUGCAUGCAGGAGCAGGAUUAGUUAGUUUUCGGUAAUAAUUGCCAUUGCUCGUGCUGUGGCAGCAUGCAGGAGGAUGAUGGGGGCCAAUGCCAUGCGGUGCGAUGCCGGCGUGUUGGAUGGAAAGAUUGGCAGGGGGAAUGAUGGCGCGGUUGCAAGGCGCAUGAUGAAGUGGUUGACAAUGUGAUUUAACAGAAUUCUUUCACAAUCAUCACGUCUAUGUCCGUUCUUGAUGGACGGACAGGAAAGUUUAGCAUGCCCUCACUUGCUUCUCACAGAAAUAGAAAAGAGAGGAGGAAGGAAAGUCGGCACGCCUUUCGACUUUUCAUGAGACGCCAUUAGAUGAUGGCUACUCUAGAUCUGAAUGUCAAAUUUGUUUUUAUUUUAGUCCUUCAAAAUUUGGUUUAUUUUACUUGUGCAAGAUCAUCUAGGCUGUGGUUUUUAUUCCAAUUUUUUUUUGGAAGGACACGUGAUGAUUUACUGACAGAGUAAUUCGUUCGAGUAAUGGGAACAACACCAUCGAAGACAAGCCUGCGUGAGGGUGCAUGAUGGUAGUAGAAUGAUUCCGCGGAAGAAGAAAAAGUUUUAGACUGCAAACUGAAACAAGCGGCAGGGACUCUGCAGGUCUCGUGGGAACAUCUGCGAGUAAACUGCAGGCGAAUGAAACGAAACGGUGGGUCGUGUGCGUGGGAUGGAUGGGCAGAGCUAGCUGGGCCAGGUCGCAGGCUGGCCGAGACACCUUUGGGCCCAUCCGUUUGGCGCCUCGACCUGGUCCCCCGUCCAUCUCCAGCCACGGCUAAGCUUGCCAACUCCAGUUUCUAGAUAAAAAGUGUUCACUUAUUACUGUCUAGUUUCGCCUCAACCACUGCGUGCCCGUGAGGGAAAAUUCGAACUCGAUAUAAGAAAAGAUUCCUUACAAAAUUGUCACGACCACAUCGCUGGCAUAUCAGACCGGCCACUUUGAGUGAAACGGUGAGGUUCGAAAUGCGAUAGCUGAAAUCGUUCUCGGUUCUCCUGUCCUUGUGAUGUGCCGCUGAGAAACAUAGGGGAACCGGGGAAGGGAAACGGUGAAUCUGCCAGAACGUCAACACCCAACAGAGCAGAAGCUGUACCCAACGCCAGGGUUUAACUCGUGCUCCUGUCCGAAACAUCCAGCCCGCACAAACUGCAGCCGUACGAAAAGAGAACGAAAUAUAAGAGCGAAUUGACACUUCACGGAGAGUCAGGCUUUUAGCCAUCGCUCGACCUUUUCAGCAUUGCACACCUCACGUUUAAUCAACAAACCAUCCAGAUCCAGUUUUAAAAUUCAAACAAUUGUACUCCGUAUGUGUUAUCCAGUCUAGAGAACGUUGAGAGCCGAGAUUGGUUUUACCAUUGUUGAUGCCCUUAAGCUUAUUCUACCAAAAGUCAUGGAAAUUGGGUAGUACAAUAGUGUCUCUGUCCCGCCUUUCUUGAUACAACGCACAUCUGGCUGCUUUGGCAAAUUCAAAUUGUUUUUGAUAUAGGAUCUAGGGUUUCAAGAGCAAGUAUUAGUGGCAGGGAACCUUUGAGGACUGGAACCCUAGCCGCGUCGGCGACAGUUCCUCGACGACAACAACCUCUCCACGCCCCCAUUAUUGUCUACUCCACCAACUUUAAGUCCAAAAUACAACAUUCUAAACAUGGCUUAAUAAGAUUUGUGAAUCAGGGCGAGCGUGUGUAGGUUUCACUUGGAAAGAAAGAAAAAGCUUCGGUUAAUUUUACUCCUGGGGAGUAGAAGCCGAGGUAAACUCCAGCGGGCCAACCCAAAGCGGACACAGAAUCUGUUCGUGUUGGUCCGUUUGGGUGGCGGGUCGAACACCCCUGGUGCCACCGUCCGACCAGUGUCUAUAUGUGUCGGCCGGUGCACCCGACGCUAGGACCCAUUCCAUGCCCAUUUUUCCUCUUUUCCUCCUGCUUGUGUCCAUUUGGAUCGAAUAAAUUACCGUAGCAAAUACAUAACAUGGUUCCUACACAAAAGCACCAGCAAAUGGGACACAUAUCGAGUGAUCAAUCUCGAUAAUCAUCUUCCGCUUGUUCUCGAACCAAGCUCACUACAAUGGGUCCAGGAGGUUCAAGUCGGUCGUCAUGAUCCGUAUCUCCUCGGCGAGCAGAGUGAUGUCAACUUCCUUGGCUCUUGUUCAGGCAUUGGUCUCAUCAAUGUCGAGCUUCCUUUUUUGCACAUCGGGAAAGUUCUUCAUUUGCUCCUUCUUCUCUUGGCGCUUCCUCUCCCGGGCCCUCUCACUUGUCAGUUCCUUCUCCGCUAGCGGUGCCUUGAGGGUCUCUUGCAAUAUGAGUUACUCACAUUUUGCAUCGAUCUUGGAGUUGGUCCUUCCCCUCAGCCGGACCACACAUGAUGCCCCACUAGGGCGGGCAGCAUCAUCGCCGAUCACCAAGGAGUCGUUGGCAUGCUCCCUCCAAUUGGAUGCAUUGUUCUUGGUGGCGGCAGGUGCGGUGGCGGUGGUGGAAAAGCGGCGCAAAUUUUUUUUGCCAUGGUGAGUUAGGACACGGGCAGACCGGAGUGGGCAGACGGAAACCUAGCCGUGUGUUUUGUCCGCGCGGACAGAAACUGACACGUCCGGGCGACGCCCCACGGGAGACGGCCAAGUGAAACUGCGCAAAAGCAAAUCUUCAUAAAAAAGAGUAGCAAAUCAACAUCUUCCCUUACUGGAUCCACAUGUAUAUAUAGCCGACGCUAUUUGUAUUUUGUACAUACAAUACAAUUGAACCAGACGAUGCACUCUAAAACACGUAUCGAUGAACAUACCGGACUGCUCUUACACACCGCAUACGCACGCAAUACAAAGAGAAGCAUCCAUCGAUCCAUCCAUCCGUAGAUCAAGCAUCAGCCGAAGAGCCCUAGCCUGACCGGCGUGCCCGUCUCCGGUAUCCACUCGGCGCCGUUGACGAAGUGCUCGACGGUGAACUGCAUGGCCUUCUCCUUGUCGAGCACGUGGAAGCCCUUCAUCUCCUGCCUCGCGGUGACGUUGGAGCCCUUGCCGACGUUGGCGAACUCGCCGUAGAAUGCCGUGCCGAGGUUGUCCUUGCCCUCCCACGGCAUGUACCCCUGCGGGUGCACGAAGCCGUCGAUGAUGGAUUCGAGCACGAUCGUCCUGGAGAACUCCUUCCACGGCCUCGCCAGGAACGUCUUCACCGUGGACGACGUCUCGGCCAGGCGCUCCUCGGCCACGAUGCGGGUCCGGUGCAGGACGAAGCCCGUGGUCUGCUGCCGGUCGCGGCGCCCGUGCGCGGUGACCACGGCGGGCUUCCCCGGGAGCGGCGCCUUGACGAGGAUGACGCAGCGCUGGAAGAUGGCCGCUGCGUCGCCGAAGAUGAAGUCGAUGGUUCCCGAGAUGAUGCAGCUCCGGUAGUACUGGCGGUAGGCCUGCGCGAAGAGCGUGUCCUGGUUGCCGUCGAUCCGGCAGUUGAAGAAGAUGGCCCGGUCCGCCUUGACGCGCAGCGCCAGCGCCUGCUGCUUCUCGUCUCCUGCCGUGUUCUGGAUCCCCAGCUUCACGGCCAUGAACCUGUCGCCGUCCACCGCUGCACGCAUGCAUGCAAGCCGUUGGACACAAUCACGACAUGCAUUAAUUGGUCGAGCAAUUUGCUUCCGUUUACGGACGGACCUAGAGUGGCGGUUCUCCACAUCCUUACGCCGUCGGCGACGUUCUUGCUCCCGGUGAUGAUGGACUUCUUGGCGCCGUCGCCGUACAGGGUGAUGUUGGCCAUGCCGUUGGUGAUGUUGACCUGCUCGUCGUAGACACCUUCCUUGACGUAAAUCACGUACCUGCCGCUGUGGUUCUGCGGCAUGGCGUCCAACGCGCCCGAGAUGUUGGCGAAGUUGCCGGAGCCGUCCUUGGCCACCGUCACGUUGGGCGUCAGCCCGCCCUUGUGUUCUUCUUCUCCAUCUCCAUCUCCUUCUUGGGCGGCGUCGAGAAGCUUCCGGUCCUCAUGGGGCACCCACGACGGGAACACUAGAGCAGAUUCCCGGCCUUGGAGCCGGCGGUCGUUGUUGGGAUUAUUCUGCGUGUCGUCGUCGACGGCGGCGGCCGCGUCCUUGACGUUCUCGACGGUGAGGCUCUCCCCUUGGUCGAUCUCAAGCAUGGCGGAGAGCGCGGCUCCCUGCUGGAUGAUGGCGAUGGCGUUGCUGGAGAUCUCCCGGGCCUUCUCCAUGAUCUCCUUGAUCUCGUCCCGGAUCUCUCCCUUGGGGAACAUGUCGACGCAGGAGCCCUGGAAGGUGAUGACCGCGGAGAGCCAGGCCUGGAGGUCCUGCGCGGGCCCGUCCACGCCGCGGUUGGCCACGUUGUCCAGGGCCCGGGUGACGUCGGCGGCGCAGUCGUCCAGGAGCAUCUUGCAGUCGCGCAGGGCCUCGUGCACCAGCGUGUCGUUGCUCUCCCGGACGGCGUCCAGCAGCGACGACCGGUUGAAGCCUUUCCCGAGCUCGCGGCCGACGGCGGUGAUGGCGGCCGCCGCGGCCGCGUGCGUUUGGUCCGACGGGUCCUUGGACCGCUCCAGCGUCUUCUCCAGCGUCUCCUGGCACGUGGCGCGGUAGUCCGUGGGCGCGCAGAAGAGGUCCACCGUGCGCAUCGUGGUGCUCAUGUUGCGCUUGCUCUCCUGGGUGUCCUCGUCCGCCUUCUCCGUCAGGAAGAAGGCCGCCGUGCCGGCCACCACGCCGAUCAGGAGGAACACCGAGAUCCCGCCCACCAGGAGCCGAGUGCGCGACGCGUUUUGGUCCUCCUCCGCCUCAACGCCGCGGGAGGACGACGACAUUGCAAUUUUGCACUGUGCCGGCGCGCACUGCAACCACGAUUAACCAGAGAUCGAGUCGAUCGAUGCUAGCUGCGGCCGGCCCCGGCGCAAAAUCGAUCGAUGCGCGCCACGCAGAUCAGCAUCCAAGAACCAAUUCCACGAUCAACUCUCUAGCUCUAUGAUUUGGGGAAGUUUUUUCUGUUUCGUUUCGUUUUGGUUGAUUUUUUUUGUCUCUCGGUACGGGCUUGUGGUCUGUCCUUGUUCCGAGGAACAGCUAGCCCGGUUUGCUGGAUUUGUGUGUUGGCAAAACUGUCCGGCUCUUUUUUAGGAAGCGAAAUGGGCAGAGUAAGCAAGAGCUGCAUAUUUUCAUUUAGACAUGUGUAUUUCAUUUACAUUAGCAGAAUUGAAUUAUUUACAUGUUGUAAAAAAAAGUACUCCGUAGCAAAAAAAAAAAAUACAAUUUCUUCACGUGUAUCAAUCAAUUUUAAAAUGUGAGCAACAACUAGACAAAUAAAAUACGCAUACCACUCCGUGGAACAUAAAUCUUCAGAUGUGUGAGUGUCCUACAUUUUGCAACCGGAGGAAUAGUUAUAUUUUAGGGUAUCCCUGACAAAAGAUUCAAAUGUCAUGACUUGUUGAAUCAUAAGGUGAACAAAAGCACACAAAUUUGUAAAAUAGCUUUUUUUAAUGCUCCACCGAAAUUUAAAAGAGAGAAUAUAUGCAAGCAAGAUAUAAAGGAAAUUUUCCAUUAACUGUAGUUAACCUCUUGCAAGAAUCCUAUCCUAUAGUAUUGAAGUGUAGGAGUGAAACCUAUAGGGAUUUUAGUGGUUUCACUCUUUUCUAGAUGAGUCCCAUCAGAAAAAAAUAUGGAUAUAUGCAAAAAUUCUAUGAAAUCCUUUUAGUUCAAAGGACCUUACGUAAUCCACCUUGGUUUAUGGACAAACUUGUGAAGCUGCGUGGUUUUGAAAUCUAGAUAUAAAUACUAACUUCACAAAAUUAUCUCAAAGUUUGUAUUUGUGACAAAGCAGCAAUUCCGCAAUCUACAGGUUACGCCACCCUAGUCACAGUAAAUUCAAAUAUCUAAGGUUUUUUGCUCUUCUGGGACCGGAGGCUUAUGGAACUCUUAAAAGAACCAUAACGUUAAUCUAGCUAGCUUGUGCAGGUUUAGUCUCCAGGUUCUUCACCGGAGGCAUAGAGGAAUGUCAAUGUGGGAAGGGUGGACCUAGGGAUGAAGCAUUGAAACGAGCUAGACAUAACUUUCUGUUUUAUUACAAGUCUUUGUCAUUUCCGUUUGUUAUUUUCUUUUUGUAUAUGAUGCACUGGUCUAUCUGAUUAAUAAAUUUAGAUCUUUUUUAAAAGCUUGCAUAUUGAAAUGGGUUGAUCCUGCGGAUCCUCCAAACUUUCCAUGUGUUAGUGUAGCUUGCGCGGGUUGGUUCUUUAGCUUCUUCAUCCGAUACUUGGAUGGUGUCAUCAAAAUGCUAAGGGCAGAGGUAGAGCUGAGGGUGACUCCAGCAGGGUGACGAAAAUGUGUCAGUUUUGGUCCGUUUGGGUGGCGACCUGGACACCCCAGAGGCCGCUGUCCAGCAUAACUCCGUUUGACUCGUAGAGUGCGCCCAGCGGGGAGAUCCAUUUGGGAACCAUGACAAGCUUUAAAAUUUGAUGAACUUGCUACAAUUCACUGAUAAAAUUUGAUAAACUUUCUACAAUACUUUGAUAAACCCUAAAGUUAACAUAUGAGGACAACCACCUUGCCAGAGGAUUUGGGAACCAUAUGGCAAGGUGAUGAGUGCGACCGGUUUGGUACUUCAGCGGGAGGGGAAGAGCAGGACGCCACUUGUGACACACGACUGAUCGUGGUUGAUGAGGAGCACUUGCCGGCUCAAUCGGCCUCCUCGUCGGAGCCUGGGACAAGCGUUUGAGCAACGCCUCGCCACUCCCUCAUAUUCCUCUAGUGUUGCUUCUCAGCUUCGAAUCCCCAGGUGAGCUCCUCCGCUUCGGAUGCCACUUGGCGGGUGGCCUCCUCAACGUCGGUCUUAAGCAACUCCUUGCAGGCGCAGAGCACCAAGUGCUCCUCCUCUUCCUCAAAAACGUGGGCAGACGCCAGUUGCGCGGUAGCGCUUUGGGACAGCUCCCGGAGGGGUCGGCAGUGCAAGGCUUCCUCCCUCCUCGAUCUCCAUCCCCUUCUAGCUCCUUGAUCUCCAUCGCCUCUUAAUCCUACAUCUUGGCAAUACAGGAGACGACGGGGUCCCCAUUUAAUAAGACUGGGAUGGGGGUCGAGUUGUCGCUGACGAGUGGGACCGGGGAAGCCGAAAAGUUUUGACUCGGCGGACGCAUUUGGUUCAUUUGUUAUCCAUGUGGGCGCAAACCCGACCCAGAAUGGGUCCAGCUGGAGCGAAAAUGGGUCGCCGCACUGGACUGGCGUUUGGUCCAUCCGGACCGAAACAGAGCAGUUCAGCCUAAAUGGAUUGCCCUGCUAAACCGGCGUCUGGUCCAUCCGGACUGAAACAGACUAGCCCAGCCUCAAUGGAUCACCCCGUUGGAUUCUUCCUCAUGAUUUUAAAGCAUAACCAGGUGUGACUUUUGGUUUUAUCAAUGGUCUUUGUUAUCCGUGUUUGUUUCGGGUUUUUUAUCUGAUAUAUGAUAUUUAGUUUCUUAAUGAGUUCAAAUCGUUUAUUCCCAGCAUCUUAAUCCUCAGAUGCACACAACCAAAAUUUUAUUAAAAAAUACAACAUGCCUCAAGGUCGAACAAAUUGCUUACUUAGGGGAUUCAUGACGGAACAACAUGGAAUCCAACAAUGAGUACGGUAAUCCAACAUGGAAUCCUCUAUUUAUCUUCUCUCUCUCACCCUCUCUUCCCUGCUAAUUUUUAUAUAUAUUUAUGUGCAAAAGAGAAUCAUCGUAGUCAACCACUUGUCCAGACAACCUUUAAAAGAACAAAUAAGGAGGACAAACGAGAACCUGUCCCGGAAAUUCCUUAGGCCCCUAGGCAGGUUCAUGUUUAACAUUUGGCACUAAUGACUUAUGUAUAAAGAGAGCUAAUCAUGGCCCUCUGAAACUAAAGAGAGCCUCGAGCGCGUCAGCGUUUGGCAGGGAGUAUUUACCUAGCAAAUUUUUGAUAAACUUCUUUGCUCUUGAAUUAACCAAAGUUGGGAGAAAAAAAAAUGAAGGGUUGAUAACAUACGCUUAGAGCAUUGACUUGGUAUGGCCAUUGGCCACCCAACAAAUAUACGCUAAUCGAGCCCAUGCCCACUCGAGACGCGGCCACACCAUAACAUGGCUUUUCGGCGCGGCGUAUUGUUUAUGGCACACGCGUGUAACCUUGCUGGCCAUUUUCGGGGCAAACUCCAUGCCGCGGCCCUCGAGAGUCGAGAUGCAUCAUGCUGCUGCUACCGUAGCCACUCCAAUUCAUUUUGUAGGCCGGUUCACUUUGUAGUACAACGCUCCCUUGGAGUAUACCAUUUCCCCUUGUAUAGUUUUGAAGUAUAUAUGUUCUACUGGUUUAGGCGUUUAUCGUGUUGCUAGUCGAACAUACUGCAGUAGCAUGUAUACGUUUUUCCAGUGCAAAAACAGUAAAAUUCCAAGAAAACUAUCUUGCACAAAUUUUCCCGGACCGAGAAUGUUGUGCAAGGAAAACUUGGUAAUUUGGAUACAGCGAGCAGUACCACAUCUCUUCAGGUCAGCAGCAGAAUCAUGUCGACGCAAUUCUAUCUCGCUCCCUUAAACGCAAAGAAAAGAAGGAAAACCAUAAACACAAAAUGAAAUCAUCAUGCCAUACACAGAGUCAACGUUAUCCCCCUCUCAUUUCUCCUGUCAUCCACUCAUCCUGUCAUACAUAAACAAAUUGUAGAACACUUUCUUUUUAAAAAAAUAAAAAAAUUGUAUUAGAACACUUUCAAAAAAAAUGGAGCAGGUGAGGUUAAUAAUCUGAAAUAAGCUCUUCCAACUGCAGUUAGCAGAUAGCGCAUACAUAAUUAUAUAUACAAAACACGACGAGCCCAUCUCGAUCAACCCCUAAAAAAUAUCAUGUAACCAAGAGAGUGACGUUUCUGUGGAUAUAUUUCCUCCGAUGAAGCAAAGAAGGAGAUGCACUCGACCAAGCCCAUGAGUCAAGAAAAGAAGAUAAGAGAGAAACAGAGUCGUCAACAGAAAAUCAAACUACGCACCGGGCGUCAACAUCUGUAGAAGUCUGUAGAAGAUGAGACGAGCUAGGAGACAGCUAAAACUAAUGGAGAGGAACCGAACUGCAUGUUGAGUGGUUGCUGAUGCAAACUGCUAUGCUACGUGGCGUAGGCUAGGACCCCCAGGAACGGAGACAGGGCCUUUUAUUAUUAGCAUUAUCAUUUUGAGACGCUGAUGUGUUUGUAGACUUCGUGAUCAUGGCGAUGGCGAUGGCGAUGGCGAUGACACGGCCAGGGCCUUAUCCGUAGCGCGUAACAUGAGCCUGCGUCCGCUGUUUGGUGGCUCUAUUGGUCUUUCACAAUUCACAAAUGGUGCCCACCAAAGCGCCUAGUUUUGAAUGUGUUGGGAUCCUUCUUCAUUCUACUACGUAGAAAUUCCGAGUUAUUACGUCGCAUAACUUCCACAGGAAUUUCGCCGGACAG
rnacentral:lncRNA from 1 species